rnacentral:lncRNA from 1 species
AAGUUCAAGAAGAAGUAAGAAGAGUAAUCGGAAAGAAAGGGAAGAUAGACGAAGAUGACCUUCAGAAUCUCCCUUACUUGAGAGCCGUUGUGAAGGAAACAAUGCGCUUAUACCCUCCCGGUCCACUUCUACUUCCCCGAGAAACGAUGGGAAGCUCUGUCAUUGGCGAAGAUAAAGAUCAUAUGUACAAGAUCAAGCCCAAAACCCUGGUGUUUGUAAGCAUGUGGGCAAUUGGAAGAGACCCGGAGGAUUGGAAAGAGCCCUUAGAGUUUAUACCCGAAAGGUUCUUGGAAAGGCCGGACAUCGAUUACAAGGGACAGCAUUUCGAGUACAUUCCAUUCGGUGCUGGGAGAAGACAAUGCCCUGGACUCAACCUGGGAGCCAUGAAUGUGGAGCUUGCACUUGCUAACGUUCUUUACACCUUCGACUGGGAGCUGCCUGAUGGCUUGAGAAGCCAAGACGUCGACGAGGAGACUGUGAAUGGCUUAACUUUGCAGAGGAAAAAUGUUCUCUACAUUCGACCUAAAAUAUAUGUCUGUCCAUGAUUCAUCUCGUAUCAAGAUUUCAUGUACCAACUUAAUUUAUAAAAUAAUAGUUUUAAGAUGAUCCUGCAGCUUUUCUGUGUAAUAAGUGGAACUUAAUCAUCUAUAACAGAGCUUCCCACUUGGAUGCUAAAUUAGGAAGUUCAAGCUAUAUAUUGUUUCCCAGAAGUUGAUGUCAAUGAAUACGAUGCAUAGGAUCGGACUCUUGGUCAGUUCCGGUAUUAAAAUACUAAUGUUUUCCCCAAAUAUAGGCAAUCAAAAGUUAGUUGACUUCAUGGGUAUUUUCUAAAUUGCUUCUUUAUAUAUUUAUUAAAUAAUAUUAAAGAGUAAAGAUAGAAGAUAAUUGACAUAAAAAAUAAGAAGUAUCAAGAUAGUGAGAUAGUGAUAGUGAAAGAUGAUGUAAACAGCAUGUUCAAGAAGUUUCAAGAUAACAAGAGAGUGAAGGAUGAUGUAAAGAGCAUCUUCAGUGUCAUGCACGGUUAAAAAAAUCUGAAAAACCCGUAUUCGUAUCCGAGAUAAAAUGAAUAUUAUUUAUAUCCGAAAUAAGCGGAUAUUAUCCGCAUCCGAAUACGACAAAUCCGGAUAUAAGAUAUAACAUAUUUAUAUUUGAUAAAAUCCGAAUCCGAAAUUAAAUAUAUAUGAUAUUUAAAUAUUAUAUAUAUAUAUAUUUAUGUAUAUACUAUCAUUCUAUAACUUUAUAGUAUUUCUAUUAUAGUGUGUAUAUUUAUAUAUGCAUUUACAUCAUAAAAAAAUAUAUUUAUAUAAAUUUUAUAUAAUUGUGAAAUAUUAUAGACAUAUAUCAUAAUAUCAUUUGAAUUUUUAUUAUUUCAAAUAUAACAAAUUAUAAUUGAAUAAUAUAUAAAAAUUAAUUUUUGGAUAAAUAUAAAUUGUCUUUAAUGACUUUAAUUCUUAACUGAAUUUUUUAAAAUGAAUUUUUCAUUUUCACAAUUUUUUUGAAUUUUAAUAAAAAAUAAAAUCUUAUAAAAAUCAAAUUCGGAUUCGGAUAUUAUCCGUAUCCGGAUAGCAUUCAUCGGAUACGGAUUCAGAUAUUAUCCCUUCAAACAAUUUCGAAAACGGAUAAAGGCAGAUUCAUAUCCGAAUUAUCCUUUUGACACCCCUAUCCAAUGGGAUGCACUAUAAUGGUCAGUUAGAUUGGAUUUAUAAGACAUUAUCUAAAAUUUGUUAAACCCAUAACACAUUUUGUUUGAUAUUGGCUAUAUAUAUUUUUAAAAUAAUAUGUUAUUAUUAUUUCAGAUUUUUAUAAAUAAAAUGUAUUGUAUUAAUAUGAUAAUCGGAUGACUUAUCAUUUGCCACAUAUCUGUAGUUGUUCGACAAAUAUAUUGGUUCGACAAAUAUAACCAUUCACAAGAGUUUGAUUAUAAUUAUAGAUAAGGGGAGAGUAUGGUUCAAGUGUGAGUUAUUUACUUUCUCUUUUUAUUUUAAUAUGCCAAGUGAAUUUUUAGUUAAGAGUUUACUUUAAAAAAGAUUUUUUUUUCUUCUCAAAUUUCAAGAUCUCUCAUCUAAAAAAUAUAAAAAAUUAGAUAAUGGGUGCGAAUGAGUUUUUGAAAUAAAUUUUCUAAAUUUUGAUAAGAUAUAAUAGCACGAGUCACAACCCACUUGGAGAUGUUCUUGCCUUUCUCAAACUCAUAUGUCCCAGAUUGAGAAGGGUCUCCGGAACGCCUAAGCUCAGUAUACAGUGCAAGAGAUGUAAGGUUUAUGUUAAUGGGACAUGAUGAUUUUCAAUUCUGACGAGUGAUGUAAAAGUCUAUGUUGUCCAGAUACAUGAAUCCACGACUGCAUAUUUCAGUUGAUAUUUUUUGGGGGGCAACAACUUGAGUUUCAUGCCUAAAUCGCUUAAAACAGGCAACUCGGGACCUUGCAAAAAAAUUAUGAAAGAAUACAAAACAAAUCAAAAACGCCAAAAUCGACCCACACUGAUCUGCUCAACAAUACUUAACUGACUUGGACCUACACAGAAAACAACAUUCAUGUUUUUGUUUUCUUUUAUCCGAGGAAUCAAAAUUUGGGAACUUUCAUGAUAAAUAUGAUUAUCUCCAAAAUAUUUCUAUAAUAUAAUAUUAUUAUUCAUUUUUUUAAUAAUUAUUUUUACUAGGUGGCGAUGCAUAAGUGACUUAUUGUUGAACAAUAUGUGCAAAAAACAAAUAUAUGUGUGUUUGUGUGUGCGAAACCGAACAAGAACGAAGGAGACAGAUUAAACACAAGGAUAUGAAGAAAAUCCGAGUCCAGUGCGAAACUGUCUCCUUAAAGCGUAUUCGCCUCCUCACCGUAUGUGUGGAACGAAAACUUCUCCGGAUAAAAUGGAUUACGAUGUCGUUAACAAGAACGGCACCUUCGGCGAGCUUGAAUCGACUAUCACCAGAGAGAGGUAAGAUUGUGGUAUUGAGAGAGAGGGAGAGGAAGAUGUGUUUGAUGAUUCAAAACCCUCCAACCUAUAGGGGUAUUUAUAGGUGCAGAGAGACUUGUGCACUACUCUUUUCCAUAAUUAAUUAAUUAUGGAAUCGGUGUGAAACUUGCAAGCCACACUAUUCCAUAAAUAAUAUGAAACAGAAUCAGAUAAAUAUUUGCAAGCUAUUAUAUCUCAUAUAUAAUCUGAAACAGAAUCAGAUUAAAUAUAUCGAGAUAUACACCAUAUCAAUUAAUUUGAAACAAAAUCAAAUUAAUUUAUGCCAUAAUAUUUGAGCCAAAUUUUACUGGAAAAAAUAAUUUCCAUUAUCAAGAAGAUAUCAUCAUAUCUCACACAUAAUGCUCAAAAUAUUAUUUACCAAUAUGGGGCUUAUACCCAUAUUUUCCAACAAUCCCCCACAUGGGUGAGAUUGGUGAUCUUAGUAGUAGCACACACCAGACAAACAGACACAAAGUUUGGCUUGGUGAUAAUUUUCUUCGAUCAGAUAUAGCAUAUGACAGGUAGAGAAUGCUCCUUGAACCUUCGCAUGAGUAAGUAUACCGACUUUACUGGUAGACAGUAGACGUGCUUGUCCUUGAACUAUUCGACCGUUUGUGUAAACGAUGAUAUACUUAUCACUAUAUCCUUUCUGACUCGUUCAGCUCUCAUGAGUAUGUCCAUUUUGGCCAUGGAACAUCGUCCUGGUUCUGCAGGAAUUCUCCUUUGAAGCGGCCCCACUUCUCUCCCACACAGGUGAUCUUUAUCUUAUAGAGUAACCCGCGUUUACUCAACUGAAUUCCAUGCGUGUACAACUCCAUGUAUUCACUAAAGAUCAUUAAAAACUCAAGGCAUAACCUCGUACCUUACGGGUCUCACUGUUUCUUCAUCAUGGGAAUAGGCCUGGGGUUACCCCUACAGUGAUUUGGUCAUCAUGAUUUAGUUGUCCCAUUGAACCAAGUUCUUGGGAUCUCCAGUCAGCAAUGGUUAGGUGUCCACCAUGAUCCCGUUAAGCGAUAGGCUUAAGACCCAUUCCUCUCGAUGAUUUCUUAACCACUUCUCUCGAUAACCCUUUGGUUAGCGGAUCUGUAAUAUUAUCCUUUGAUGGUAUAUAGUCAAUAGUGAUAAUCCCGGUUGAGAUUAAUUGUCUAAUGGAACUAUGUCGUCGUAUAUGAAGGGACUUCCCAUUAUACAUUGUGCUCUGCCAAUAGCGGAUUGACUAUCACAGUGUAUCCCUAUUGCAGUCACAGGCCUCGGCCAUCUUUAAAUAUCCUCCAGAAAUUGGCGUAGAUAUUUAGUCUCUUCGGCGCAUUUAUCUAGAGCCACGAACUCAGCUUCCAUUAUGGAAUGAGUUAUUACCGUUUGUUUGGAGGAUUUCCAUGAUAUUGCUGCUCCAGCUAGUGUAAACACGUAGCCACUCAUAGACUUUAGAGCCUUCUUACUAGAUAUCCAGUUCGCGUCAGUAUAUCCUUCUAAUACUGCUGGGUAUCUGCCAUAGUGCAGUCCAUAGUCUCGAGUUCCCCUUAGGUACCUUAGUACCCUUAUGAUCGCUUUCUAGUGAUCAGCUCUUGGAUUACUCGUAAACCUACUCAACUUGCUAAUUGAGUAUGCAAUGUCUGGUCUUGUACAACUCAUUAGGUACAUCAGACUUCCGAUUAUCCUAGAGUAUUCCAACUGGGAGACCCUCCACACCUUUAUUUUUGGAUAGAUGUAAAGUCAUAUCCACAGGUGUUCUAGCUUUCUCAGUAUCAUCCUUAAGAAACCUCUCAAGGAUCUUGUCAACGUAAUGAGGUUGACUCAGUGCGAGACCCUCUGAUGUUCUAGAAAUUUGAAUUCCUAGAACUACAUUUGCUAGUCCCAUGUAUUUCAUGUCAAAUCUUGAUUUUAACAUGUCUUUUGUAGAUUUGAUUACUUUAUCAUUGCUUCCGGCAAUAAGUAGAUCAUCUACAUAUAAUGUCAUCAUGACAUAACCGCUCUCGUUAUCCUUGUAAUAAGCACAACUAUCUCAUUCAUUGAUUUUGAAGCCAUUGGCCAGCACGACCUCAUAAAAUUUUUCAUGCCAUUUCAUAGGCGCUUGCUUCAAACCAUAUAAUGAUUUAACUAAUUUACAGACUUUCCUUUCUUGUCCAAGGACAAUAAACCCUUCAGGUUGUUCCAUAUAGACUUCCUCAUCUACAUCCCCAUUUAGGAAAGCUGUUUUCACAUCCAUUUGAUGUACUGCUAAAUUUGAAACAUCAUCCUUAUAGACGUUAUUCUCGUCACUGGAGAAUAUGUGUCAAAGUAAUCAAGGUCUUUGUGUUGCUUGUAUCCUUUGAUUACAAUUCUGGCCUUAUACUUAUCGAUAGUGCCGUCUAUUUUCAACUUCUUCUUGAAAACCCACUUGCUACCUAGUGCUUUACAACUAGUUGGCAAGUCCACCAAUUUCCAAGUAUGAUUCUAUAGGAUAGAAUCAACUUCAUUUUUUAAGGCCUCUUUCCACAUAGGUCCAUCGGGUGAGGUAACCGCUUCCUUAUAGGUUUUCGGAUCUCCUUCCUCGAGCAAAUAGGUCAUGAAGUCAGACCCAAAGGAUUUCUCCGUUCGUUGUCUUUUGCUCCUCCUCACAACCCCCACAUUUUCAUCUUCACUUUCAUCAUUCUCAUUUUCAUCAUCUAUAGAUUCAUGAGUUCCUUUGGAUGUCGUGGGGUGCUCAUUUCUUGGAUUACAAGGAAACGUAGUCUCAAAGAAUGAGGCAUUCCUUGAUUCCAUAAUCGUAUUCUUUUGAAUCUCUGGAAUCUUAGAAUCAUAAACAAGAAACUGAUAUGUUGUACUAUAUAUGUGGAGGAUAUCCGAUGAAGAUACAAUCCACGGUUUUUGGACCAAUCUUCACCUUCUUAGGUGUAGGGAUCAGUACCUUUGCAAUGCACCCCCACACUUUCAAGUGUUUGUAACUCGAUUUCUUUUUCUCCCACAUUUCAUAAGGACUCACAUCCUUAUUCUUGCGCAUCGUAAUAUUUAAAAUAUUAUUCGCGCUUAAGAUGGCUUCCCCCCACAUCAAUUGCGGAAGUCCAGAGCUUAGCAACAUCGCAUUCAUCAUCUCAUUGAGAGUGCGAUUCUUCCUCUCAUCCACUCCAUUUGACUGAGGGGAGUAUGGUGCAGUGACCUCAUGGAUUAUACCAUGUUGUGAACAGAAUUCUCCAAAAGGUUCAACAUAUUCACCUCCACGAUCGCUACGUAUCGUUUUGAUUGUCUCAGUUUGUUGUCUCUCAACUUCUUCCUUAUAGAUUUUAAAUUUAUCCAUAGCUUCAUCUUUGCUUUUAUGCAAAUAUACAUAGCAGUAUUUUGUACAAUCAUCUAUGAAUGUAAUAAAAUACUUGUUUCCUCCUCUUGUUGGAGCGAAUUUUAAAUCAUAUAUCGCUAUGUAUUAGGUCCAGCACUUUGGUGUUUCUUUCCACACGUUUAAAAGAUAAUCUCAUUAAUUUUGCCUCAACACAAGUUUCACACUUAUGUUUUGAAUCGAUAGUCAGUUUUGGUAUGUAUUCUUUUGCACUUAAUCUUCAUAAAGUGUCAUAAUUUACAUGUCCUAAUCUAGCAUGCCAUAGAUUAGGAGACUCAAGCAAGUAAGCAGAAGAAUUCUUCAUUACAUUAUCGUCUUUAACAGGCAUCACAUUGAGCAUAAAAAGCCCAUCGGUUACAUAGCCCUUGCCAACAAACAUACCACUCUUAGACAAAAUUACCGUAUCAGACUCUAUUACAAUACGAAAGCCAUGCUUAUUCAACAAAGGAACCGGACACAAGGUUCUUGCGAAUAUCAGGCACAUAGAGUACUAUCUUGGUGUCAUGCAAUGUUACUCAUAUGCAAGACUUGUGUCUUGCCGUAUUUUGGGAGAUUAUAAAUAUAUUGGUUUGUCCCUAGACAAUGUUGUUUCUAAGUGCUGGACAAGCUUUAAUGGUUUCUUCAGUUUCUAAAAGAUAUUGUACUGUUUCCUAAAAAAACUGUAACAGAUUGUAAGUUACGUGAGUUUUAGAAUGCAUUUAUGUUUUUAAAAAAAGAAAUAAAUGAAAACAAAUAUCUACAACUAACAUGAGCCUUUGGAUGUUUAAAGAUUGGAUGGCUGUGAUUAAGUCUCUCCAUCCUCCACAAAAUACAGUCUCCAUAGAACUUUUCUCUAUAUUAUAUAUAUAUAUAUAUAUAUAUAUAUAUAUGCCAACAUUCCAGGGACUUAUAUAUGGAGUUACAUAGUACACGAUUGUAAAUCAUCAAGUUUAUCAUAAAUUCUAUUAUAGAAUUACAUAUAAAAAUAGAAUUUAAAAUUUAAAAUUUAAAGAAAAACGUUUAUUUUCGUAAUUGAUUCCGCGGCAGAAUAAUUCUGGAUGAUCAUUAUUCUAUUAUAGAAUCAUGUUGAUAUAUUGCAUAACUUUAACUAAUAUUUCUAAUAAUUCUGGAUGAUCAUUAUUCUAUUAUGAUGAUCAUCUUAAUUCUGGAUUGCUAAAAGUAGAUAUAAUUCAUAUUCGCAUAAAAAUGAACGAAUUCGAAUCUAACUUAAUAGUUUAAACGAGUAUCAAGAUUGAUCUUACAACACUAAUAUUUGAUAAAACAUAUGUGGAGUAGUUCUAUAUUUAAGUAUAUCCUAAAAUUAAAUAAAAUAAAAUAAAAAUAAUUUAAGGGUGUGCAUCUCAUUCACUUAAAAGAGCUCUAAGGUAGGAUCCAAUGUCAACUACCGUAAGAGACAACUCUAAUUUACAUAUCGAUUAAUUUAAAUGUUUAGAAGAAAAUACACAUCGCGAUAUUGUGACAAUUAUUUUUUUAAAAAUUUCUCUAUUACGAGCUCAUGAUAUUUUAACAAAGAAUUUUUUUCAACAUACUAUCAUAUCACAUACUUGCUUAUACAGUAUAUUAUUUCUCAUAUGCAAUUUCUAACAAAUAGACCGUGGAUUCAGAAAAACAUUAUCAACAAUAUUACCACAAUCUAGAUAAAGGUCACUCAGAAAAUUUUUAUAUCAUGAAUGCAAGGAACAUGCCCAAAAACUGGGGGUUAACACAAAAAUUGUCAAACUGGACCUUCAUUCGAGAUUUUACCAAUAAAUCCGAAUCCGAUCCAGAUCACAACUUCUUAUGCACUCGCUAAUCCGAAUUCGAUCCAUUUUUUUUUAUUAAAAAACUAUAUUUAGAAUGAAUAAGAUUAAUAAAGACAAAUAGUGAAACAUAUAUAUCAUAUUAUGUUAAAUAAAAUUAAUUUUUUAAGUAAGCACAUAUUAAACCGAAACGCUUACAUCUUUUAAAGAAAAAAUCACUGGUUUUUCAAGAAGUACCGUGUCAUAUUAAUUAUUUUAUUAUAAAAGAUGAUUUAUAAUGAGAUUACAAUAUUUUGGAGGAUAUGUAAUAAAGUAAGUGAAAGAAUAUUCUUAUUUAGAUUAUUUUUGAUUUUAAACUUAUGAAUUCAAAAUUCGAUGUGUUAUUAACAAUUAUUAAAAAAAAUUACAGAUAUGAGAACAGUGACAAAGACAUCAAAUUUGGUGUCAAAAAAUAUAUCUAAAUAAUAUAAUAUUGAUAAAACAUGGUUUUAAAAUAUCAUAACUUAUGAAGACAUGUGAAGAUAAUAGCAAAAUGCGUUGCGAGACUUAGUAUAAAGAAUUGAAUUGUAAUUUUAUCUGGUUAAAAUAAAAUUAAAAAAGGAGGAAUAAGUUACUUAUAUUAGAGUCAAAAAAUUUUAAUUCUUAGUGUACCAAUAAUCAAUCCAUAAUUUACAAAAUUAAAUAUAAUGAGAAACUGCAAUUAAAUUGAUUAACGACUUACAAAUUAAACUAAAAAAAUAUUAACUAAUUUGGAACCGAAUAAUCUGAAGUGAUCUGGUUAAAAAAAUAUGCGUUUGGUCGGAACUAGGACCAGAAUUAUUAUUUAGAAUCCAGAAUAUGGAAUUUUUGGUUUGAUAUUUAACAACUGAACAUGAUAUGCUGCUUUGCUCACCCCUGAUAAAUACGAGUAUCAAAAAAUUUAAAAAUCUGACUUCACACAAAGCUAAAAAAAUGACUCACAACUAAUGGGGCUCAAUAUUUCAUGUCUUUAUGAACUUCUGGAGGCAUAACUCAUAUCUACUCUCUUUCUUUUAUUUGAAAGACCAGAAAAUUAUUUGUUUGAGAUGUGGUUUAUAACAAUUACAUGAAAAUUUAUUAAAAGUCUCCUCAUGAAGCUCAGAAAACUAAUGAUAAAAAAUUAAAAUUGUAUAACGAGUCGAUAUUAUAUGGAUUCUUAGGCUAAGUAAAACAAUAUAUCCGUGAAUUACAUGGAUGCAUGAUUAAUAGCUGUCAGUAUGGAUGUUUUGCAGGAUAUAAUAGUUGCUGGAACUGGGACAACGGCAACUGUGCUCACAUGGGCGAUGACAGCAUUAAUGCGCAACCCGGGAGUGAUGAAGAAAGUUCAAGAAGAAAUAAGAAGAGUAAUGGGAAAGAAAGGGAAGAUAGACGAAGAUGACAUUCAGAAUCUCCCUUACUUGAGAGCCGUUGUGAAGGAGACGAUGCGCUUAUACCCUCCUGGUCCACUUCUACUUCCCCGAGAAACGAUGGGAAGCUCUGUCAUCGGCGAAGAUGAAGCUCAUAUGUACAAGAUCAAGCCCAAAACCCUGGUGUUUGUAAGCAUGUGGGCAAUUGGAAGAGACCCGGAGGAUUGGAAAGAGCCCUUCGAGUUUAAACCCGAAAGGUUCUUGGAAAGGCUUGACAUCGAUUACAAAGGACAGCAUUUCGAGUACGUUCCAUUCGGUGCUGGGAGAAGACAAUGCCCUGGACUCAACCUGGGAGCGAGGAAUGUGGAGCUUGCACUUGCUAAUGUUCUUUACGCAUUCGACUGGGAGCUGCCUGAUGGGAUGACAAUCCUAGACGUCGACGAGGAGACUGUGAAUGGCUUAACUUUGCAGAGGAAAAAUGUUCUCUACAUUCGACCUAAAAUAUACGUCUGUCCAUGAUUCAUCUCGUAUCAAGAUUUCAUGUGCCAACUUAAUUUAUGAAAUAAUAGCUGUAAGAUGAUCCUGCAGCUUUUCUGUGUAAUAAGUGGAACUUAAUUAUCAAUAACAGAGCUUCCCCACUUGGAUGCUGAAUUAGGAAGUUCAAGCUAUUGUUUCUUGGCUAAUGUCAAUGAAUACAAUGCAUUAUUUAUAUCCAUUUCCCAAAAGGAAAUAUUAUAUCGAGAACCCAAAAGGAAAUAUUAUAUCGAGAACAAAUUUUCAUAUCCAGAGCUGAAAAAGUAUGAAAAGACGAAAUUAUUCCUUACAUUUUUUUUUUCUUUUUGUUGUAAUUGUGUAUGCACGAGGUCAGUUUUGUCUUUUCAUAUUUGUUUGCUCUCGAUAUAAAAACUUUGCUCUCGGUAUAGUAUUUCCCUUCCCGAAAUUAGUUAUUUUAUCAUUUUAUUCUCCUUGUUUAUCCAAUUCAAAUUUAAUACAAGUUUCAAUGUUACUACCUGUUAGGGUUAUACUAAAAUAUUCGUUUGAAGUAUAUAACAAUUAUUUGAGAAUCUUGAAUGCAUGUUUUCACAUUGUCUGUAUAUUAUAUAUUGUAGACAAUCUAGUAUCAAAUGGGAUAGCAGAAGAUUAGAUUGUCAGACUCCUUAUAUAAUAUAAUAAAGGUUCACAGUCGAGGUGGUGUUAGACAAACCACUGGAACGGCUGAAGUAUUAUUUGGAAAUAGUUUAUCUUGACUAUUGAAUAAUACUUAUAUACUUUGUGUAUAUUGAACGGGAUCAAAAUAGUAGAAUAAUUGUUUCUUUAAUUCUGACAAUAAAGAACUAAGAUUCUAUGAUGUUAUUAAUGCUUAAGUUCUUAAUCCGGAUAUAGUGAUUGACACUUGUAUUUAAUGCACAUGCCUUGACUCAUAAAUUAAGUAAUUUAUUUUAAAUUACGAAUUUAUGUAUUGGGCAAUGACAUUAUAUACAGAGUGGGAUAUUGACUAUAGAAGGAAACCGUGUCCGAAAAAUAUAUUCGGGUGAUGAUGUCCUCUUGAAAGCUCAUAAAGAUAAUUAUGCUUUAGUCCUGCAGGCAGAUUUGUUCUUGCAUAAUUAUAAGGUUGAGUGGAUGAUCAAGGAUAAAAGAUAUUGAUUAAAUUAAUUGUCAGAAAUUAAUUUAAUUAAUGGACAUGCGAUAUCUUAAACAUGGGGAAUUUAUAAGCAAUUAAUAUGGGAGCCGAAUUAAAUAAUUAAUUUACGGAAUUAGGAAAGGUAGUGCAAAUAUUAGUUCUUUAGUGGAUAGAAUUAAUAUUUAAUGACAUUGGGCCUGGCCCGGAAUGUCAUUGGAAGGCCUGACCUAAUGAUCCAUGAUCCCUGCUGUAGCCUAUAUAUAUUCUCGUUCUCCUAAAGCUGAAAGACACACCAAAACGAAUUAAUCCUAGAGUCAGAGAGAGGCAGACGUUUUUCUCAAGGAGACAGCUAGGGUUUUGGGUUUUCGGAGCUUUAAGGAGAGGCACACCUUGGGAGAUCGAAGGCCACACUUCGUCCAAGGAGAAUCAAGGAAUACAGUAGAAGACGUGGAUUUGAAUCGCUUGCGCCGUAGCGAUUAAGGUUAAUAUUCUGUUCGAACUUUUAAUUAGUAUCAUAAAACGCAGGACCAAGGUCCGAUUGUUCCUACAAUGGCAUCAGAGCCAGGUUGCGGUUCUGCGAUUUAUGAUAUGUAGUCCAUGUCAUGAUUAUAUAUGCAUGUAUAUAGUGAUUCUGUGAUGCAGGUCGUUGUCCACUAUUAUGGCCGUGUUUUAAUUAUUCUGUUAUGUUUGGAUUCCACGUGGUUUAUCGUGGCUGUUGUAAAUCACGAGGGUUGAUCGUGAUAGUUUAAUCUUGUAAUUCAAUUUGUAAUUGUUUUAGAUUAUGAUCUGAUGUAAUAGAAUAGGCUGGUUCGUCUGUACAAUUUGUAUGUAAUUGUUUGAUCAACGGGGCUGCAAGAAACAGAGAUCUUCCGCUGCUGCGAUCUGUUGCCGCUGCUAUUUAGGGUAACUUUUGCAUACGAUGUCCGAUUUGGGCGCAUAAUACCUUUUCGGGGACGGCAGAACUAGACGGACAGGCUCCAAAUUGACGUAGUCCAUUUGGUGCAGUUUUUCAGGGCGUUCUGAGGCUGUUUAGGCCUCCAAACGGGCUCUCGAAGAUUUUCGGAAUUUUUCGAAGGAUGAUUUCGAAGCUGUUUUUCCGGGGCCAUAAUAGUGGAUGUGUUUCAUUAUGUUUUACAUAAUUUCUGCCUUUUCUUGAUUAUUGCUACUAUGUGUUUCUUGUCUGUGUUGUUAUGCCAUGUGAUACUAACCCUUCGCAUGCUAGAAUGACAUGGACAUAGGGAUGUUUUUAAUUAAUGCUUUAAUCAUGCUAGUAUGCUGCCAUGUUAUGUGUUCUUUAUGUGUUCUUUAUGUUGCUAUAACCAUGAUAGUAUGCAUGUGGACUUCGAAGAAAUAACAUAGGGCGAUGCAUCUAGAUUAAAAUCCUCAAAGUAAAUUCUAAGUGGGAGAGGGAGUUAAUAUGGUAUUAAAUCCCAUGGUCUCCAUCAUUGUUUGUAUGUAAUUUAACAUAAAGGCGAAUAUAAAUUAUGUAUACGUCACCCAUCGUGGCAUGUAAUUUAUGGUGUCUAGAAUGUUAUAGAUAUUACUGGAACAAACUUCUUAAAUUAAUACGAAUAGAUACGAAUUUUCUUUAUCUCUGAUUUGGGGCGAUUUCUAAGGCUUAUGGGUAUUAAGUGAGACCGAUGUGACUCCUCCACUGCCUAGAAGUCAAACCAGACACGAAUAUUGAAUUGAAGUAUUCUAUUCGAGAAAUAUUGGAAGGUAUACAUGCCGCCCAUCGUGGCGUACCAAGUUCCAUAGGUUUCGGGUAAUUUAAGAUUUGAUGAUGGUAUACACUUAGCUAUGAAAAAUAAUAUAGACCACCCCAACGUGGCUUAUUGUUUAGUAAUAGGACCGAAGUAACGUUUAAACAAAUUUAGGUGGUAUACAUGUCACCCAUCGUGACGUACCAGAAACUUAUGGUGUUUAAACGUUAGUGCAUUUAAUUUUAAUAAUUGUUAGAGGAACCAAUAGGACUUAAUUUUUUAUGCACCCUUCUUUAUGUGUAAUGUGAUUUUUUCAUGCAUGAUUCUCAGGAUAUAAUGGGGUUUAAUCCACUGUUCACCAUACUUAAGGAUAACAAACUUACCGGACCUAACUAUAUUGAAUGGAAACGUAAUUUGGACAUUGUGUUGACUGCUGAGGAGUACAAGUUUUGCACUUAUGAACCCAAGCCUGAGCAGCCCGCUGCUGAUGCUCCUGAUGAGGAGAAAGAGUAUUAUAAGCGGUGGACAAAGGCUGAUGAGAUGUCGCGAUGUUACAUUCUGGCAGCAAUGUCGGGUGUUUUGCAGCAUCAGCAUCAGGCUAUGGCCACUGCUUCGGAUAUGCUCUUUAAUCUCAAGGAACUUUUUGGAGAUCAGAAUAGGGCUGCUAGGCAAGUAGCCAUGAAGGCUUUAAUGAACACUCAGAUGGCUGAAGGUACACCUGUAAGGGAUCAUGUUCUCAAGAUGAUGUCACAUCUGAAUGAGAUAGAGAUCCUUGGUGCAGAGCUUGACGGGGAAACCCAGAUUGACAUUAUCCUUAUGAGCUUGCCCAAGAGUUUUGAGCAGUUCCGCUUGAAUUACAACAUGAACAAGAGGCAGUAUAGUCUUGCGGAACUGCUGACAGAACUUCAGGCAGCUGAAGGAUUAUUUCGCCAGAGUGUUCAAGUGAAUGUGGCUGAGAAAGGUUCUUCCUCUAAGCCGAAAGGCAAUAAGAAGAAGAAAAAGGCUCAGACACAGAAAGCUGUGAAGGCAGUGGGAGUUCAAGGUGGUGUGAAAAAGCCUAAGGGGAAGUGCUACCGGUGCAAGCAGUCGGGUCACUGGAAAAAGGAUUGUCCUCUUCCUAAGAAGACAAACGAUACUGGUAUGUCUCUUUCUCUAGUUACAGAAACAUUUGUAGCGGCUAUAUCUACGAGCACUUGGUGUGUAGAUACUGGAGCCACUGAUCAUGUUUGUAACUCUAUGCAGGGGUUCCAGCAAUCCAGAAUGCUUAGAGAUGGUGAGAUCUACGUGUUCAUGGGAGAUGCUACGAAAGUAGCAGUAGUUGCAGUAGGAGUUAUUCAUUUAUCUUUUGGUUCUGAUAGGAUUUUGGUUUUGAACAAUUGUCUUUAUGUACCUUCUUUUAGAAGGAAUUUGAUUUCGGUUUCUAAACUUGCUAUGGAUGGUUAUAAUGUUUGUUUGGAUCGUAAUGUUUCUAUUAUGAUGAAUAAACGGAUUAUAUGUUCUGGUACAUUGCAAGACAAUUUGUAUAUAAUUAAUCCUAGUCAACCCGCACUGCAACUACAACAUAGGGUAUUGAACAACACAUCUUCUACCUCUAAUAAAAGAAAGGAACCUUCUAGUUUGAACCAAACAUAUCUUUGGCACUUGAGAUUAGGUCAUAUUAACUUGAGGAGGAUUCAAAGACUGGUAGUAGACGGGCCUUUAGGCUCAUUGGCAGUGGAGCCAUUUCCAGUUUGUGAAUCCUGCUUGGAAGGUAAAAUGACCAAUAGGCCUUUUAAGGCAAAGGGGAAUAGAGCCAAAGAAGUGUUAGGAUUGGUUCACUCUGAUUUAUGUGGACCUAUGAAUAUCCAAGCAAGAGGUGGUUAUGAGUAUUUCGUCACUUUUAUUGACGAUUAUUCUAGAUAUGGAUACGUUUAUUUGUUGCGCCGUAAGUCUGAGUGCUUUGAGAAAUUCAAAGAGUACAAAGCUAAAACGGAGAAGCGACAUAAUAAAAGUAUCAAGUCACUACGAUAUGAUCGUGGUGGCGAAUACUUGCUUGGGGAAUUCAGGGAAUAUUUAUCCGAGAAUGGGAUAGAAUCCCAGUUGACUGCACCAGGCACACCCCAGCAGAACGGUGUAGCAGAGAGAAGGAACCGGACUCUUUUAGAGAGUGUUAGAUCGAUGAUGAGUUAUUCGGAUUUACCCAAGUCCUUUUGGGGACAUGCCUUAGAGACAGCAGCUUAUCUUCUGAACUUAGUACCUUCUAAGUCGGUUCCUAAAACCCCUUUAGAAUUGUGGACCGGGGACAAACCGAGUCUGAGACACAUUCGGAUAUGGGGUUGUCCAGCACAUGUGCUGAACAAGAACGCGACUAAGCUAGAAUCUCGUACAGAAGUAAAGCUGUUUGUAGGCUACCCCAUGGGAACAAAAGGUUAUUUAUUUUAUAGUCCUAAGAACAAUGUUAAGAUGUUGUCUUCAAUAAGGUCAUGGUUGUUCAAACAAUUUGAAAUGAAGGACUUAGGUGAAGCAGCAUACAUCCUUGGGAUCAAACUUAUAAGGGAUCGCAAGAAAAGGAUGUUGGCUUUAUCUCAGGAGCCCUACAUAGAUGACGUAUUAGCUCGUUUUAACAUGCAGGACUCCAAGAAGGGUAAUUUACCCUUCAGACAUGGAGUUACUCUAUCAAAGAGGCAGUGUCCUUCGACACCUAAGGAGAUAGAGAACAUGAAGGCAGUUCCUUAUGCUUCGGCAUGUGGGAGCCUAAUGUAUGCAAUGUUAUGUACGAGGCCUGAUAUCUGUUUUGCCGUGGGCAUGGUUAGCAGAUACCAGUUGAACCCAGGACAAGAACAUUGGAGUGCUGUAAAAGCAAUACUCAAGUACCUGCGAAGGGCUAAGGAGUAUAUGCUGGUUUACAAGUCCUCUGAUUUAUUGCCUCCGGGAUAUACCGAUUCGGAUUUCCAGACGGAUAAGGAUAAGAGAAAGUCCACCUCGGGAUGUGUUUUUACUUUGGGAGGUGGAGCCGUAAUAUGGAGGAGUGUGAAGCAGAAAUGCAUCGCGGACUCAACCAUGGAAGCCGAAUAUGUGGCAGCCUCGGAGGCAGCCAAAGAGGCUAUAUGGUUCCGAAACUUCCUGCUGGAUUUGGGUGUGGUUCCUAAUUUGCCACAGCAAAUCACGAUUUAUUGUGAUAACACUGGUGCUGUGGCGAAUACCAAGGAACCGCGGGCCCAUAAGGCAGCGAAACACAUAGAGCAGAGGAGACUGUGAAUGGCUUAACUUUGCAGAGGAAAAAUGUUCUCUACAUUCGACCUAAAAUAUACGUCUGUCCAUGAUUCAUCUCGUAUCAAGAUUUCAUGUGCCAACUUAAUUUAUGAAAUAAUAGCUGUAAGAUGAUCCUGCAGCUUUUCUGUGUAAUAAGUGGAACUUAAUUAUCAAUAACAGAGCUUCCCCACUUGGAUGCUGAAUUAGGAAGUUCAAGCUAUUGUUUCUCGGCUAAUGUCAAUGAAUACAAUGCAUUAUUUAUAUCCAUUUCCCAAAAGGAAAUAUUAUAUCGAGAACCCAAAAGGAAAUAUUAUAUCGAGAACAAAUUUUCAUAUCCAGAGCUGAAAAAGUAUGAAAAGACGAAAUUAUUCCUUACAUUUUUUUUUUCUUUUGUUGUAAUUGUGUAUGCACGAGGUCAGUUUUGUCUUUUCAUAUUUGUUUGCUCUCGAUAUAAAAACUUUGCUCUCGGUAUAGUAUUUCCCUUCCCGAAAUUAGUUAUUUUAUCAUUUUAUUAUCCUUGUUUAUCCAAUUCAAAUUUAAUACAAGUUUCAAUGUUACUACCUGUUAGGGUUAUACUAAAAUAUUCGUUUGAAGUAUAUAACAAUUAUUUGAGAAUCUUGAAUGCAUGUUUUCACAUUGUCUGUAUAUUAUAUAUUGUAGACAAUCUAGUAUCAAAUGGGAUAGCAGAAGAUUAGAUUGUCAGACUCCUUAUAUAAUAUAAUAAAGGUUCACAGUCGAGGUGGUGUUAGACAAACCACUGGAACGGCUGAAGUAUUAUUUGGAAAUAGUUUAUCUUGACUAUUGAAUAAUACUUAUAUACUUUGUGUAUAUUGAACGGGAUCAAAAUAGUAGAAUAAUUGUUUCUUUAAUUCUGACAAUAAAGAACUAAGAUUCUAUGAUGUUAUUAAUGCUUAAGUUCUUAAUCCGGAUAUAGUGAUUGACACUUGUAUUUAAUGCACAUGCCUUGACUCAUAAAUUAAGUAAUUUAUUUUAAAUUACGAAUUUAUGUAUUGGGCAAUGACAUUAUAUACAGAGUGUGAUAUUGACUAUAGAAGGAAACCGUGUCCGAAAAAUAUAUUCGGGUGAUGAUGUCCUCUUGAAAGCUCAUAAAGAUAAUUAUGCUUUAGUCCUGCAGGCAGAUUUGUUCUUGCAUAAUUAUAAGGUUGAGUGGAUGAUCAAGGAUAAAAGAUAUUGAUUAAAUUAAUUGUCAGAAAUUAAUUUAAUUAAUGGACAUGCGAUAUCUUAAACAUGGGGAAUUUAUAAGCAAUUAAUAUGGGAGCCGAAUUAAAUAAUUAAUUUACGGAAUUAGGAAAGGUAGUGCAAAUAUUAGUUCUUUAGUGGAUAGAAUUAAUAUUUAAUGACAUUGGGCCUGGCCCGGAAUGUCAUUGGAAGGCCUGACCUAAUGAUCCAUGAUCCCUGCUGUAGCCUAUAUAUAUUCUCGUUCUCUUAAAGCUGAAAGACACACCUAAACGAAUUAAUCCUAGAGUCAGAGAGAGGCAGACGUUUUUCUCAAGGAGACAGCUAGGGUUUUGGGUUUUCGGAGCUUUAAGGAGAGGCACACCUUGGGAGAUCGAAGGCCACACUUCGUCCAAGGAGAAUCAAGGAAUACAGUAGAAGACGUGGAUUUGAAUCGCUUGCGCCGUAGCGAUGAAGGUUAAUAUUCCGUUCGAACUUUUAAUUAGUAUCAUAAAACGCAGGACCAAGGUCCGAUUGUUCCUACACUACCUCCAUCUCAAUAUAUAAAUCCCUUUUAAAAAAAACACACAUAUUAAGAAAAGAGGUUUUUUUUUUUUUGGAAACGCAACACUUUUAUUAAAACCUACCUCCAACAAGAUGUAGGAGUAGCAGAACAACAUACAAGCAGAGCCCUAAGCGACAGAGACCAAGACUAAUAGAUAGAACCUAACAAAAAGAUCUGGAAAGCGACCCCAGCAACUGGACUAAACUAAUUUAUUCAGCUAAAUUCGAAACAUAUAACUACAAAAUGCAGCUAGAUCCUAAAAGAUUGCAGAGAACUUUCAGUCAAUUUCCUCCAAUGGAGGAUCUCCUGCGAAGAGGAAACCAGUUGCUGCUCCAGGCUGAAACAUUUUUUCAUGAUCAUUAAUAGGCUCAUCAAAGACAAAAGGUGGAACAUUUUCCUGAAUCUGCACACCUCCAUUUGUUGUGCCUGGAUUUGCAGUAGGAACUCCACCAUUUGCCAUCAUCUGCUCAGCUGGAACCGCUUCUGGAGCACCAUUCUCUGCAUGCGCUUCACCAUGCACAUGUUCUUGACCAAGGAAAAGACAUUUAACUUAACCUGCUAUGCCUACAACCGCAUUAAAGUUGACUAGAUCUGGAGCAUCUUCUGGCACACGGACAUCUAUGAAGUUAGGGUGAUCCACACCCGGCCCCAUGUCCCAGUCGAUAAGCUCCUCCAGAGGCCCAACCAUACGAUUGAGGGUGUAGAGUCGAUCACGAACCUCUCUUCCCAUAUGAGCAACAAACCUAGCCACAUGAUUCCUGGCUGGAAAGACAUACGCCAACACGCAUACCCAGCAACGAGCCCUUAAGAGGAUGGAGAUUUGAGACACCAGGUCAAAGAGUGGAGCAGGUGCACCAUGAGUGUUGAAACCACGCACUAUUUGAUAAGCCUGCACAUUUGUCUGUCUCGAUGAUUACUGACUAAUUAGAUGUGAUUUUAUCUUAUAUAUCAUUAAUUAGUGUAUUGAAAAGUAAGAAUAGAGUUGAACAUUGAGAAAUGAAAAUGGAGUUGAGUUUCAAAAAAAUUUCAAUAAAUAUAGAGUUAAAUUUGUGUUGAAGGAAGAGAGGGACAUCAGACAUGUAAUAUGAGACAAAUUAUUUUCUUAAAAGGGACUUAUAAAUUGAGACGUGGGAGUAAUAUAUAUAUAUAUAUAUAUAUAUAUAUANNNNNNNNNNNNNNNNNNNNAUAUAUAUAUUAGCCCACACAAUAUUCAUGAUUUACAAUACUCUCUCCGUUUCAAUUUACAUGUCCACUUUUAACAAUUUUUUUUUUCAAAUUAGUUGUCCACUUUAACUUUCAAUGCAAAAUCAUAUUUUCAAAGUCAAUUUUACUUGACAUAUCCCUUAUUUAUGUAUACUAGAUCAACCAUGUUCCACAUAUUAUAGUUAUUCAAUGCAAUUAAUUUGUGAACAUUUAUUUUACUUAAACUGUGUGAUCUGAUUUGAAACGGAUGGAGUAUAUAUUAUGUUGAAUUUUAACAAAAUGAAUGAAAACUUAUUAAGUAGUAUUUUUGUAUAACCAAUGCAUGAUAACGAUAAUAAUAUAUCACAUUCAAUAUUUUUUUAAUAUGUGUAAUUUUUAUACAAUGAACUAUUAAAACGAAAGGAUGGGAGUAAUUGUUACCGUGGGAUCGGACUCUUGGUCAGUACCAGCCAAUAUCAGAGCAUCAUGAUCAAAAUAUUAUAAAAUACUAAUGUUAAACCCAAAUAUAGGAAAUCAAAAGUUAGUUGACUUCAUUGGUAUAAGGUAUUUUCUAAAUUGCUGCCUUAUAUAUAUUAAUUAAUAUUAAUGAGUAAAGAUAGAAAAUGAUCGACAUAAAAUGUAAUAUAUAUUAAUAUAUUAUACUUCUUCUGAUUUUUAUUAUUUGACGUUUUGACUUUUGACAAACAUUUUUAGCUGAGUUGACCAGAUAGUAAAAAUUCUUAUUUUGAUUGAUUUUUUUUUUUUGAAUUAAAAUUCUGAUUAGAUAUUCAUAUCCAAAAAAGAAAAUUGCAAAAAUAAUAUUUUUAACUACUCGGUCAAAGCACUUAAAAAUAUGUGCCCAAAGUCAAAGCGUUAAAUAUUAAAAAGGAAGUAAGAAGUUUCUAAAAAUCGAGUUUGUAAAAAUACUUAUAAAUAUAUACAAACAAGAAUUUUUUUUACGAGAAUGUCUAAAAGUGAUUUAGUUAUAAUGUAGAAUAUCUGUUAAAAUAUGUUAUAAAAUAGAAAGACUCGUAAAUUCGUUAAGAUACCGAUUGAUCGGUCAAAAUUUUAAUAUAUCGACUUUAGUAGUAUAACAGGGAUGAUAUCAUAUUAUUGUACAAUAUAGUUUGUGUAAUACUCCAGUUUCAAAUCGAGAACAAUAAAUACAUUAGUUCAAGUUAUAAGUAUAAGUACUAACUAGCAUAAUAACAUGUGCAAAGCAUGGGUCAUAUUCUACCGGUUCCGUGUUGGUUGUGAUUCAUAAUAUUAUCGCUAUAUUUUGAAAGUUUUAAAUGAAUAUUGUUCCAUCCCAAAUUAUAAUAGAGAUGAGUUAAAUAUGAUACUCACUAGAAUACUAAAUUCUUUCCAAUUCAGCCUUUCAUAGACGUUGUAACUCUAGCAUGCAAGAAGCGCAUAAUAUAUUCCUUUGUGCUUCACAGGUUAACUAGCAUACCACAAGGCACAGUAAAAUGGACAACGGCUGACUUCAAAAUAAAUAGGAGCGCCACAAUUGAUUUCUUAGUUAUAGCCUUGCGCAUGUCCUAGUGAAUUAACUAUGUCCAUAAUUUCUGCCAGAGACAAUUUGCAUGUUCAGCUAAGGCUCUGUGGAUCAGGUUCCAGAUAGAACCACUUAAACUUAGAACCUUAAAACCAUAUUAAUAGUCAUUAAAUGAAAGUAAUUUGAAUGUGUGAAAUUAAACAUAUGAAUGUGUUUUAAUAUAUAUAGUACAUAUGUAAAUAUACAUGUCUUCAAUCAAUGCACAUUCUUAAUUUAUAUUUGAUCAUUUUAACAAUAAAAAUAUAUUUAAUAUUUAAUUCAUAUAUCUCAGUAGUGUGAUGCAACAGAACUCCAAAAUACGAAGAGCUUGAGUGCGUAUGUUAUUAUUAUUUAUAUGUAUUACAGCAGAUGUUCAUGUUUUGUAAUAUUAUAUAAGCUAGAUAUGUACUGCAUCAGAAUCCCCUGUUAUGUAAUAUUAUAUGAGCUAGACGUGUACUGCAGCAGAAUCUCGUUUUUUAUAAUAUUAUUUUAGCUAGAUUUGUACUCCAACAGAAACUCGUUUUUUUGUAAUAUUACAUGUACUCCAACAGAAUCUCGUGUUUUGUAAUAUUAUAUUAUUAGAAUUGAUUGAGAAUCACAUGUUGUAGGUUUGACUUCCAUUUAUAAAAAAAAAGCAUAUAUAUUAACUGAUUAUUACAAUGAGUAGGUAGUAGUUAAUGAUUAUUAUGAUUUGUAAUAAUGAUUUACAUAUAAGACAAGGUAUCUUAAAUACCAUUAAGUUGUAAUUUUUAUUUAUAUAGUUAGGAAGAUUAUGAGUACCAUUGAAUUCAUCUAAUGGAUGUGUGUGCUCUAAAGUUCUAAUUUUAAUAUUGGUUUCAAUUUGAACCUCACCCAAGGCGAGUUAAGUUCUAUGGAGACAACUUUUUUUUGAGACCGUGGAGACCGUUUCUGUUCAGCAAGUAAAAUAUGCAUAAAAACAGUGCAAAACAUAAUUUUGCAAAUAAUGUUGUACAAAGAUCAAUAUAUCAUUUAAAAUUUUGAUUAUCAUGUACGUUUUGCAUGUAGGAUAUUAUAAAAUAUUUUAUCCUGCGUAAGCAGAACAUUUGUUCAAUUUGCAGAACAUACACAUUCUACUUAUUAAACAUAGAUGUUCUAUAAUAAUUUUAAUGAAUUGGUGAUAUUUGUAGAAUUUACUUCACAAAAUAAUAUAUUCUACAGUAUUUUGAUUUGCAAAAUUAUGAGUUUUGCAAUGUUUCUAUACAAUAUUUUACUUGCAGAACAUAAGUGGUCUCCACGGUCUCCAAAAAAAGUGGUCUCCAUAGAAUUUUAAUUUUGCCAAUUCAUACAACCGAAAUUUUGAGUAUAUAUACGGGUGGGUUCUGGUACAAACUUACAAACUUUAUGCGUUCAACACAUAUAUAAUUUGAGUUAAACAUUUUUUUAACAUAUUUUGUUGAACAUCGAUUAAAAUUGUGUUGGAGAAGUAUAUAAACUAAUUUUUCAAUGUAAGAACUAAGUUAAACGUGUUAUAUAACUAAUAUUUAUGUUUCUAGCAAUGUAAGAACUAAGUCAAACCUGUUAUAUAACUAAUAUUUAUGUUUCUAUACCCUACACAAACCCCAGAGGUAUAGUUUAAGCAUUUUUAUAAAUAUAUUUAACACAAUGAUAAUUAGUGUUCUACACCCGAUGUUGAACCCCAGUUAUAAAUGUAUUGAAUGUACGAUUUAUUUAUGCGUUAUUUUUGAAAAUUGUGAUGUUUUUUCAAGAAUUUUCAACAGGGAUACUUUCUAUAACUAAGGAUUAACAUGAUGGAAGAAUAAAAAAAGUUUAUAAGUUUGUAACUUAAUUUUUUUUUUUUUUGAUCCUAUCCCUAUAUAUAUAUUAAUUAUAAAAACAUAUAUUUAGAUAUAUAUAAUAUAGGGUCAUGUUCAAGAGAGAACCAUUAGAGAGAGAACCAUGGAACCCUUACCUUAUUUCUAGUAUUAGGUAGGGUUAUGCAGCAGAAUUUAAGUAUUAGUUAGGGUUCUGCAGCAGAACUUCACAUGCAAAAAAAUAUCAAUAUCUAUGUAUUAUAUUUUAAAAUUAUUUUUGAACACAAACAACGAUGAAAAAAUAUGAAAAAACAUGUAUUUAGAUUUAGAUCUGAAAAAUCUAUUUAAAAUUUAGGGUUCUGCAACGGAACCUUAGUGGUUCUAUGGUUCUAUUUUAAGGACUGUUUCUCUCUUGAGCGCGACCCAUAUAUAUAUAUGUACAUAUAUUUAAACAUAUUUUUAUAUAUCUCCUGAUUCCUUUUUCGUCUAUUACGCACCUUAUUUCUUCCAAUGUCAUCACUCGUCCUUCUUCUUUUAAGACUCUCUAUUGACAUUGCCUUAUCUUCUCUGUUAACUCUGGUUGUGUUGAAAUCUCGAAUAGGCUUUUAAUGACCUCUCCGAUUAUCUUGAUAUUAAUUACCAACUUUUCAAAUUCUUGUAUUAGUUCCUCGGAAAUGGUUAUCAUUUUAAGUCUUUCCUUCCUACUAAGGGAAUCAACUACCAUAUUGGAUUUACCUGGGUGACAAAGAAUUUCAUAGUUAUAAUCCUUAGUUAACUCCAACCACCUCCUCUAUCUCAUGUUCAGCUCUUUUUUGAGUGAAGAUAUACUUAAGACUCUUGUGAUCCGUGUUAGGUCUGGAUACGAUUGUAGAAUGAGGGUUGAAUACAAUCAUCCAGAAUUCGCGCGGGAAUAAUAUGAUUUAAAUCGAUCUUGUAAAUUGGAUUAAUAUUAAUUAAUGAAACAAGGUUCAAGUUAAAUGGUAUGUUAAACUUGAAAGUCGUUAAUUACACAAUUGAAGGGGUUCAGUUUUAAUGUCCACUAAAUAUUCUAGAAUAAAUUUGACAGAAAGUAUUCUAGUUUAGGGAUUAAAACACUCGAAUGAUUGCAGCACAGAAUUUUUGCGAAUAUAACAUUGUGCAAGUUAAGCAACUUGAUCAAGUUUACAAUUUUUGUGAACACUACAAAUGAAAAACCAAAGGCCAUAUUUAAAGGCAAUGGUAAAUGAACUACUAAGAAAAUUAAUCAAAUGAUAAGACAACAUUUGUUAAGAAAAAUAUGCAUGUGCUAAGACAAAACAACAAGUGCUAAGACAUUGGUACACUCGGCAACAUAAAAAAAUUCGGGAAGACAAUUUAUAAAAUUGUCUUGCCGUGUGCACAGACCUGCUAAGGCAACAAACUAUUCGGGAAGACAAUUUAUAAAAUUGUCUUGCUGAAUUACACAUGAAACUGCAAAGAUAAGCCAUUGAGAAUUCGGUAAGACAAUGUUAGACAUUAUCUUCCCGUGUCCAAAAGAUGGCCAAGAGUAGUAGUAGCUCGGGAAGACAACCGAGUUUUAUAAAUAUAACAAAUAAAAAUUUCUUUUAUAAAUAAUUAGUAAACUAUUAUUCACUAAUUGAAUAAUAGUUUACUAAUUGAAUAAAUUCAUGAAUUAAAUUACUUGGAAAGUGAAUUAAUUUAAUAAAUAAAUUACACAACCAAUAUAAUUAGUUAGAGUAGUGAAAUAAGAUGUCUGAGGAGGACAAGCUCUACUACAGGAAUUACCUAGUGGCUCCUACCUCCAAGACUUGUACUAAGCUCAUGAACUGACUUGCAAAGGCAAGGAAACUUGAUCAUGUUCCCCUGAGUGUAACUCCAUUUAUGCUUGAUCAGUUUAAUGCUCAACUUCAACCAUAUAGCUACAAGUGGCACCACCUCCUCAACCACUGCAGCAACUACAACCUGGAGAACCACUUCCACCACAUCAACCUCAACAACAACAACCUCAACAACAACAAGAACUGCAACAAGAAGUGCAACAACAACAACCUCAAAUUCAACCAAUUCUACUUAUCCAAGACUACCAAUCAUCAAGGCAAUCCUCACACCAAUAUCCAUACUAAUCCCCUCACCAUUCACCAUAUCAGUCACCACAUCAAUCACCUCUACAUCACCCUUCACCACCGCAGGAAGGAUCACAACUCUUCUUCCCUGUACAACAAUCAUCCAUUUUCCCAUCACAAUCUAAACCUACACCUUCAAAUAUCCAAACACAUUUCAUCCCCCAAACACAAUCAACCCCCCAGCCACUACUAGCUGAUUCUGACAUCAACAUUGAGCUACAGAAAAUUCAAGACGACUUACAGGUAGCUGAGGUACUUUCUAACUUCUCAACUAAUUUUACUGUUGAUAUAGCAGAUUAUGAUUGUAAACUUGAUUAUGUGUGCCAGCCUGCCAGCAAUGAAUCUGAAAACACCCAGGUUCAUAAUCAAGGUCAUGAUUUCAUUUCAACCUCUGGUUCUUCGUCAAACACUUCCACCAACACUACUACACAUGUUGUUAAGAAGGUAGCCUGGAAACAGAGUGGGUGUUAUGAUUCAUGAACCCGCAGCUCUGUCUCUACAUAAGAAGCAAAGGGUGGAUGAACCAGAGACAACUGCAGCCGCAUCCAUUUUCUUCCAAAAGGAUUUGGAUACUGAAAUGGUAAAUAUACAGUCUCUAGAUUCAUUCUCUCAACAGCAUGCGUUUAUUGAAAUUUUUUGUCCUACCGCGGUACCCUGUAUAGAGUCAAGCACAUCACUAGCACUCACGCUAAUAAACACUCAACCUGAUACAUAUGAUACUACACUUAAUGAGUGCACAGAUUUUCAAAACAUGUUAAAUGAAAACUUUUCUGAUCCCUCUUUCUUUUUGGAUCAGUAUCUACUUGGCAACCUGCAAGUACAUCUGCCUUCAUAGGUAUCGGAAAGACAAUUUGUUCCUUCACUACCUUUAGUUCCAUCUCAAGGAGCUUUAGCAGUAUAUACAGGUACUGGUGACGGUGUGAUAAACACGAGUGAAGAAAGGCAAAAACACUGAGCGAAACACAUGCACGAGAGGAUAGAGAUAAUUCUUUGAAUGUUCGUGAGGUGAGUUCACACACCGACACAAAUCUGUUGCAGGAACAAAUGGCCAAUCUGAAAGAUGAAUAUGAAAGGCUUGCUGCUGAGAAUGCUAAGUUGAAGAAUGGAGAGCUAGUCACUCUACAGGAACAGGUUUCUGAUUAUCCCUCUACCUCACUGAGAGAGGAAAUGAAAGCACAUGUCAAGGGUAUUCACUCUCGGAUUGACAAGGAUCAUGAGCUCUAUAUGUCAAAGCUUGAUAACUUGGAGCACUCAAUGGCCCAAGUUAUUGACUUUUUGAAGAUUUCAAAGUCUAUAGCUCAGUCAACUACAAAGGAUCUGUUAUUUUACACUAUCUAUGAGAAAUAUUGUAGAAAGGGGGGGUUGAAUACAAUCUUUUACAAACUAAAAGAUUCAAGAAGAAGAACACUUAAAACAAUAAAUCAUAAAAAUACCAAGUAUUAAAAAUACGGGUGGAUUGAAUGAUCCACCCAUGAGAUUUUAUAUUGAAGAAUCUGUGGAUUGAUCACAAUUCUCACAGCUGCAGGUUCAUCACUUGAACAGUUUCUAACUCUCAGAUUUUCUCUCAAGUAUUCGAACAAGUUCAACUGAUGCUACUAACUUGGUUAUAUACUCCAAGUUUUACAAAGCUUUUAACUAGAAUACAAAUUGUGCAAUCUAAUCUAAACUAUGCUGCACAUCUUUGUCUUAUGCAAGCUUUCUGUAAUGUCUUCAUCUUUGACUAUCAUCUUGAUUUAAUCCAGAUUGCAUUGCAUGAGAUAAGAAUGUUUCUGGUUCUUCUUUGUUGUCCUAAUCAGGCUUCCAUGCCUAUUUUGGUGUAAUUCGAUCCAUGUGACUUGUCAGAAUUAAGCUCUAGUCACUUUCAACUGCUAUUUACUUCAUCAGUCGAAAGUGGCUUCAUCAGUUGAACGAAUUACAGACUUCAUCAGUUGAGUCCCGUUCCAGUCUCAUCAGUUGAAUACUUUAGCUUCAUCAGUUGAAUACUUUGUCUUCAUCAGUUGAAUGCUUGGUUUUCAUCAGUUGAAACACAGUGCAGUCUUCAUCAGUUGAAUUGUUACAACUCAUCAGUUGAAUAUCCUUCACUUAGAAAAAAUUACAUGGGCUUGGAUAUUUACAAUUAGCCAUCCUAUUCUAUCCAUCCGUUGAUAAUUCUCAAGGACAAGAAAUAUAACAAUUACAACUGAAUUUUGAUAAAGGCUCUAAAUAAAACAUGUUGCAGAGUGUUUAUGUUAUCAUCAAAAUUAUUGAUUCUCAACAAUCUCCCCCAAUUUAUGACUGGAGAAGAUGCAGACAUAAAUUCUACACUUGAUGAUAACAAAACACAAAUAAAACAAAGUACAAAAUUUAAAUGCAAGAGAUAGAAAGUUUACAGAUGAUUUUGCUUCUCUAGACUGAGCAGUUUACUUGUUCCUAGAAGAUCUUCUUCUUCUGGACUUAAUCUUUUCUUCAAGAAUAUCAAUCUGUUUCUGAAAGAUCCUAUAAACCAUUCUUCAUCACUAUCUUGUCUGUUGAGCUUAGAUUGAAGAGUCUUCAGACUGUUCAUGCUAGCUAUUUUGAGUUGAUCUUUAGGUCUGAAAAAUCUCCUAACACCUCGGCUGUCCCCGAACUCCAUAAUUGGGGUUGGCUCAUGGUGAAUUUUCUUUCCAAUGUAGGGGAUUUUCAGCCUUCUUUGUAAGCUAGCAUCUGAACUCCAUUCUUUCCUGAUUUCCAGAUUUCUCUUUAACACCAUUUGUUUAGCUGGUGGUGUAAAGCCUCCCGUUCUCUUCAUUGCAGCAUAGAUCUUUGUAAGAGAACUAAAUCCUUCAGAAUUUAGAACUCUAUGAAGAGGCCAGGUGACAUCACCCUUGCUUUUGUAUGAGAAAACCAGUCUUUCAAGAAGCUUGGAAGUUGGCUCUAUUCCCCUUACUUCAUGAAGAUCAUUCAAAUCCAGCUCCAGUUCAGAAAUUUCUUCAAUAUUUGCUAUGACAAGAUAGUCAUCUUCAUUCUCAGGUUUCUUAGGAGUUUUUGGAGGGUUAGCCAGUUUCUUUGCCAUUGUUUUCCCUUUCUUCUUUGGCUUUGAAGUUUCUUGAAAAAAGAAGGCUAGAAUUGGAAUAUUUUCAAAGUCAAUUGGCUUCUCCUUAGGUAUAAUUGGCUGUUCAUGAUAGUUGGUGUCUGGAUGUACCACUGUGGUUAUCUUGAUUGGAGAAGAAGGUUUUCAUGAUGGCACAGGCUUUUCUAGCUCUUCUUCUCUUCUUGGCAGCCUCAGGCAUCCUUGACUUGGCUUUGACUCUUUUCUUCUUUGGAGGAUUUUCAGGAACAAUCCUAAUUUCAUUUUGAAGUUCAGCCUCCAACUCCUCUUCCAGCUCAAUUGCAUACUUUUCAUCAACUUCUAUAUCUUGAUUCAUAGAAAGUUGUGAUUCAUAUUCUUUCCUUUCACAUUCUCUGGCCACCUCUUCUGCUUUUGCAAAUGAGUAAUGUGGAUGGCCAGUUCCAAUGAACAGCUUUUGGCCUUCUCUGUAGAUGAUGGAAAAAUGAGCUUUUAAAGCCUCAUCUGUAGAAUCUUUGUAGCUCUUGAUUUCUUGGCCCAGAAGCUUGUAUUCAUUUUUGUCAGGCCUGGCUAGAGGAAAAUAAAUUGAUCUUGAAUUUUUUUCAGGCCUUGAAUAACCACAAUUGGAAGGCGACAGAAUGACUUUGAAUUCAUUCAAGAUUGAUGGCUCACCCUUCUCCUACUUUGAUGGAAUAAGAAGUUGGAACUGUUGUGGCUGUAGAUUGUGAAGUUGAAGAGGAUUUCUUUCCCAACAUUUGGUCCAACCUCUCCUCAAUUGAGUCCAGAGCUGCAAUUCUCUUGUUUUCUUUCUCAGUGUAGAAAGGUGGUGGAAUUCUUCUUACCAACUUUGUAGGAGAAGGCAAGGGCUCUUUCUCCCUCUUUUUGUUAGCAACAAGUGUAGGAGGUCUAGGAAUAGAAAUGCCAGAUGCUAUAAGAAGAUGUUGGAGAAGAUCAGUCUGCACUCUCUGGUGUUGAAGCAUCUCAUGCAUUCUGGAAUCAAGAACUUUGACUUUGCUUUCCAGAACCUCCAUUUGCUGUUCUAGCUUGGCCUGUUUCUUCUCAGAAUUAGUCACUGCAGAUAUGACUUUGGUGGGUAGCCUCUCAUCAAUUUUUGAGGAUAAGUCAAUUUUUACAGUAGAGAAGAGAGUGUUAAGGUGCUCCACUUCUUUCUGAAAAUGAAGAGAUUGAUAUUUGUGCAGCCUGAGAUUGUCUAGGGCCUGACUGUCAAAAGUGGCAGAGAUGGAGGAAGAUGAGCUGCCAGCCUGAGAAUUGAGAAUUGAUGCAGCUUGCCUUUUCAAUUCCAUACUGACAACUGUGGCAUUGGCUGACUGCAUGGAGAGCCAAGGAGGAAGAGAAGUAGAUGGCUCUGCAGGCUCUUCAUUAAGUGAAUUUCCAAGAGCUCCAUUGAGGUCCUCAUCACUUUCAUCCUCAUAUUGAAAAUCAUCACCAGCAUUGACAGGCAGAGCUACAAGUGCCUCCUUUGCUCUGAGCAUAGAUGAAGUGGUGUGAAUGAGAUUUAGACUCCUCUCAUGUUACAUAUUUGAUGAUGUCACAGGUAUCUAACUUGUUUAGUGUGCAGAAGCAAAUAUCAGAGUUUAGCUGGAAAUCAGAGUUUAACGACUGCCAGCUGGAUCAGAGUUUAUCGAUGAUCAGAGUUUGCAGGCGGCUGAUUUUCAGGAGCAGAUCUAGCUAAAUAAGGAAGAUAAAGAUUAAGGAAGAUUGUGCAAAUCAGGACAACAGAAGGAUAGCUACUGAUUAGAUUAUUUUAGGAAGCAGAUAAUUAUGAAUCAAUCAGUAGAUAUCAUGUAACUGUGUAUAUAAACACAGAUUAGGGUUUACUCUAUAUGAGUUAGAAUAUCGAGAAUAUUAUUCUUGUAACCCAGCAGCUCUUAGUGAUAAGUUAUAAAUCACUAAGAGAGUUUUUGUAACCUACUGAGUUUUGUGAAUAAGAGUUUACUUUGUUGAAUCUCUUGUUUGAGUAUUUUGUUAUUGAUUGUGUUCACUAUAUUAAUUAAUAUAGUGAGUUAAUUCGGCCUAACAAGUGGUAUCAGAGCCAGGUUUGUUGAUAUACCUACAGUGAGAUCUUAAUCACACAAUCAUGUCUGAAAAAUCACAAACUUCAAAGUAGAUAUGAGUCACUUAGGGUUCCGGUCCUCAGGGCAUCUGAAUAUCCUAUCUGGAAGGUUAGGAUGGUUAUGUUUCUGGAAUCCACAGAUCCAGAGUACCUGGAAAGGAUUUAUGAUAGUCCACACAUGCCAACAAAGCUCUCUGUUGCAGUUGGAGAUGAACCCCAGAAGAUGAUCCCCAAAGAAAAGAAAGACUAUACUCCUGAGGACAUCUCAUCAAUCAGUAAGGAUGCAAAAGUAAAACACUUGUUGCAUAGUGCUCUUGACAAUGCUAUGUCAAAUAGAGUUAUUGGAUGCAAUACUGCAAAAGAAAUAUGGGAUGCUUUGGAAGUCAGAUGUCAAGGAACCAAAAGCCAUACAAAAGAACAGAAGAACCAUACUUACUCAAGAGUAUGAACACUUUGAUUCAAAAUCUGGUGAAUCAUUAACUGAUCUUUAUGACGGGUUUGUCAAGCUGCUGAAUGACUUGUCUCUUGUGGACAAAGAAUAUGAUUUGGAAGAUUCAAAUCUCAAAUUUCUGCUUGCUCUUCCUGAAAAGUGGGAUUUGAAAGUAACCACUAUAAGAGACAAUCAUGAUCUUGAAGAGAUGUCUCUGGAUGAAAUCUUUGGAAGGUUGAAAACUCAUGAACUUGAGAUGGAGCAAAGGAGCAAACGACAUGGUGGGAAACCCAAACCAGUUGCUCUAAAAGUUCAAGAAGAAUCAACUGUGAAAAGCAAAGGAAAAGCUCAUGUCAAAAAGUCUGAUACUGAGUCAUCAAACUCUAAUGUUGACUCAGACUCUGAUAUCCCUUCAGACUCUGAUGACAGUGAUACUGAGAUGAUGCGGCUGGCAGCAUUAAUGGUAAAAAGCUUCAAGAAGAUGGCUUACAAGAACUUCAACAAAGGGAAGAAGUUCUCAAGGAAAGACAGAAACUCUGAUAAGAAGGUCUUCAAAAGGAAUGAAGGCAAAGAAGAAAAAAUCUGGAAAAAGNNNNNNNNNNNNNNNNNNNNNNNNNNNNNNNNNNNNNNNNNNNNNNNNNNNNNNNNNNNNNNNNNNNNNNNNNNNNNNNNNNNNNNNNNNNNNNNNNNNNNNNNNNNNNNNNNNNNNNNNNNNNNNNNNNNNNNNNNNNNNNNNNNNNNNNNNNNNNNNNNNNNNNNNNNNNNNNNNNNNNNNNNNNNNNNNNNNNNNNNNNNNNNNNNNNNNNNNNNNNNNNNNNNNNNNNNNNNNNNNNNNNNUGAAGAAAAGAUUGAUUCUCCUGAUUUAAACUCUGUUAAAAGUCUGAUAGCAUAAACUCUGAUUUAAACUCUGAUAAAUCUUCUGCUGCUAGUGUUAACAAACUUAACAAGAACAAAGGAUCCAAAGCAAGUUUGGUACCUUAAAACUAAUCAUUAGUUAUCGUAUGUGUAUUGCAGGGCAACAGGAAAACAUCCGUAGUUCUGGACAGUGAUGCUCUGGACAUAAUGACAAGAAAUAAAGCCCUGCUAUCAGACUUUGUGGAGAAGGCUGGUCCAAACGUUUCUUAUGGAGAUGGCAACAUAGGGAAAACUUUGGGAUAUGGCAAUAUCAAUCUUGGAAAUGUCAUCAUUCAAUCUGUAGCUCUGGUCUCAGGACUUAAGCACAAUCUGCUCAGCAUAAGUCAAAUCUGUGACAGAGGGUAUCAUGUUGAUUUCUUUGAAGAACACUGUGAAGUGGUUAGCAAAAGCACUGGGAAAGUUGUUCUGAAAGGAUAUAGACAUGGAAACAUCUAUGAAGCCAAGCUCUCUUUAAACUCUGAAAGCUCUGCAAUCUGUCUACUUGGCAGAGCUAGUAUUGAAGAAAGCUGGAACUGGCACAAGAAACUAUCUCACCUGAACUUCAACAAUAUAAAUGAGUUAGUGAAGAAAGAUCUUGUGAGAGGACUUCCCAAAUCAGUUUUUACUCCAGAUGGACUCUGUGACUCCUGUCAGAAGGCAAAACAGAGGAAAUCUUCAUUCAAAAGUAAAACUGAGUCCUCAAUUCUUGAGCCAUAUCAUCUGCUUCAUGUUGAUCUUUUUGGACCAGUAAAUAUAAUGUCCAUUGCAAAGAAAAGAUAUACUCUGGUCAUUGUUGAUGAAUUUACCAGAUAUACUUGGGUAUAUUUUCUACACAGCAAGGAUGAGACAUCAUCUCUUUUAAUUGAGCAUGUCAGACAACUGGACAAAAUUUCUAAAGAUGCAGUCAAGAUCAUCAGGAGUGAUAAUGGCACUGAGUUCAAGAAUUCUAAGAUGGAAGAGUUCUGUAAAGCAAAUGGAAUUAAACAGGAAUUUUCAGCACCUGGAACACCUCAGCAAAAUGGUGUUGUAGAAAGAAAGAACAGAACUCUGAUUGAAGCUGCUAGAACCAUGUUGGAGGAAGCAAAAUUGCCAACUUACUUCUGGGCUGAAGCUGUGCAAACUGCUUGUUUCACACAGAAUGCAACUCUGAUAAAUAAGCAUGGGAAAACUCCAUUUGAGAUGGUCAAAGGCAGAAAACCAAAUCUCAAAUACUUCCACAUAUUUGGGUGUAAAUGCUUUGUUCUGAAAAAUCAUCCUGAACAGUUGACCAAAUUUGAUUUAAAAGCUGAUGAAGGAAUCUUUGUUGGCUAUCCUCUGUCAACAAAAGCCUUCAGAGUUUACAAUCUGAGAACAAGGGUAGUCAUGGAAUCCAUUCAUGUAUCCUUUGAUGAUAAGAAAAUUACUGGAAUGGAAGAUUUUGCUGACCAUGAGCAACUGAGAUUUGAAGAUGAAGAUGCAUUCUCUGACUCCAUAAACUCUGACUCUGAGAUCAUAUCAGAGUAUGUCACUCCAACUCACCAACCUCAAGCACAUGUUGAGGGGGAGCACUUUCACAAUGAAAAUCUGGAUGAAAAUGUUGAAGACUCAGCAGAAAACACAAACUCUGAUACUGACUCCUCAAACUCUGAUCAUUCUACAUCAGAGAAUCAUGAGAACACAUCUUCAGGGGGAGCAUCAGAAACUCAGAAUACUCAUGGAGAUAGCAUGAAUAAUGGGGGAGAGGCAUCAGAAACUCAGAAUCAGAAUCAGAAUGACACUGGAAACAGCAUGGAUUAUGGGGGAGGAUCUAGUUCCAGAAGUCAACUGCCACAUGAAAGGAAAUGGACAAAGUCUCACACACCAGAUCUGAUAAUUGGAGAUCCAGAUGUUGGAGUACAAACCAGAACUACAACAGCAAAUGAAUGCUUAUUUCACUCAUUUUUAUCUCAGACAGAACCAAAGAAAGUGGAAGAGGCUCUUAAGGAUGCUGAUUGGGUAACAGCAAUGCAGGAGGAGUUAAAUGAAUUUGAGAGAAAUAAAGUCUGGACACUAGUACCAAGACCAAAGAACAGAUCAAUAGUUGGUACCAAAUGGGUGUUCAGAAACAAGACAGACAGUGAUGGAAUAAUCACCAGAAAUAAAGCCAGACUGGUAGCCAAGGGAUAUUCUCAACAAGAAGGAAUUGACUAUGAUGAGACCUUUGCCCCAGUUGCCAGAUUAGAAGCAAUCAGAAUUUUCUUGGCCUAUGCAGCACACAAGAAAUUCAAGGUUUUUCAAAUGGAUGUGAAAAGUGCCUUUCUAAAUGGAGAGCUGGAGGAAGAAGUAUAUGUUGAACAACCUCCAGGUUUUGUGGACACAAAAUUUCCAGAUCAUGUCUACAGACUGGAUAAGGCACUGUAUGGACUAAAGCAAGCACCAAGAGCAUGGUAUGAAACUCUGGCUCAAUUCCUCUUGGACAGUGGUUUCAACAGAGGUACAAUAGACAAAACUCUGUUUUAUCUCAACCAUGGUAAUGACCUGCUUUUAGUUCAAGUUUAUGUAGAUGAUAUCAUUUUUGGAUCUACUAAUCCUAAACUCUGUGAAAGAUUCUCAAAGCUUAUGCAGUCUAGAUAUCAGAUGAGCAUGAUGGGAGAGAUGAGCUAUUUUCUGGGGCUGCAAGUUAAGCAGACUGAUGAGGGAAUUUUCAUUAAUCAGUCUAAGUACUCCAGAAACCUGCUAAUGAAAUUUGGUAUGCAGGAUAGUUCAGCUACCACUACUCCCAUGGCAACAGCCACUAAGUUAGAUAAAGAUACUGGAUCACCAGUAGAAAUUACUAACUACAGAGGUAUGAUAGGAUCACUUCUAUAUGUAACUGCUAGUAGACCUGAUAUCAUGUUUGCUACCUGUCUCUGUGCAAGAUUUCAAGCAGAUCCAAGAGAACCACAUCUGAUAGCAGUCAAAAGGAUUUUCAAAUACCUCAAGGGUACAGUUGAGAUGGGACUCUGGUAUCCCAAAGAAUCAGACUUUACACUAAUUGGUUACUCUGAUGCAGAUUUUGCAGGGUGCAAAAUAGACAGGAAAAGCACACGUGGAAGUUGUCAAUUUCUUGGAGGAAGACUGGUGUCUUGGUUCAGUAAGAAACAGAAAUCAAUUUCCACAUCUACUGCAGAUGCAGAGUAUAUUGCUGCAGGAAGCUGCUGUGCUCAGAUCUUAUGGAUGAAAAAUCAACUGCUAGACUAUGGGUUAUCUCUUACACAAAUUCCUAUUUAUUGUGAUAACCAAAGUGUUAUUGCCAUGACAGGAAAUCCAGUACAGCAUUCCAUGACCAAACAUAUCAGCAUAUGAUAUCAUUUCAUCAGAGAACAUGUGAUGGAAGGGACAGUAGAACUUCACUUUGUCCCAACAGAUCAGCAGUUAGCAGAUAUCUUCACCAAACCUUUGGCUGAAGCAACAUUCACCAGACUUGUAAACGAAUUAGGGAUGAUCUCUGGUCCUCUCUAAACUCUGUUACAUUCCUUCAUAAGAUAUCUGUUAUUAAUCUCUUUUAUAAACUUGAUCUAUAACUGCAUCUGUUAUUCUCUGAUAUAAACUCUGAUGAUUAUGCACUGAUAUGACAAACUCUGAUAUUUAUACUCUGACCUGACAAACUCUGAUGACAUGAAAUUUUUACUGAUAAAUGACUUUCCUGUGAAGAAUAUGGUGCAAAUACUUGAAUUAAGUCAUAAACUUCUCUAAAGUCUGAUAUUUGUGAUAUUACAUAUGUGAAAAUCUAUGUCACACACAACAUGAUUUAAAGCUGUUACCUAGACUGCCUCACUUCUUAAAUAUUAGACAUGUACUCAGUGAAGAAUUUGUUUUACUCCCCUUAUAAGCUAAGAGUAAAUAAGUCUCAGAUAGGGAUCAACAAAAUUUGUUUCUUCUCAGAAAAGUAAAGAAAAGAAAAGAAAACAAAAGAAAAGAAAGAAGAGGUUAUCUCAUGUACUCCUUUGAGAUCUUAGAAACUCUGUGAAAGGAAAGAUCCAAGUGCACUGCUGGUAUUAAGCAAAAUGCAUCAGAAAAAUCUUAUUUUUCUUGGAGACCUUUCGCAUUCUCAGAUUACUGGAGAAAUACACUGAGAAAUAAAAAUCUGAUGAAGGUUAUGACUCACUUGCCAUGGGAAGUUUCCUUUCAAAAGAUAAGUAUCUUAGAAAAGGGAACAAAACUUAUACUCUGAUCCAUAUUGUGAGAAACUCGGCUUAUGAAGUGGUUAAAACAUUUUCAGUUAAUCUGAUUCUUUCUAAUGUUUCUUAAGAAGUUUGUCAAUCUCUGUGACAACAGAUGAAUCAUAUCAACACACAACUUUCACUCCGCAUUUGUGAUUAACAUAUCUUCUGACUUCGAGUGAUUUUUGAUUAAAUUCAAAUAAUCAUUCAGACUUUCAAUGUCUAUCACUCAUCAGUACGAAAUUUUAUGAACAAUCUCUGAUUUGUCUCAUAGACUGCCAUUUAUUUAAACUCUGGUCAAAUGGUCAAACAUCUGAUCAAAGUCGGAGUUUAAAAUAAAUGAUUUUUUGGUCAGGUAAAUAUUAGAUUUAAUUGUCAAACGGUACAAAACCAUUUGAAUUCCUGAGUGGAGAAAAACACGGUGCAUGACUGUGUUUUCUCGGAAAUUGUUACACACUUGCAGAUACACACGCCAGUAAUAAUUACCGUCCCACUAUUCUUUUUUGUUACCGUUAGACACAUGACACGUGUCCUACUACUGCUUCCUCUCGGUGAAUCGUGCACACACAUAUAUAUAUCAGUUUUAAAAAGUUUUUUAACUUUUUAACUCAUGAUUUUUUUACCGUCUCUCUCUCUCACACUUUCCUCUUCAAUUUCUACUACGCAUUUCAUCAAACACCUUACCUGCAAUCUUUAAACUCUCAUUUUCUCUCAGAAUCAUGUCGACAACAGCAUUUGAGAUUGAUGGAGCAAAGUUUGUGACCAAUAACUAUGUUGCCAUCCUAGACAAUGAUGAAGCCCCCAAGGAGUUUCAUCUUAUUCAGGAUUUUUUGGCUCACAGUGAGCUAAUGUACGCUCUGACUCAGCCGGAGUCCAUUUAUCCUUCGCAAGUCCUCACCUUCUAGAGAACAGCCAAUUAUGAUGAUGGGGGUGAUCAAGGCUCACCAUCUCUGAAAUGUGACUAUGAGGGUCAGGAGUAUGUCGUUUCACCAGCAACAAUCAGGAACUCUUCAUCUUCCUGAAUAGAAGAAGUUUGAUUCUCCAGUCCCUACUCAAACUCUGAGGGACAUGACGAUCUUCUUUGGGUACACAGCCAGUACAGAGAAGAUGGGGGAGCUCAAGCGUCCAAACCUCUGCAAGGAAUGGAGCUUUUUCUAUGACUGCAUCACAAGGGCAUUUGGAAACAAGUGCAGUAACUUUGAUGCCAUUCCAAUAUUCAGCCAACAGAUUGGGUACUCUCUGAUUCAUAAUCUUAAACUUGAUCUUGCUACAUCUAUACUGCGAUUUAUUGGAGAUAGAAGAAAAGAUAAUAUGAACAUUGUGUAUUAUGCUAGAUUCUGUCAGCUUAUAUUCUCUUAUUGUUUUCCUGAUGUACCCAUCCCUGAGUCUGGUAAUGAAUUGCCAUUUAAAAUCACUAAACGUGCUUUUACUGAUCUCAUCAAAAAGGAUAGUAAGAAACCCAACCCUCCAGUCUUUGUUAUUCUUGUUAGAGUUCAGGACAAAUUGAGGGUUGCCAUGCAAGAGAAAUAUGGACCCUUAUUCUCUGAUGAGAAUUUACCACAUCCUCCCUCCUCUACUGCUCACACAGAUACUGUUCCAACCUCUGGUCCUUCCCAACAUGGGUCAGUUGUAAAAUCUGACCCAAUCUUACCCUCUGGUCCUUCCCAAAAAGGGCCAGUUGAAAAAUCUUCACCUAAAAGAGUUCUCAGGUCUUCAAAGUCCCCAACCAAACCAUCUCCUCCUCUCAGAAAAAGAAGAUUCUUACAGAAAAUAUUAUACUCUGACCCUGAUGAAGCACCUCCACCUCCUCAACCAGUUAAGAAACAGAGAAAGAAGAUCAAGCCCACUCAUAUAACUGACCUGACUGUUGAGCCACCUCAGUCAGAGGAUCCCAUACAGGCCUUGAUCCCAUUCUCUGAUCAACCUUCAAGUGCAGACCCAUUCAUGAUUGCACCUAUCUCUGCAGUUCCACUUGACACAAUGGCAGCUGACAUCCAAAUGUCAGAAUCAAUCUCUGAACAUAAUGAUCAACCAGCAGUGGCCAAAUCAGAUGAAGGGUUGAAGUUGAAUCAGGAAUCUCCGACUCAACAUGAAGACAUUACUGCAGCUGAUACUCAUGUGUCAGACAAAACUUCUGAUGUUCCAAGUCAAUCAGAGAUGCACAAAUAGAGCUUGUAUUGCAAAUGAUUCAAGACUCUCUGAUUCAACCUGAAUCAAAUGUUGCAGCUCCUGUUCAGGAGGUUCCUACAGCUGCAAAUUCUGAUGCAGCUACUGAAGCUCUGGCAUCUCACACUCUGAGCAUCUUUGUUGAUGAUAAUGAAGAUGAUGAUGCAACAGAGGUCACAUCAAUUCCUGUGCAGACUUCUGAUCUUCAAAUUUUUAUCUCUGAUCCAGUCAGAGAUACUACACGAGUCAGGGAUAAUUCUCCAGUUAAAGCACUGUCACCAGUCAGAGAAUCCUCUCCUCUUAGAGCUCCUACUCCAGUUCCAAACUCUCCACCUCCAUCUUCUAUGCCUGCAAAAAGGAGAGUCUGUAAUUUAACUUACUUUCAGAGGAUGUGCAGAGCUACACCUCCUUCUGUUGAAGACAAACUUGCCUCUAUUGAGGCCACUCAAACAUCAAUGCAGCAUACUCUGGCUGAUUUGAGCUCUUCUGUAGCUCAGCUGGUUCAAGUUCUCACCUAUGCUGAUGUCAAAAAGGGGGAGAAAAUAUCUAAAGACAAAUGCAAAUCUGACCACCAGCAAAUUACAAAGAAAAAGCCAGAUGGUGAUGAAGAAGGCAAUAAGGAGAUUGCUGAAAAGCAGUUAAAGCUGCUGCAAAUCAAGGAUAAGGAAAGGAGUUAUAAGGGUGCAAACUCUGAUAGACCCAUAGAUUCUCAACAAAAACACAAGUCUAUGGAGCUGACUGUUAUGUCUCAAGUUAAGAAAAUAAGUGAAGCAGUCAGAGUUUCUGAUGUUAUAUCUAAAGAAAUAGCUCUUGUGAACUCUGAGGUUGAGAAGAAGAAAGAAGAUCUGAUUCCUGAAUCAGAUAAGCUGAUUGAAGCUGGAGACCCUGAGUCUCAGAAGUUCUGCCAAACUCUGAAGUUCAGAGGCAGAGAAACCACCCUAUUCUACAAAUCUCCUUCUUUGCAAGCUAUUGAUGAAGCUGUAGCAAGGAAGAUAUUUGAAAAGGAAAAUCCAGGAGUGGAUAUAGAAGCCAUCAGACUUGAGGAAGAAAGACUAGCUGCUGAGAAGAUGAAGAUCAGCAAGACAAAGUCUGAUGAGCAAAAACAAAUUACUGAUCCCUCACAGAAACAGAAGAAUCCAAAGCAAAAAGGGAUAGUAAUUAAUGAGGUGAACUACACUGAUAUCAACAGACCAAGAACCAGGUCUCAAACUCAAUCUGAAUCUGAUUCAAAAGACAAAGGAAAGAAAACUGUUGAUGGAGUUCCUCCGAUUCCUCCUGUGAUCAAGAAAUCAAUUGUCAAGAUAGCAUCAGAGAAUCCCUCUCAGAGGAUGAUAAAGCUAAGCAGGAAUGCAAAUAUAAUCACUGAUGUCUCUGAUCAAACAGAAGAAGAAGAAGCUGGAUUGACCAGAAGAAGAAAGGGUGAAGACAAAUCAAUCUCUGAUAUAACUUUAACCUCUGACAAUGCUCAAGUUAAAGUUCCAGUAACAGAAGAAAAGACUAAGACUGAAGAUGCUAAAGUCUCUUGGCUGAAGAUAAAAUCUGAGAAAACUCAAGAUCAGAAAAAGAAGAGUCUCUUUGGAAGCCUUGGUACAAGUCUGUACAAGGAAAGCUCAAUGCUCACCAGGAUCAGAACUCAUGGAACCAGAGGAAAGGAAGCUUAUGAUACUACUGGUCUAGGUCACAGAAAGGAGAAGAUACAAACAAGUUCAGCAACCACCUUCAGAGAUCCUUAUCCUCUGACUGAGAAAGUGGGAGAAGCUGUCACUCAGAAGGACUUAGACAAAGUAGAAUCAGUGCAGAUUCUCAUGGAUACUCAUGAUGGCACAGGAGACAAAGAGAAGAUUGCUAUAUUUCUGGAGUCUGGCAGAGUCUACAGAGUCUCAGAAGCUGAUUUAUUGCUGAAAUCUCUGAGAGAGCUUGAACACUUUCACUAUAUGCUGGAAAUCAAGAAUGAAGCUACUCAGAGAUGGUCUGAUCUGAUGAAGAGGACUAUAAAUGAGAAAAGAAGAUUCUAUGGGAUAAAGUCUGAUGAAGAAUAUAUUCCAAGAAUAGCUCAAGAUGAUGGUUCUGAAAUUCUUAUGGAGAAGAAUAGUUCUGUAAUGGAGACUAUUGCAAAUACCAGAAUCUUGGGUUAUAACAAUGAUGCAGACAGACCAAGAGUGAUUCAGCUGGGAGAUGCAAUGCAAAGAAGCAAGGUGAAUGCCUUGAGAGCAGUUAUCUAUCAGACUGGGGUUGAAACUGAAGAACUCAGAAAUGUUAAAGCCCAGAUGAUACAGAUUUUAAAGCUGAAGGAAGAAAAUCUGAUCAACCAGUUUGUCAAAGAAAGUUUUGGAUAUAGGUUGAUUUGAUAGAUAGUUCUGCUGGUCCUGUAAGUUGUAAUUAGUUCUGUAAAUUAAUUAUUUCAUGCAUUUGUCCUUGAUAGUUUUUGACAUCAUCAGUACAUAUAUAUAUAACUUGUUCAUUCUGUUUAAUGUACAAGUUGGGGGAGAUUGUUACAUAUUUGAUGAUGUCACAGGUAUCUAACUUGUUUAGUGUGCAGAAGCAAAUAUCAGAGUUUAGCUGGAAAUCAGAGUUUAACGACUGCCAGCUGGAUCAGAGUUUAUCGAUGAUCAGAGUUUGCAGGCGGCUGAUUUUCAGGAGCAGAUCUGGCUAAAUAAGGAAGAUAAAGAUUAAGGAAGAUUGUGCAAAUCAGGACAACAGAAGGAUAGCUACUGAUUAGAUUAUUUUAGGAAGCAGAUAAUUAUGAAUCAAUCAGUAGAUAUCAUGUAACUGUGUAUAUAAACACAGAUUAGGGUUUACUCUAUAUGAGUUAGAAUAUCGAGAAUAUUAUUCUUGUAAUCCAGCAGCUCUUAGUGAAAAGUUAUAAAUCACUAAGAGAGUUUUUGUAACCUACUGAGUUUUGUGAAUAAGAGUUUACUUUGUUGAAUCUCUUGUUUGAGUAUUUUUUUAUUGAUUAUGUUCACUAUAUUAAUUAAUAUAGUGAGUUAAUUCGGCCUAACAUCUCAGCUGCUUGGUUGUCCAGACUUGCAAAUGCCUGAACAGAAAACAUUCCAUGAGUAAAAGUCUCAGGGUCAAGUGACACACUAUCCAAUAUGGAUCUGUAUUCAGCCUGAAAAUCUUGCUCACUUGACCCAUCAUUGACACCUGCAUUUCUCUCAAUUUCUCUCUGUUCUUGCAUCAAGGGCUCCCCUUGGCUCACCACACAACUCACCUCUCCCUCACUCGCCCAGUCUAAAGGGCCACUCAUUUCCUCUCCUUUUUCCUGGCUUGAAGAAAUAGCCAUACCCUCUACGCCCUCUCCUUUUGCCAGCACCCAAGGCUGCCUCUCCACACUUUGACUCACUUCACUCAAUCCUAGAAGUGCUUGUGCUAUGAUGUGAUCAACUACUGUAGAAGAUGGAAGAUCAAAUGAAGUACCAGUAGUUGUCAACUGAUGAGAGUCAUCAGUUGAAACAAUCAUUGAAGAGGCUUUUGAUAGGUCCAUUAUUUUGCACAUUUUAACUACCUAUUUAUUGCUUGUUAUCGUAUUUUUAUUAGUUAACUAUUUUGUUUUCAGGAAUUUUUAGAGAAAUCGAGAAUUCAAGAGAAAAAGGAACAAAAGGUGCAAGAAGGGAAAAAGAGGAAGAAAAAGAAAAGAAAAAGAAGAAGAAGAAAAAAAAAAAGAAAAUCAAGACACAAAGACCCUUCUACCCCUAAAACCCUAAUCUUGGCCUAUAUAAACAUCUCUUUCUCUCAUUAGCCACCAACAUAGUCUUUACCCUAGUUUUUACCUAGUUGUUAGUAGCCUCCUUUAUCAUUUUCAACAUCUAGAAUAGCAUGUUCUUUCAAGUUGUAAUCUCUCAAAUAUUGUAAACACUUUCAUUUAUAUAAGUACAAGUUUGGUUUCUUUAUCUCUUGCAUUCUUACCUUGUUGAAAUUUAUGGCUAUGACCAACUUUCCCUUCAACAAGUGGAUAAAGUGGCAUUUAUGCCAACCACUUGUGGGUUGAAAGAGCCUUUAUUAUUUGUUUUAAGCUUACAUUUUUAGUAUUUAGCUUGAGCCCCUUUUAAUUCUCAAUAUUAUUAGUGGGUUCAAUGAUUUAGUUGAUAUUUUGGUUUGUAGUUUGAUGGGGUUUUGUUAGAAACAAGGUAGAUAAGCUAGUUUCGAAGUUUUAUGUGAUUUGGAGUUAGUUUGAUAUAUUUUGGUGUUGUCCUUGUUCUUGAUUUUGGUAUUUUGGGGGGGUUUUUUGGUGGAAAUUUUAGUUGAUAAUUUUGAAAUGAGGUUAGUGGGUUUAUGNNNNNNNNNNNNNNNNNNNNNNNNNNNNNNNNNNNNNNNNNNNNNNNNNNNNNNNNNNNNNNNNNNNNNNNNNNNNNNNNNNNNNNNNNNNNNNNNNNNNNNNNNNNNNNNNNNNNNNNNNNNNNNNNNNNNNNNNNNNNNNNNNNNNNNNNNNNNNNNNNNNNNNNNNNNNNNNNNNNNNNNNNNNNNNNNNNNNNNNNNNNNNNNNNNNNNNNNNNNNNNNNNNNNNNNNNNNNNNNNNNNNNNNNNNNNNNNNNNNNNNNNNNNNNNNNNNNNNNNNNNNNNNNNNNNNNNNNNNNNNNNNNNNNNNNNNNNNNNNNNNNNNNNNNNNNNNNNNNNNNNNNNNNNNNNNNNNNNNNNNNNNNNNNNNNNNNNNNNNNNNNNNNNNNNNNNNNNNNNNNNNNNNNNNNNNNNNNNNNNNNNNNNNNNNNNNNNNNNNNNNNNNNNNNNNNNNNNNNNNNNNNNNNNNNNNNNNNNNNNNNNNNNNNNNNNNNNNNNNNNNNNNNNNNNNNNNNNNNNNNNNNNNNNNNNNNNNNNNNNNNNNNNNNNNNNNNNNNNNNNNNNNNNNNNNNNNNNNNNNNNNNNNNNNNNNNNNNNNNNNNNNNNNNNNNNNNNNNNNNNNNNNNNNNNNNNNNNNNNNNNNNNNNNNNNNNNNNNNNNNNNNNNNNNNNNNNNNNNNNNNNNNNNNNNNNNNNNNNNNNNNNNNNNNNNNNNNNNNNNNNNNNNNNNNNNNNNNNNNNNNNNNNNNNNNNNNNNNNNNNNNNNNNNNNNNNNNNNNNNNNNNNNNNNNNNNNNNNNNNNNNNNNNNNNNNNNNNNNNNNNNNNNNNNNNNNNNNNNNNNNNNNNNNNNNNNNNNNNNNNNNNNNNNNNNNNNNNNNNNNNNNNNNNNNNNNNNNNNNNNNNNNNNNNNNNNNNNNNNNNNNNNNNNNNNNNNNNNNNNNNNNNNNNNNNNNNNNNNNNNNNNNNNNNNNNNNNNNNNNNNNNNNNNNNNNNNNNNNNNNNNNNNNNNNNNNNNNNNNNNNNNNNNNNNNNNNNNNNNNNNNNNNNNNNNNNNNNNNNNNNNNNNNNNNNNNNNNNNNNNNNNNNNNNNNNNNNNNNNNNNNNNNNNNNNNNNNNNNNNNNNNNNNNNNNNNNNNNNNNNNNNNNNNNNNNNNNNNNNNNNNNNNNNNNNNNNNNNNNNNNNNNNNNNNNNNNNNNNNNNNNNNNNNNNNNNNNNNNNNNNNNNNNNNNNNNNNNNNNNNNNNNNNNNNNNNNNNNNNNNNNNNNNNNNNNNNNNNNNNNNNNNNNNNNNNNNNNNNNNNNNNNNNNNNNNNNNNNNNNNNNNNNNNNNNNNNNNNNNNNNNNNNNNNNNNNNNNNNNNNNNNNNNNNNNNNNNNNNNNNNNNNNNNNNNNNNNNNNNNNNNNNNNNNNNNNNNNNNNNNNNNNNNNNNNNNNNNNNNNNNNNNNNNNNNNNNNNNNNNNNNNNNNNNNNNNNNNNNNNNNNNNNNNNNNNNNNNNNNNNNNNNNNNNNNNNNNNNNNNNNNNNNNNNNNNNNNNNNNNNNNNNNNNNNNNNNNNNNNNNNNNNNNNNNNNNNNNNNNNNNNNNNNNNNNNNNNNNNNNNNNNNNNNNNNNNNNNNNNNNNNNNNNNNNNNNNNNNNNNNNNNNNNNNNNNNNNNNNNNNNNNNNNNNNNNNNNNNNNNNNNNNNNNNNNNNNNNNNNNNNNNNNNNNNNNNNNNNNNNNNNNNNNNNNNNNNNNNNNNNNNNNNNNNNNNNNNNNNNNNNNNNNNNNNNNNNNNNNNNNNNNNNNNNNNNNNNNNNNNNNNNNNNNNNNNNNNNNNNNNNNNNNNNNNNNNNNNNNNNNNNNNNNNNNNNNNNNNNNNNNNNNNNNNNNNNNNNNNNNNNNNNNNNNNNNNNNNNNNNNNNNNNNNNNNNNNNNNNNNNNNNNNNNNNNNNNNNNNNNNNNNNNNNNNNNNNNNNNNNNNNNNNNNNNNNNNNNNNNNNNNNNNNNNNNNNNNNNNNNNNNNNNNNNNNNNNNNNNNNNNNNNNNNNNNNNNNNNNNNNNNNNNNNNNNNNNNNNNNNNNNNNNNNNNNNNNNNNNNNNNNNNNNNNNNNNNNNNNNNNNNNNNNNNNNNNNNNNNNNNNNNNNNNNNNNNNNNNNNNNNNNNNNNNNNNNNNNNNNNNNNNNNNNNNNNNNNNNNNNNNNNNNNNNNNNNNNNNNNNNNNNNNNNNNNNNNNNNNNNNNNNNNNNNNNNNNNNNNNNNNNNNNNNNNNNNNNNNNNNNNNNNNNNNNNNNNNNNNNNNNNNNNNNNNNNNNNNNNNNNNNNNNNNNNNNNNNNNNNNNNNNNNNNNNNNNNNNNNNNNNNNNNNNNNNNNNNNNNNNNNNNNNNNNNNNNNNNNNNNNNNNNNNNNNNNNNNNNNNNNNNNNNNNNNNNNNNNNNNNNNNNNNNNNNNNNNNNNNNNNNNNNNNNNNNNNNNNNNNNNNNNNNNNNNNNNNNNNNNNNNNNNNNNNNNNNNNNNNNNNNNNNNNNNNNNNNNNNNNNNNUUCUGCAAUACUCUUUAGAUUUAAUGCAAUUUAUUAUUCUGGAGCAGUGUUCUGUACAAAGUAUUUUGUUAUCAUCAGGUGUACAAAGUAUUCGGAUCUUAAUAUAAAAAAUCAUCAGGUGUACAAAACAAUCCACCUGAAUUAUUUGAAAAACCUUGUUUUUUAAAUUUCUAUUUAGAUUUAAUUACUCUUGUACUUGGAUACUGUUACAUAUUUGAUGAUGUCACAGGUAUCUAACUUGUUUAGUGUGCAGAAGCAAAUAUCAGAGGUUAGCUGGAAAUCAGAGUUUAACAACUGCCAGCUGGAUCAGAGUUUAUCGAUGAUCAGAGUUUGCAGGCGGCUGAUUUUCAGGAGCAGAUCUGGCUGAAUAAGGAAGAUAAAGAUCAAGGAAGAUUGUGCAAUUACUCUUGUACUUGGAUACUGUUACAUAUUUGAUGAUGUCACAGGUAUCUAACUUGUUUAGUGUGCAGAAGCAAAUAUCAGAGUUUAGCUGGAAAUCAGAGUUUAACGACUGCCAGCUGGAUCAGAGUUUAUCGAUGAUCAGAGUUUGCAGGCGGCUGAUUUUCAGGAGCAGAUCUGGCUAAAUAAGGAAGAUAAAGAUCAAGGAAGAUUGUGCAAAUCAGGACAACAGAAGGAUAGCUACUGAUUAGAUUAUUUUAGGAAGCAGAUAAUUAUAAAUCAAUCAGUAGAUAUCAUGUAACUAUGUAUAUAAACACAGAUUAGGGUCUACUCUAAAAGAGUUAGGAAAUCGAGAACAUUAUUCUUGUAACCCAGCAGCUCUUAGUGAUACAAUAUAAAUCACUAAGAGAGUUUUUGUAACCUACUGAGUUUUGUGAAUAAGAGUUUACUUUGUUAAUUCUCUUAUUUGAGUAUUCUGCUAUUGAUUGUGUUCACUAUAUUGAUUUAUAUAUUGAGUUAAUUCGGCCUAACACUGCUGAAGGAUGAUUUUAUUGAUUUUUGUAACUUUUUUCGUGUUUGGUCUUUGACUAAAACAAGACCAGAGAUCUGUCACUUACUAGAAAAUCUAGACUGGACUAACAUGCACACAUUUGACAGAGAUCCUCUCUCUGCCACCGGCAUACGUUUUACCCGUAUUCUGUCGUCAUGCAAGCUAUGGGGCGUCAAACAUGCCUUUUGUUAUGAGGCAUGUAAGGCUUGCUCACUUGACCCAUCAUUGACACCUGCAUUUCUCUCAAUUUCUCUCUGUUCUUGCAUCAAGGGCUCCCCUUGGCUCACCACACAACUCACCUCUCCCUCACUCGCCCAGUCUAAAGGGCCACUCAUUUCCUCUCCUUUUUCCUGGCUUGAAGAAAUAGCCAUACCCUCUACGCCCUCUCCUUUUGCCAGCACCCAAGGCUGCCUCUCCACACUUUGACUCACUUCACUCAAUCCUAGAAGUGCUUGUGCUAUGAUGUGAUCAACUACUGUAGAAGAUGGAAGAUCAAAUGAAGUACCAGUAGUUGUCAACUGAUGAGAGUCAUCAGUUGAAACAAUCAUUGAAGAGGCUUUUGAUAGGUCCAUUAUUUUGCACAUUUUAACUACCUAUUUAUUGCUUGUUAUCGUAUUUUUAUUAGUUAACUAUUUUGUUUUCAGGAAUUUUUAGAGAAAUCGAGAAUUCAAGAGAAAAAGGAACAAAAGGUGCAAGAAGGGAAAAAGAGGAAGAAAAAGAAAAGAAAAAGAAGAAGAAGAAAAAAAAAAAGAAAAUCAAGACACAAAGACCCUUCUACCCCUAAAACCCUAAUCUUGGCCUAUAUAAACAUCUCUUUCUCUCAUUAGCCACCAACAUAGUCUUUACCCUAGUUUUUACCUAGUUGUUAGUAGCCUCCUUUAUCAUUUUCAACAUCUAGAAUAGCAUGUUCUUUCAAGUUGUAAUCUCUCAAAUAUUGUAAACACUUUCAUUUAUAUAAGUACAAGUUUGGUUUCUUUAUCUCUUGCAUUCUUACCUUGUUGAAAUUUAUGGCUAUGACCAACUUUCCCUUCAACAAGUGGAUAAAGUGGCAUUUAUGCCAACCAGUUGUGGGUUGAAAGAGCCUUUAUUAUUUGUUUUAAGCUUACAUUUUUAGUAUUUAGCUUGAGCCCCUUUUAAUUCUCAAUAUUAUUAGUGGGUUCAAUGAUUUAGUUGAUAUUUUGGUUUGUAGUUUGAUGGGGUUUUGUUAGGAACAUAGUAGAUAAGUUAGUUUUGAAGUUUUGUGUGAUUUGGAGUUAGUUUGGUAUGAGUUAGUAUUGUUCUUGUUCUUUGUUUUGGUAGUUUUGGGAGCUUUUUGGUGUAAAUUUUAGUUUGUGAUUUUGAAUUGAGGUUAGUGGGUUUAUGUUAAAAAUAUUAUGUUUAGGCUAGAUUUGAAAUUUGGUGUAGUUUGGAGUUUAUUUGGUUUAAUUUGAGUCUUGUUUUGUUCAAAAAUGGGUAGUUUAAGGGCUCUUUAGUGUAGAAUUUAUUGUUGAAUUUGGUUUAGAGUUUAGUGGGCUUUUAUUUGUUAUAUUUGGAAUGGCUUUAUUUUCCGGUCAAAUUAAUUUUCCGGCGAGAUUUAAGCUAUUCCGGGCACCUAUAGAAUCCGGCGAGGCUCCAUUGUAAGUGGUUUUGUUUGCGGUACCGGACAGUCAGUUAAUAAUAGUUUACGUGUUUGUUUUUCAGUUUUUGGCUUCUGGCUCGGCAGUGUGAACACGCGAGCUCCGUUUCUGUUUCUNNNNNNNNNNNNNNNNNNNNNNNNNNNNNNNNNNNNNNNNNNNNNNNNNNNNNNNNNNNNNNNNNNNNNNNNNNNNNNNNNNNNNNNNNNNNNNNNNNNNNNNNNNNNNNNNNNNNNNNNNNNNNNNNNNNNNNNNNNNNNNNNNNNNNNNNNNNNNNNNNNNNNNNNNNNNNNNNNNNNNNNNNNNNNNNNNNNNNNNNNNNNNNNNNNNNNNNNNNNNNNNNNNNNNNNNNNNNNNNNNNNNNNNNNNNNNNNNNNNNNNNNNNNNNNNNNNNNNNNNNNNNNNNNNNNNNNNNNNNNNNNNNNNNNNNNNNNNNNNNNNNNNNNNNNNNNNNNNNNNNNNNNNNNNNNNNNNNNNNNNNNNNNNNNNNNNNNNNNNNNNNNNNNNNNNNNNNNNNNNNNNNNNNNNNNNNNNNNNNNNNNNNNNNNNNNNNNNNNNNNNNNNNNNNNNNNNNNNNNNNNNNNNNNNNNNNNNNNNNNNNNNNNNNNNNNNNNNNNNNNNNNNNNNNNNNNNNNNNNNNNNNNNNNNNNNNNNNNNNNNNNNNNNNNNNNNNNNNNNNNNNNNNNNNNNNNNNNNNNNNNNNNNNNNNNNNNNNAAAUUAAAAAAUUUAAAAUCCAAAAAUAUUAGCUAGAGUUACAUAAUUGUAGCAUCAUGCAUUUUAACACUUAGGAGCACAUUAUCUAGAUUUUAAUUUUUGUUUUUAAAUUUUCGUACCUUAAAUUGUGGUGAUCGCUGGAGGACCCUAAGGUGCGUUAAUUUCUUCCUUUCUUUAGAGUAAAUCACGUAGUGUAGAAGCAUCCAUAUUUGUUUACCGCUUUUAUUAUCUCAUUGUGUGGUGCAUCAUUUUAAAUAAAUCUUAAGGGCAAAACCACUCAUAAGAUAAGGGAAGGGAUUUCAUUACUCUUUCCUUGGCCCACAACAAUUUAUUCUUCAUUUUGCAUUCCCUAGCCUUGUAAUAAAAUUGAAUUAGACGUUAGCCCCUAGGAUUUCACGCUCACUUAGGAAGGUACCUAAAAGACGAGGUAAUCUUUAACUAUUCCGACUCUUCGGUGUCUAAGGUAAGCGAAAGCUUACCUGGCCGAUUAAGAUUUGGUGUCUAAGCGCGGAGAUUGGCCUCUUGGCAAUGCCUGCUCCAAACUGGCCAAACCGGUCCGAAUAAUUUUGGAUUUAUCGAGUUUUUGGUGGUCCUUAACGUUAGGAGCAAGGUCUAGUUCAUUUCUAUUAGGGAACCCUAGAAUUAAGUUUUUUUUUUUUCACUUUUACACCCUUUCUUUUGUUUGUUUUAUUUUUUCGCACUUAUUUGCUACGUGUUUACUAUCUUGUUUAUGCGAACUACUUGGGUUAGGAACGAAACGUCUAGAUUAGUUAGACCUAUAAUCGAGAUUCCUUCUUCGUCUUCUUCCGAUUCCGAAACCCUAGAAGUUCCAGAACCGAUAGUAAAAAUGGCGUUGUCUCUUAAAGACCGUUGUUACCCGUCCCGUUCCGCACAACCAUCGUGCAUCACCCUUCCUCCUGUUAAUGGGAAUAAUUUCGAGAUUAAGGCACAUCACAUUAGUAUGUUGCCUAAGUUUUUAGGGAGUGAAGGUGAGGAUCCCUAUCUUUUUAUCCAAGAAUUUGAGGAGGUUUGCGGUUUGCAAAAACUCCAACAAUUGAGCGAAGACUCCAUUCGGCUUAGACUAAUCAACUUUGCUUUAAAAGAAAAUGCAAAAAAAUGGUUGUAUAGUCUUCCCGUCAAUUCUAUUUCCACUUGGGAGGGUUUUGUGGUAAUGUUUCUUAAAAAGUAUUUUCCAAACCAUAAAACGACUCGAAUUACAAAUGAAAUAAAUCAAUUCCAUCAAAGGGAAAAUGAGUCUUUUUGGAAAUUCUUUGAUCACUUCAAAAAUCUUUUAUCACAAUGCCCCCACCAUGGAAUAGAGAAAUGGAGACUUUGUAAGAUUGUGUACGAGGCCUUAGAUAGUCAAACAACCGCUUUGUUAGAGUCUAUGUGCCAAGGCAAAUUCAUGGAGAAAGAUGAGGACCAAGGGUGGGAAUUUUUCGAGGACUUAGCCGAGAAAACAAUGUUAUGGGAGUCUACUAGGGAACCUAAAAAGUCGAUCGAGGCGUCUAGCUCUAGGGGUUUGCACUCGAUAGGAAACAAUGUGGCAACCGAUGCCAAAUUAGCAACCCUUACUAAGAGACUCGAAGCUUUAGAGUCUCAUAGUGGCCCUUCAUCUAUGCCUAUGUUCCCGAACUAUAAUGCUCCCCAUCCCGAGAUCCAACAAUCUCAUGAUUUUGAGCAAGUGAACGCGAUGUUCCAACCUAAGCCUAGAAAUGAUCCUUUUGCACCAACGUACAACCCCGGGUGGAAGAAUCACCCGAAUUUCUCGUGGAACCAAGGGCAAAAUUUUCAAGCCCCACAACCUAAUUUUCCUAGGCCCAAUCCCAAUUAUUUUCCGAAUUAUCAAAACCCGAGUCAAGCUCCGUUAAAUCCUCCCGGGUUUAAUGAUUCGGAUAAGAGACUCAAUUCCCUAGAAAAGAGCAUCGAAGCCUUAGUGAAAUCGCAAACUAACUUGACUCAAUCCCAACAAAACUUCAUGCAAACUUUAACACAAGAAAGGCAACUUUUGCAUUCCAAUGUGCAAGCCGUCUCUAAGUUAGAGUCCCAAUUGAGUCAAUUAGCGAGCACGUUGUGUGAGCGAGAAAAGAACAAAUUCCCUAGUCAACCCGAGCCAAAUCCAAAGUUUCCUCUUAAUCAAAGACCCCCGGAUAAUGUGCAUGCGGUCAUUUCUCUUAGGUCGGGUAAGCAAGUAGAUACCCACGUUGGUAAGAACCUUGGUGAAAAAGGGGAUUCGACUUCUAAUCCAAGUCCACCCAUUACUACCAUUAAUCAUGACAAACCCGAGUGUUCAAAAGCCCGUGAGGAGUCGAGUGACCCAAACCCGGAACCCGAGUUACAAAGUGAAGUAGUCUAUAAACCGAGAGUCCCGUACCCGUAAAGACUUAUUUCACCUAAGCAAUCGGCUCAAAUGGUGAAGAUUUUGGAAGUUUUUAAGCAAGUCAAGGUCAACAUACCCCUUUUAGAUGCUAUUCAACAAAUUCCUUCAUAUGCUAAGUGUCUUAAGGAGUUAUGUACCCAUAAGAGAACAAACCAUGUCCCUAAGAAAGCUUUCCUUACAUCUCACAUUAGUUCGAUUCUCUCAAACCAAAUUCCCGUGAAAUACAAGGACCCCGGUUGUCCUACAAUUUCAUGUGUCAUAGGAGAAACUUUUGUGGAUAAGGCGUUACUUGAUUUAGGGGCUAGUGUUAAUCUCCUUCCAUAUUCUGUCUACCAAGCCUUAGGUUUAGGGGAGCUCCGACAAACCAAUGUCACACUUCAAUUAGCCGAUCGAUCCGUGAAAAUUCCUAAGGGAAUGAUCGAAGAUGUGCUAAUUAAAGUAGGUGAUUUCGUGUUUCCCGUAGAUUUUGUCGUCCUAGAGACCGAGCCGGUUAGGAACCCUAAGAAUCAAAUUCCCAUUAUCCUAGGACGACCGUUUUUAGCUACAUCCAACGCGUUGAUUAAUUGUAGGAACGGAUUAAUGAAGCUAACAUUUGGCAACAUGACAAUCGACCUCAACAUCUUUCAUGUGGGGAAACAAUCCGAUGAUUUCUAUGAUCAACCUAUGGAUGUUAAUCUAAUUGAUGAAAUAGUUGAUCAAGAUCUCAUGAAUCCUAAAGAUGCCCUUGAAUUUUGCUUAAAACAUUUUGUAGAGAAUUGGGAUGUUUCCGACUACACACAUGAGGUCAACCAAAUGUUAGAAUCCACCAUUCCGACAACGAGUCAAGAGCGUGAUGUUGAAUCCGAGCAUUUACCUUUACCUAAGAAAACCGUUGAGUCACAACCGCCGGAGUUAGAACUCAAACCUCUUCCUGACACUCUUAAGUAUGCUUUUCUAGGCCCUAACGAGUCCUACCCUGUCAUCAUUGCCUCUAAUUUGACUACGUCACAGGAGGAAGAACUUUUAGGAAUCCUUAGAAAGCAUAAGGGAGCGAUAGGGUGGAGCAUUUCGGACAUUAAAGGGAUUAGCCCGGCGAUUGUCCAACAUAGGAUUCAUUUGGUAGAAGAUGCAAAGCCCGUGAGAGAACCUCAAAGGAGGUUGAAUCCUCCCAUGAUGGAGGUAGUUAAGAAAGAGAUUCUUAAGUGCUUAGACAAUGGGAUCAUUUAUCCCAUUUCCGAUAGUAAGUGGGUGAGUCACGUUCAUGUUGUGCCUAAGAAGUCGGGCAUCACUUUAGUGACAAAUGAGAACAAUGAGCAAGUUCCAACACGUGUUCAAUCCGGUUGGAGAAUGUGCAUAGACUUUAGGAAGCUUAAUGCCGUCACUAGGAAAGAUCAUUUUCCUUUACCUUUUAUCGAUCAAAUGCUAGAGAGGUUAGCGGGUCAUGCUUUUUAUUGCUUCUUAGAUGGUUAUUCGGGAUAUUUUCAAAUCCCGAUUGCUCCCGAAGACCAAGAAAAGACCACUUUCACUUGCCCUUUUGGAAGCUUCGCGUAUAGACGUUUAGCUUUUGGCCUAACCACGGGCCCAUCCACGUUCCAAAGGUGCAUGACUAGCAUUUUCUCAGAAAUGAUAGGCGACUUUCUAGAAGUCUUCAUAGAUGACUUUUCCAUCUUUGGACCGUCUUUCCACCAAUGCCUUACCAAUCUAGACUUAGUUUUGAAAAGAUGUGAGGAAACGGAUUUAGUAUUAAAUUGGGAGAAAUGUCAUUUCAUGGUUAAGGAGGGAAUCGUUCUAGGGCAUAAAAUUUCUGAAAAAGGGAUCGAAGUAGACAAGGCUAAGGUCGACCUAAUAGCUAAUCUCCCUCCUCCCAAGUCCGUUAAGGAAAUUCGUUCUUUCCUUGGACAUGCGGGAUUUUAUCGUAGAUUCAUUCAGGAUUUUAGCAAAAAGGCCCGACCUUUGACCAACCUUCUAGCCAAGGAUGUCAAAUUCGAUUUCACAAGCGAGUGUUUUCAUUCCUUCGAAGAACUUAAGAGAGAAUUAACUUCGGCCCCGAUCAUGAAGUCUCCCGAUUGGAGUCAACCUUUUGAGCUUAUGUGUGACGCAUCCGAUUAUGCGAUAGGAGCGGUUUUAGGACAACGAAUAGAUAAGAGGCCUCAUGUCAUUUACUACGCUAGUAAGACCUUAAAUGAUGCCCAACUCAAUUACUCUACCACCGAGAAGGAGCUUCUAGCCGUAGUCUUUGCCUUAGAAAAAUUUCGCUCUUAUCUCAUCGGGUCCAAAAUCAUUGUUUACACCGACCAUGCCGCCCUUAGGUAUCUUUUCUCUAAAAAAGAUUCAAAAGCCCGCUUGAUUAGAUGGGUGUUGUUGCUCCAAGAGUUUGACUUAGAGAUUAGAGAUAAGAAAGGUUGUGAGAAUGUCGUUGCCGAUCAUCUCUCUCGAUUAGUGGUUGAAUCCACUAACGACUUGCCUUUAAGCGAGUCAUUUCCCGGAGAACACCUUCUCUCAAUUUCCACUCUCCCUUGGUUCGCCGACAUAGUCAAUUACUUAGCAACCGGUGACAUUCCCUUGACAUGGUCCAAAAAUGAUAAAGCCAAGUUCUUUUCUCAAGUGAAACAUUUCUUUUGGGACGACCCGUAUCUCUUUAAGCAUUGUCCCGACCAAAUCAUUAGGAGGUGUGUCCCAAAUAGUGAGUUUCAUAGCAUCCUCUCGUUUUGUCACGAUCAAGCAUGUGGAGGUCAUUUUAGUGCGAAGAAGACCGCCGCUAAAAUCCUCCAAUGCGGUUUUUAUUGGCCUAGUUUGUUUAAGGAUGCCGCCGAGUAUUGUUCCGCAUGUAGUAGGUGUCAACAUCUAGGAAGAAUCACUAGGAGGAACAUGAUGCCUAUGAGCCCAAUCCUUGUUCUAGAGCUCUUUGAUGUGUGGGGCAUAGAUUUCAUGGGCCCAUUUCCUAGUUCGUUUGGCCACCUUUACAUCCUUCUCGCGGUUGAUUACGUUUCCAAGAGGAUAGAAGCCAUCCCGACCCGGUCCAAUGACAACAAAGUUGUCCUUAGAUUCCUUAAAGAGAAUAUCUUUUCUCGAUUUGGAACACCUAGGGCUAUCAUUAGUGACCAAGGGACGCAUUUUAAGAAUCGUCAAUUCGAGUCUCUUCUUAAGAAGUACUCCAUCACUCAUAGGCUUGCUACCCCUUAUCAUCCUCAAACUAGUGGCCAAGUAGAGGUGUCAAACCGGCAAAUUAAGCAAAUCUUAGAAAAGACGGUCAACUCGAAUAGGAAGGAUUGGUCCACCAAGUUGAUAGAUGCCUUAUGGGCCUAUCGGACCGCCUUUAAGACCGUCUUAGGAAUGUCUCCUUAUAGACUCGUGUAUGGUAAAGCUUGCCAUUUGCCGGUUGAGUUAGAGCAUAGGGCCAUGUGGGCCAUUAGAGAAUUGAACUUCGACUUACCCACCGUCGGUAGUCAUCGGAAGUUACAAUUGACCGAGUUGGACGAACUUAGAAAUGAUGCCUACGAAAAUGCUAAAAUUUACAAAGAGAGAACCAAGGCCUUCCAUGAUAAAACCAUAUUGAGAAAAUCCUUUUCUCCCGGCCAAAAAGUUCUUCUCUACAAUUCUAGGCUUAAUUUGUUUCCCGGUAAGUUGCGUUCUAGAUGGGAUGGUCCUUAUGUUGUUCAAGUUGUUUUUCCUCAUGGUGCUAUUGAAAUUCAGGAUCCUAAAAAUUGUAAUGUUUUUAAGGUUAAUGGUCAACGUCUUAAACCAUUUUUAGAAUUGCCUGUUGAUUCGGAGGAAGAGGUCAUCCACCUUAUCGACCCUUGAUCAUGUAAGUCACUUCAGUAGUUAAUAAAAGUCCCUUCAUCUCCUAUUCAGGUAUUUUUUUCCUCUUUACUCUCUCAUUCUCUCUUUUGCAUACAUUGAGGACAAUGCAUGAUUUAGGUAUGGGGAGGGCUUUAGUGUAAUUCUGAGUAAGGUUGUCUUUUUGAAACUUGUAUCGACCGAUUUGUACUCGUAAUUCCAAGAUGGCACACACUUUGCACAAGACCUUUGAUGGAGAGAUUGUCUAGUGAUAUUAUUAGAUACCUGAGAGAGAACCCACAUGUUGAAACAAUGUCGAAUCGAACAUUUGCGAAUAAAAAAAAAGCGAAAAAAAAAAGAAAAAGAAAAAGAAAAAAAAAGGAAUAAACUACUUCAAUACCCAUUGUUCUUUAUAGAUAAAAUCUUUAGAUAAUGGGCAAAAGUAGAUUGGCUAGUCUCGUUUUGUGGCCUUUGUUACUCGAGCAAUUAAGUCCGUAGGGGGAUUUUAAAACCUAGUGCCCUAAGACCGUUUGGUUUGGGAGUCACUGACCUAAAGCUCGCUACAUGGGUAACAUUGUUUGCCUAAGAAAACGGACAAAAUAAAGUCAAUGCAAAAAAAAGAAAAAAAGCAAAAAAAAAAAAAGAAUAAGAGUUUGUGAAGUUUGGCUAGAUAUUUGUUUCGAUAGAGAUUGGGUCAGUUCAAAAUUGGUUGAAAAAGAGAAAGUGUUCUUAGACAAUUAGGAUCCAUCAAAGGCCUUAAAUUACUUACACUCCUUGGAUUUCUAGUAAAUCUUUGUGUCGAUGCAAGUAGAUUAGAGACAACUGUAUCUUGAUUAUUAGUAGAUGAGUCUUUAAGUCGUAUUUUCCUUAAAAACGCUUUUUGUUAACACCAACGAAAUUAGAGUAGAGUCGAGUAGACACUUGCUAGAAUGUCUCGCAGAUUUUAUGGGUAUAUCUUCUGUAAACCCUUAGGAGACAAAACUCCUCUUGUAGAGAUCGUCUACGAGUUUAACGGGUUGGUGAACCUAAAAUCACCCGUCACGCCUACGAAAAGGAGCCUAGGACUUGCAUUUAGUUUUCUUAGUUUAUUUUCUUUUCUUUUGAUUUUUACUCGAGGACGAGCAAAAGAUAGGUAUGGGGACGUUUGAUAGGUCCAUUAUUUUGCACAUUUUACCUACCUAUUUAUUGCUUGUUAUCGUAUUUUUAUUAGUUAACUAUUUUAUUUCAGGAAAUUGUAGAUAAAUAAAGAAAGAAGAGAAAAUGCAAGAAAAAGGGAGAAAAAGAAAAGAAAAGAAGAAAAUCAAAGAGAGUUGGCAAGCAAGGGGGCACAUGGAAGGCUAUGAUUUACCCAACACACAUCACACAUGGAUGGAUUAGAUUUAGCCACCCUACCCCUAAACCCUACAUUUCUAGCUAUAAAUCCCCCACCUCCUUUACUUGUAAAUAAUAAUCUUUUAACCUUACGUCUUUCUNNNNNNNNNNNNNNNNNNNNNNNNNNNNNNNNNNNNNNNNNNNNNNNNNNNNNNNNNNNNNNNNNNNNNNNNNNNNNNNNNNNNNNNNNNNNNNNNNNNNNNNNNNNNNNNNNNNNNNNNNNNNNNNNNNNNNNNNNNNNNNNNNNNNNNNNNNNNNNNNNNNNNNNNNNNNNNNNNNNNNNNNNNNNNNNNNNNNNNNNNNNNNNNNNNNNNNNNNNNNNNNNNNNNNNNNNNNNNNNNNNNNNNNNNNNNNNNNNNNNNNNNNNNNNNNNNNNNNNNNNNNNNNNNNNNNNNNNNNNNNNNNNNNNNNNNNNNNNNNNNNNUCCGGUCAAAUUAAUUUUCCGAGAUAAGUUAGUUUUGAAGUUUUGUGUGAUUUGGAGUUAGUUUGGUAUGAGUUAGUAUUGUUCUUGUUCUUGGUUUUGGUAGUUUUGGGAGCUUUUUGGUGUAAAUUUUAGUUUGUGAUUUUGAAUUGAGGUUAGUGGGUUUAUGUUAGAAAUAUUAUGUUUAGGCUAGAUUUGAAAUUUGGUGUAGUUUGGAGUUUAUUUGGUUUAAUUUGAGUCUUGUUUUGUUCAAAAAUGGGUAGUUUAAGGGCUCUUUAGUGUAGAAUUUAUUGUUGAAUUUGGUUUAGAGUUUAGUGGGCUUUUAUUUGUUAUAUUUGGAAUGGCUUUAUUUUCCGGUCAAAUUAAUUUUCCGGCGAGAUUUAAGCUAUUCCGGUGAUCCCAUAGAUUCCGGUAGUUUGUUUUCGGUGGAGUUGGCCACGGCGUGUUCGUCUGUAUAUUAACGUGUUUUCGUUUCUCUGCCACUGUCCUGUUCUUUCCGCGCUGCUAUUUCGUUUUUUUUUGUUUUUUUUGUUUUUUUGUUUUUGUUUUUUUACUUUUUCCUUUUUUUUUGUUUUAUUCAAAUAUUAUCUUGUUAUUUUAGUUUAAUGUGAUAUUGAAUAUAAUCAGAUUUAGAUUUUAAUAAUUUAUUUUAAUUAUUUGAUAAAAUAUAUUUCAGAUUUUAGAUUAAUAAAAUCAUCUCAAAAUCUUUUGGUCUAAUUUGAUUAAGUUAAAAAUUAAGUUUUCGCGAAAAUAAAUUUAGUCCUUGGAACGAAUCUUAUAUUACUAAAACGGGAUCGUGCACUUGCGAUUAAAAUCAUAUUUUGAGCACAUCAGCUUUCAACUGAUGAAGGCUGUUAAGCGCAUCAGUUGAAGGACAAACACUUUUCAACAGAUGAAGAAGAUCCAUUGAAGAUGAAGAAGAAAUAGGCAAGGAGGCUAUGACAGUUGAGUUUGUGGUGAUUCAUUGUGAGUGUAAAUCCACAGAACACAUUCUCAUAGAAGAAGAAGAAAUUUUAUGAGAAAGAUCCAACAAAUCAUCAAUUUGAUGAUGAUCAAUCUCAGAAAGGGGCUUCUCAAUGAAGUCCAAAGAUGUGAAUUAACUCCACAUCCACAGAAGAGGUAGGAGAUUGUGUUUGGGGUGUAGAAAUAGUGAGAUCAUGUAUGUGUGAGAUAGGUAGAGAAGUAGAAGGGGGCUGUGACUCCACAUUUACUGGAGUCACAUCAAUCAGACUUUGAGAAAAUGGAGGCAUAAAAUCAAUGAUUUUAGCCUGAGAAGUGUGUGCAGAGUGCUUAGAUUUGCUACUUUUCAACGGCUUUCUCCCAUAAGCUUUAACUGGUGACUGAGUGUCCCUCCCCCUCUUUGGCAGUGUCCCUGGAUGGGGACUUUUUUCAAUAGCAACAUCCUUUUGGGAGGAUGCUGCUAAGGAUGAGUUUGAUUCCUUGUUAAUCUCUACAGUCUUUUGGGAGACUGCAGAGUGGCUAGGCUGGUUCUCACUCAACUCUCCAACCUUAUCCUUAGGGCUUCUUUGAUGUUCACCCUGUCUCUCCCCCCUACUUCCACCAAUCACACUCCCCUUAGGUUUGUGUUUCUUAGUUUUUACAACAGGUGCCUUUUGGGAUGCACCUGAGGUUGGCUUUGCAGAUUUGGAUUUUGAAGGUUUUGCCACUUGGGUAGACUGUUGUUGGGCCUUCUCAACAGCCCUAAUGGCAGAAAGCAAAGCAGGAGAGGGUUGAGAAGGAGUAGUAGGGAAACCAAAUACCUUCUUCUCAUUACUUUUCUCCAUAAUAGGCAGGUAGACAACCUCCAAGUUGUUGAAUAGCUUCAUUUUGGCAAGAUCCUUGAAGACUCUUUUCUCCUGCACAAAGCUAGCAACCUUGGCUUCUUUGUUAGUGAUAACUAGCUUAUCAACAUGAUUAGCUAGCAUCAUAAGAAACCUAACAUAAUACAUAUAUUUGGGCCUAUCAGUCUUAUCACCUAACUUUCCCCCAAUUUCAUGGAUCAUCAAAGUGCCAAAGUUAUAGUAUUCAUUAGCCAGAAACAUGUAAAAAAUUUGCAAAAUUUACAAAAGCAUCACACAAGUAGCUCCAUUCUCUCCUAAGGCCUUUCCUAACUAUUUUACCUAGAGCAUCAGUAGGCAAAACAUAGUUCAUGGCAUACAACAUAUUAACUAAUUGAAUGUCAGAAGGCAAGGUACUAACAGUAUUUUCAGGAAUCUUAAAGCAUGCAUUCAUAACAUCACAGUUAAUAGUAUGUACAGUAUUUUUAAGAGAGAAAGAGAUAGUAUCAUCCUCACUGUUAAACUCAGCCGUAGUCCUGAUUUCAUCUACCACUUCAUGGUAGUUUGUUGAAGUGGAGAGCAUAGCAUGAGACAAUUGGCUUGCCAUGAUGAAAUCCAUCAUCUUGUGGAACUCCUUUUCUUCCACAGCCUCUUUAUCCAAAAAAGAUGCAAAGUUGUUCUUCUCAUUGAUAAAUCCAGUUGGUGAUGAGUAUUUCUUCAUUGGCGCCAUUGCAGUUACAGAAAAAGCUUGAAGAAAAUAAGAACUUCUUUUGCAGAGAGAGAGAGAGAGCUUUGUGAAUUCGAAAGAGUGAGAUGAAAAGAAAUGAAAAUAAACUUAAAAAGCUUAAAUACUUUCACAGAAAAUUGCUGUGAUUGGUCGAGAAAUAUAUUACCGUUGAGUAGUAAUAACUUUUAUUUCACUCUGUAAAAAUUACACACACGAUUGUGUGUAUAAAGUUAAGGAGAGAUAAAAGUUAUUUCAACGGCUCAGAUCUGAUAAUUGUUUCAAUGGAUGAGAUAGGCGCCUCUUUGGAAUUCUUAUUCAAUUGAUGAAGAUCAGUUGAAAGAAUACUCCAGUAUAGGAUAAUUCCACUAUCUCAUCAGUUGAAAUAUUACACAUUCUAUCCAGAAUCAUAACUAAAUUAAUUUUGGAAAUAUUAAAUUUAGCUAAAUUUUGGCUGCCAAAUUAGAGACAAAUUUACCAUAAAUUAGGAGAAAUUUAACAUACCUAAUUUACUUACCAACCUUGUGAAUGUGGAUUCAUCAAAAGGCUUUGUGAAAAUGUCUGCAAUUUAUUCUUCACUUGGAACAAAAUGCAUUUCAAUAGUACCAGCCAUCACAUGUUCUCUUAUGAAGUGGUAUUUGAUGUCAAUAUGCUUGGUUCUUGAAUGUUGUACUGGAUUCUCAGUUAUAGCAAUAGCACUGGUGUUGUCACAGAAUAUUGGGAUUUUUGAGAGAUUUAAACCAUAAUCAAGUAAUUGAUUUCUCAUCCACAAUAUUUGUGCAUAACAACUUCCAGCUGCAAUAUAUUCAGCCUCAGCUGUAGAGGUUGAAACAGAGUGUUGCUUUUUGCUAAACCAAGAAAUCAGUCUGUCUCCAAGAAAUUGACAUGUGCCUGUUGCACUUUUUGUAUCAAUUUUGCAUCCGCAUCUGAAUAUCCAAUUAGAUCAAAUCCAGAGUCUUUAGGGUACCAAAUACCAAGAUUUGGUGUUCCCUUAAGAUAUCUGAAUAUUCUUUUAAUAGCAAUUAGAUGUGAUUUUUUAGGAUCGGCUUGAAAUCUAGCACAGAGGCAUGUAGAAAACAUAAUAUCAGGUCUACUAGCUGUCAAGUAUAAAAGAGAACCAACCAUGCCUCUAUAAUUAGAGAUUUCCAAAGAUUUCUCAUUAGGACUUAACUCUAAUUUAGUGGCAGUUGGCAUAGGAGUUUUAGCUUCUUUGCAAUCCAUUAAAUCAAACUUUUAAAGUAAAUCAUAAAUGUACUUGGUUGAUUUAUGAAUAUACCUUCCUUUACUUGUUUAACUUGUAAACCAAGAAAGUAGGUGAGCUCUCCCAUCAUGCUCAUUUCAUACUGACUUUUCAUUAGAUUGGCAAACUUUUUGCAGAGUUUCUCAUCUGUAGACCCAAAAAUUAUAUCAUCUAUAUAAAUUUGAACUAAGAUAAAAGCACCAUUCACAUUUCUAUAAAAUAGUGUUUUAUCCACAGUUACCUUAAAGAAAUGAUUAUCUAACAAAAAUUGAGAUAGAGUGUCAUACCAGGCCCUUGGUGCUUGCUUUAAACCAUAAAGUGCUUUUAACAAAAAGUACACAUACUCAAGAAAAUCUGGAUCUUCAAAACCAGGAGGCUGACUUACAUACACCUCCUCUUCCAAUUCAUCAUUAAGAAAGGCACUUUUAACAUCCAUUUGAUAGACUUUAAAGUUUGCAUGAGCAGCAUAGGCCAAGAAAAUUCUUAUGGCUUCCAAUCUUGCGACUGGUGCAAAUGUUUCAUCAAAAUCAAUUCCUUCAGAUUGAGAGUAUCCUUUAGCCACAAGCCUUGCUUUGUUUCUGGUGGCAACUCCAUUCUCAUCCAUUUUGUUUCUGAAUACCAAUUUUGUGCCUACAAUUGUUCUGUUAUUAGGCUUGGGUACCAGUUUCCACACUUUGUUUCUCUCAAAUUGAUUUAAUUCUUCUUGGAUAGCAAGAACCCAAUCAGCAUCUUUGAGAGCAUCUUCUAUUACUUUAGGCUCAUCCUGUGAAAAAAUGCACUGUAUAAGCAUUCAUCUUGAGUAGCUCUUCUGGUCUGAACAGAUGCAUUUGCAUCACCAAUAAUUAAUUCAAAAGGAUGAUCCCUGGUCCAUUUUCUUUGAGGUGGAAGUGAUUUACUUGAUGAUGUAGCUUCAUUGUUGUAGUUCAGAUUGCCAUGUUGAAAAGAUCCCUCUAAAUUUGACAUCUCAUUAUUCCUAAAUUGAUUAGAAUUUUGAGAUAUUUUUUUUAACUGAUGAAUCCAGAGGAGUUUCAACUGAUGUUUUCAAAGUAGUUUCAAUUGAUGCUUCAGCUGAAUUUUCAAUGGCUGAUGUCUCAUACAUCAAAUGCUCAUCAGUUGGAAUAUUAAUUCCAGGAUUAAUUCCAGCAUUCUGAACAGAAUCAUCACAAUCAUCAUCACUAUCAUAUAGAUCACCUUCACCUUCAUUUUCAAAUAUGAGAUUGUCAUGAAAUCCUUCAUCUGACAGACCUUGAAUCUUUUUAUCAUCAAAGACUACAUGGAUUGAUUCCAUAACAAUGUUGGUUCUCCAGAUUUUACACUCUAAAUGACUUUCCAUUAGAGUAUCCAACAAAAAUAGCUUCAUCUGCUUUGGCUUCAAAUUUUCCAAGAUUUUCACCUUGAUUUCUUAGAACAUAGCACUUAUAUCCAAAUACAUGAAGAAAGCUAAUUGUUGGCUUCUUUCCUUUAAAAAGUUGAAAGGGAGUCAGACUGUGAGACUUGUUAUUAAGGAAAUAUUUUGAGUGAAGCAAGCAGUGUUCACACCCUCAGCCCAGAAAUAGGUUGGCAAUUGAGCUUCAUUAAUCAUGGUUCUUGCAGCUUCAAUAAGAGUUCUGUUUUUCCUCUCCACUACUCCAUUUUGUUGUGGAUCUCUUGGUGCAGAGAACUCAUGAAUAAUUCCCUUUUCUUCACAAAAUUCCUUCAUUACUGAAUUUUUGAAUUCAGUCCCAUUAUCACUUCUUAUUCUUUCAACUUUGACAUCUGGAUUGUUGUUUAACGUCUUGAUGUGAUUGAUAAUGAUUUUCCCAGCUUCAUCCUUAAAAUGUAGGAAGAAAGUCCAAGUAACUUUUGAAAAAUCAUCAACAAUCACUAGACAAUACUUCUUCUUUGAAAUUGACAUAAUGUUGACUGGUCCAAACAUAUCCAUAUGAAAAAGUUGAAGAGGCUUCACAAUUUUGAAAGAACUUCGCUUUUGAAAGAGCUUUUCUUUUACUUUCCUUGCUGACAUGCUCCACACAGACCAUCUUUGGAAAAUUCCAACUUUGGAAUUCCUCUAACCAAAUCCUUCUUUACCAACUCAUUCAUUAUCUUGAAAUAUAAGUGAGACAAUCUUUUGUGCCAUAGCCAACUGUCAUCUGAGCUUGCUUUGCUGAAAAAACAAGUGAUUGUUUCAGACUUGACAGAGUUGAAGUCAGCUACAUACACAUUUCCCAUUCUUUGUCCAAUUAGUACCACAUUGUUGUCAUCUCCUUUGGUGACAACACAGGCUGCAGGAGUGAAAUUUAUCUUAUAACCUUUGUCACAAAGUUAACUAAUGCUAAGCAAAUUAUGCUUAAGACCAGACACCAAUGCAACUUCAUCAAUGAUGACAUUUUCUUUUGCUACCAAGCCAUAUCCCAUAGUAUAUCCUUUGUUGUCAUCUCCAAAGGUAAUGCUAGGGCCAGCUUUCUCUACAAACUUUGUGAGCAGGGAAGAAUCACCAGUCAUGUGCCUGGAGCAUCCACUAUCUAAGUACCACAAAUUCUUCUUAUGGCUUCCCUGCACACAUAUUCCAAAACAGAUCAUGUUGAUUUUGGUACCCAAAUUGCUUUGGGUCCAGAUUUGUUAGUCUUAACAGCUUUCCCUUCAUUCUCAAUCUUUCCCUUGGAUUGAGAUGGUUCAAUCUUUGGUUUUGAUUGAGAAAUUAGGGUAUCAACAUUACUCUAAAAGAUAGGCAUUUGAGGCAUACACACAUUAUUGAAACCUUGCAAAUUUGAGUGAAAUUGAGGCAUGUUAAAGGCAUUGAAAUAUGGAUUGAACAUGUAUGGCAUUCUAGACUGAGAGUAUGGAUUGUGAGGCAAUAAACCAGGCAUCAUGUUCAUAGCAGAUAAAUUCAUGUUGGAAACGGAUGGCAUGGAAAUAGGCAAGGAUGAAUUAGGAGCAAUCACAAUUUUAUAAUUUGCAGACAAAUGAUUGACACUACCACAUUUAAUGCAAGUUUUCCUAGGAGCACUAGCAUUGGGAGUGUAAUUAAUGUGCUUAUUGACUCCAAUUUUACCAUUCCUAUUUCCCUUUUUCUUUUUAGUCUCUUCUGAUUUAAACUCACUGGCAUCCAAUUUCUUCUUAGUCUUAUUACUAGAGUUAUGAGUGUUGUUUACACUCUCACUUGUCUCAGAAGAAUUACUCUCACCUUUAACAAAAUUCUUUUUAAUAAGGCCAUAUUUCUUGUUUAAUUUCUUGAGAACUUUCUUGUUAAUUGAUGGACUUUUGUUCAACGGAUGACUUUCAUUAGUUGAAACUUUAUACUUCAACUGAUGAUCAUCAUCCGUAUUUUCAUCAGUUGAACUAGCAUCUGAGAUCUCAAGAACUUUCUUGUCUCUCUUCCACUCAUUCUCAACAAAAGUUUCUAUGCCUUGUAUGUUGAUAAUGUUUGUUGAAACAUCUCUUCCAGAUUUCCAUCUGGCAAUUAUCUCUUGUUCCUUAUCAAGCUGUUUUCUUAUGAUCUCUUCUCUUUUUAAAACAAACAAAAGAUCAACUUUGGCUGUCUAACAUUCAAUUUUCAGUUUCUCAAACUCAAUAAAUUGAGCUUCUAGAGCACUGUUUCUAUCACUAAGGAAGGUGUUAGCAUCUUAAAUCCUACUGUUUUCCUUAGUGAGAGACUUUAAAGAAACAUGCAAAUGAUAUAAUUCUAUAGACAUUUCAUUUAUAGUAGCAUUGCAUUCAUCUUUAGUUAACUCAACUAAGUUUAUAGUAAAUACCUGACUACUGCUUCCAGUGUUUUCCUCUUGAUUUGUGGAGUUGGCCAUUAGAGCAAGAUUGACAAACUCCUCUUCUUCAUCAGAAUCAUCCCCAGCUGCCCAAUCAUCCUUUGUAAUGAAUGUUCUUUCUUUUUGCUUGAGAAGUUCAUAAUAUUUCUUUUUGUAAUACAUGCUUUCACUGGACCUCUUCUCAACUUUAGGCUUUCUGCAUUCAUUUGCAAAGUGACCUGCAUUCCCACAGUUGAAGCACUUGAAUUUGGAUCUAUCCACCAUGCUUCUGUCAGACUUGUGAUUGCCUUUAAAUGAUUUUGCAGUAUUAAAAUUCUUUUUGAAUUUUAGUUUGGAGAAUCUUCUUGACAGGAAGGCCAAGUGCUCAUCAAUCCCAUCACUCUCUUCACCAGAAUCAGUUGCAUCUUUUGCCUUCCCUUUUCCUUUGCUUGAUUCUGAGCUCUCUCCUUUGACCAACUUCUCACUUUCUUCAGCUUGAGAUUUUCCCUUAUCUUUGACAGAGUCGUCAAGAGAUGCAAGUAAAGCCACAGAUGAAUAUCCUUUCUUUUGACUCUUUUCUAUCUCUUCAUCUCGUUCCAUUUCAUGCUCAUAAGUUUUCAAAGUUCCAUACAGUCUCUCAAGAGUAUAGUCCUUAAAUUCUUGAGUGUUUCUAAGAGAGACUGUCAUGGGUUUCCAUUCUUUAGGAAGAGCUCUUAAGAAUUUCAAAUUUGAAUCCUUAACUUGGUAUAUUCUUCCAAAAAGUUUCAGACCAUUUAACAGUUUUUGAAAUCUGUUAAAUGUGUCACUCAAGCUUUCACCAGCCUUGAAAUGGAAUGACUUAUAUUGUUGAAUCAACAACUGCAUUUUGUUUUCUCUUACUUGCUCAUUUCCUUCACAGAUGGUCCUGAUGGUGUCCCAAACUUCUUUGGCACUUGUGCAGCUGAUAACACUAUCAAUCAUUUCUUGAUCCAGACCAUUAAACAGAAGGUUCAUGGUUUUCUUUUCCUUGUGCACUUCUUCAGUGUCUUCUUGAGAAUAUUUAUAGAUAGGUUUGGGAACCAUUUUGCCUACCAUGUCUUCACCAUCAGCUCCAAUACUGGUACAUACCUUCAUGGGAACAUGUGGUCCUUUCUCAAUGCAGUUUACAUAGCUUUCAUCUAUUGACAACAGAUGCAAAUGCAUUCUCACUUUCCAGUGAAAAUAGUUGUCUUUGUCGAGAACAGGAGUCUUCACUCCAGCAUCCUUCUUUCCCAUCUUUCUCUAGCAGUGUUGAUCUUUUUCCCUAUUUGUUGGGAACCUCGCUCUGAUACCAAUUGUUAUAUUACACUAACUAUGAGACAGAUUGUAGAAGGGGGGGUUGAAUACAAUCUUUUACAAAUUAAAAGAUUCAAGAACAAGAACACUUAAAAUAAUAAAUCAGAAAAACACCAAGUAUUAAAAAUACGAGUGGAUUGAAUGAUCCACCCGUGAGAUUUUAUAUUGAAGAAUCUAUGGAUUGAUUACAAUUCUCACAGCUGCAGGUUCAUCACUUGAAAAGUUUCGAACUCUCAGAUUUUCUCUCAAGUAUUCGAACAAGUUCAGCUGAUGCCACUAAUUUGGUUAUAUACUCCAAGUUUUACAAAGCUUUUAACUAGAAUACAAAUUAUGCACCCUAAUCUAAACUAUGCUACACAUCUUUGUCUUAUGCAAGCUUUCUGUGAUGUCUUCAUCUUUGACCAUCAUCUUGAUUUGAUCCAGAUUGCAUUGCAUGAGAUAAGAAUGUUUCUGGUUCUUAUUUAUUGUCCUAAAUCAGACUUCCAUGUCUAUUUUGGUGAAAUUCGAUCCAUGUGACUUGUCAAAAUUAAGCUCUAGUCACUUUCAACUGCUAUUUGCUUCAUCAGUCGAAAGUGGCUUCAUUAGUUGAACGAAUUACAGACUUCAUCAGUUGAGUCCUGUUCCAGUCUCACCAGUUGAAUGCUUGGUUUUCAUCAGUUGAAACAUAGUGCAGUCUUCAUCAGUUGAAUUGUUACAACUCAUCAGUUGAAUAUCCUUCACUUAGACAAAAUUACAUGGCAUUGGAUAUUUACAAUUAGCCAUCCUAUUCUAUCCAUCCGUUGAUAAUUCUCAAGGACAAGAAAUAUAACAAUUACAACUGAAUUUUGAUAAAGGCUCUAAAUAAAACAUGUUACAGAGUGUUUAUGUUAUCAUCAAAAUUAUUGAUUCCUAACAGGAUCCCUCAACUAAGGGGGAGAAAGAUCAGGAUAUGGACAAAGAUGGAAAAGAUAGAGAUGGAGAAGGCAAAGAAAAAGAAAGUUCAAAAGACACCUAUGAAGUAGCUAAUAUGGAACAAGAAAAGUCUAAAGGCAGGAUGCCUGAUUCUGAUGAUAUCUUCACCAAUCAAGAUUAUGAGAACAUUCCUGAAGAUAUUGCUGAUGAUGAUGCAUUUGAUGCUGCCUACUUCCAAGCUGAAGAUGAAGGUCUUUUUGAUGAAAGUUUCUUAUUCACUGAAGAAGAGCCUGCUGACCCUGAGCACUUGGAAAUGGUACGAAAGUUUAAAGCUGAACAUGAAGCUAGAAAGGCAAAGCUUCAAGAAUUGCAGAAAUUGGUUGAUGAUAAGAAGAUAACUAAUGAGCAUAUCAAAUUGGAGAAACAGAAACUUUGGGAUGCUGCUUGUAAGCAGAACAAUGAGGAUAUUGCUCGGAAAGUUGGUGAAAGCUGGGACAUUGCAAAGAGGAUCUUCUUUGGACAUCAAAGGGAACCUUUUGAAGAUAGAAAGUUCAAGUCAUUUCUAUAUGAUCUAAGAGAGGUAAACCCUGAUGUGGAUAUGUUUAUGCGUGCUCUUGCUAUUGAGUUAGAAUAUAUAACUGUUGGUGUCAAGAAUCUCCUCGAUCUUUGGGAGAUUAUCAUUUCUACUCAAAGGAACGGGACAUUCAGAGUUUCGGUUGAUUCUUUCAAGUUUUUAUCUCAUACUGAAAUCUGGGUAGCUCGAAACAAGAUCCGACGCAGUUUGAAUUUGAAUGAACUCCUCCGUGACAGACUUAUAGAUUAUGCUAUUCAUAAUAGCCCUCAAGUCAUCAGGAACCCAUACUGUGUAAAGUACAUUCAUGCAAACAAGUUUGGAACCUUCUACUUGAAUCAUCGAUAUCUUGCUAAAUAUGGUGUCAAUCAGAUGGUUCUUGUAUCUACUCUUCUGAGAACUAAGGGCUUCACUUCAAAAGCCAAAGCUGAUGCUGAUGCUGAGAUUGUCGCUUACUGUACAAGGAAGAACAUCUAUCAAUACUUUAGGAAGAUGAAGUAUGUCAAGCAAAAUCAACCAUCAGACUUUAGAGAAGACCCCGUGGAUACAGAAGUUCAGUUCCAACUGUCCUUGGCUCGAGAGAGAAAUAAACGUGGUGAAUACACCAUAUCUGAAGAGCCUACUCAGAAUGAGCCUUCGACUCCUAUUAUUCACUGUUCUGAUACUGAAGAAGGAGAAGUCACUCACUCUGAGUGAAAUAGAUUGACUAGGAUAUUUGUAAGAUAUGUUCAUAGAACAUCCUUUUGUAAUCUAUUAAUUAUUCUGGUCUAUGUUUAAUUUAAUACCAAAAACAUUUUUGCUAUUUACAUUUGUAUGUUUAAUCAUUUGUCUUAUCUAUUAGUUGAGUUAUCCUCUAGGAAAUUUGCAUGUUUUGUUAACAAACAAAUAGGGGGAGAUUGAAAGGCAUAUGUUUAGCCUAUUUGUAUUUAAAGAGGUACAACUCAACUCAGAUAAGAAAGCUCAGUAAAUUAAAAGUAAUAGGAAUCCGUACGAAGAACAUCAAAUGAUUUAUCGGAACUUUAUGUCAGAAGAAUUCCAGGAUGCUGGUGCACACCACUGAAAGAAGUUCAUUAAUAUGUUCAAGCCUCAGUGCACAAAUAAUCUUUUGUGGCACAUCCAGGAGUUCAGAAGGUAUAGAUUUUCUGUACUUUAUUUAUUCAGAAGAUUCCAAUUUAUGAAGAAGAACUUACAAGAUGAAGACUCGUCGAACGAGCCACAUCUUAAUUAUUUUAAUGACGAAGAAUAUUUUAUUAAACUAGAUACAGAUGAACUAGACAGUAUAUUUUUGUGUCAGCUACUCGGAUUAAAUAUUCAACGUCAAACAAAGGUGGUCGUUCAAUCGAUUGACAACUCAAGACGAAGAUAUUAAAGUUUCAAAGAAGACAGAAGCUCUGUUAAAGAAGGAAAGUGAUUAAAUAUUAAAUAGAUUAUAUAUAUUCACUUCUCAAGUAAUUAUAUUAGUUGUGUAUUUUAUUUGGUAAAUUGAUUCACUCUUGAAUUAAUUUAACUAAUGAAUAUAUUCAAUUAAUUUAAUUUAGUGGAUUAUAUUCCAUUUAUUAUUUACUAUACAAAUCACUUUAAUUUAAUUAAGAAAUGCUUUGUCUAGUUACUUUAAAGAACUCCAAGACUUUGAAAAGCUUUGUCCUACCUUGUUUCUUAAACAAUUGGUCAAGACAACUCUUUGCUUUGCAAAGCUAAUACACUCCAAUACCAAGUCAUGCAUGCCAUUUCCAUGCUUUAUUCAAAUGGUACAAAGACAAGGACCUUCCUUGUCAUUCGAAUGAAACUAUUGCCAUGCCUUGUCUCCAAUUGUCCUACCUUGCUUUGUUUUGUCUUUCCCUUCUUUACUUUGUCAUAACUAGCACUAAAGUUGUCAUACCUUGCUUUAUGUUGUCUUACUCUUUUUUGUUUUGUCAUGGCAAGCUACUAGAUUGUCAUACCUUGCUUAGCUUUGUCAUGUCUUGCUUUUAGUUGUCUUAUCUUUAGUUGUCUUGUUAGUUCAAUGGUUUUGCCUAUAUAUAUGGUCACCAUUCUUUAUUUGAAAGUGUUCACUCACUUUGAUUCAAAGCAUUGUUAAGCUUUCAAGUUGUUUGUAACUUGCUAUUGUUAUAUCCACAGUUUUUUGUGCUUUGAUCACUUGGUUGUUUUAACCAGUAAUCUAGAAUAUACCUUGUCGAAUUUAUUCUAUGAAAAUUAGUGGACAUUAAAACUGAACCAAUUUAAUUAUAUAACGACUUCAAACAUUGUUAUAUUAAUUAAUUAAAAUCUUAUUAACAAGUUAUAUCCGAAUCAGAUUUAUUCCGCGAUUAUUUUGUGAAGAUUGUAUUCAACCCCCCUUCUACAAUCGCUUCCGAACCUAACACCGGCCAUGAUGCUAUUAAAAGAACAUGCUUAUAAUCAAACCUUUAAAGUCCUAACAAAAAAACACUUGGCCUAAAUUACCUUUGUCCUAAAUUUAUAAUUCAAUACUAGGAAGUAGUUUUUAGCUGCUUACUUCAAUUUCAAGUGUUAUAUGUUGUUUAAAUUCUGUUUCGGAGAAAAAGUCUCACCAGCUCCACAGUAGUGUUAUAUGACAGCACAACCAACUUAUUACCAUUAGUCACUAUGGUGUUAUUAGGAGGAGUGAUAGUGUAAUUAAAUUUAGGAGGAGUGCUAGUGUAAUUAAAUGGCAUGAGGAGAGUGACAAGAAAAUCAGUAGUGUAUGCACCAUUCGAUUUUUCGAAGAAGUAUGCUUCGAGCAAUGCAGUUGUAGGCAGAACUAAAGAGAUGAUUUGAAAAAUCAUAAGAUAUAUAUUAUAAUUUUAUGAAAUUUAUCAGUUUAUGAAGUUUAAAAUAAUUAGAUUUUUAGGCAUAUUUUAAAAUUCUAAUCAAAUACCAAUAGAUUUUAUAGAGUAAUUUAAAAUACUAAUUAAAUAUUGCAAGAAUUUCUUGAUACAUUUUUUAAAAUGUGAGCAUAACACAUUAAUUUGGAUUUUACGAAUGGAAAUAUUCUUUAAAAUCUCAGUUGAAUAUACCCUGUAGUUAAAUUACUAUCAUGAUUUAUUUUAUUACUUUGUGAUGAGAUGAAAAAUUGAGCGAUUUUUACCAAAUAGAUCUAAAUGAAUUAUAAUAUGGAAACAAAUAUAUUGAAACCUUUUAGAAUUUUUAUGAAUAUAUUUAAAAAUUAUUAUAGUCUUAGAAAUCAGAUUUGUUCGUUUAGAUUCUGACCUUAUGGACAGGAUUGUGAAUUAGCUAGACUUCGAAACUUGCUGGUAAAAUUGGCAAAAAAAGAUGUUCCAGUGAUUGGAGGAAGAGUAGGCAAAGGAAGGUUUGUGAUAUUAGAAUAGUCAUUUUCAUAUUGGAGGACUCCAACUACUGUAUAGUUGUCGAAUGUUCCUUGGCCAGUAAAAUAUGGUCUGGCUGUCAUAAAGAGAGUAGUGGCGUUGUGAGAAAAAGGAAUUGUUUUCAGAAGUACAUUAGUCGUUUUCCCUGGCGUGAUGAAGAGGAUAUUAGUCUGGAAUGGCUUGAUGUAAAUUGCAUCAGCUUCAACUAUUGUUAAGGUGUGAUCAGCUAUACUGUAAAAGAGAUUGUAAUUGAGUGCAAAGUUGAUAAUGUGAAGAAGAUAUGUUUUCCUAGGCUUCACCUUCAGCUUAUAUGUUUCUGUAUUCACCAAUAAAAAUCAAGUAGACCAUCAUAUAACCGCGAGCAGGAAACUACUUAUAUAUUAUGCAAAGUAGUAGUGAUUCUUUUCGCCCUUAAUUAACUUUGAGAGGUAAAUAAAAGUAAAUAUACAGUUAGUAGAACAAUUGUACAAUGGUCCAGGGAAGCCAUUGAUGGUGUAUGCAUCACACACAUUAGGUCCGCCUUAGGUUUGAAGGGUUUGGCUGAUAACUGCCUCUGGAUCAGCAUUCCACCAUUUUCCCGUAUUCUAAAUGCAUAACUCAUUAGCUCUACGUAAUAUAAUUUAUUUCACUAAAUAAAUAUGGUUCUGUUCUUGAGCAGAAAGGCUAAAAUAAACUAUAUGUUGUUUUUGACUUGAGCUUUGACAAACAGUAGAUCCUGAGAGGAUCCUCAUUUUUGCGAUCCUUGAGUCCAAGGAGAUUUUAAUUUGUAAAGGUUAUGAUACAAAUCUUUCGCAUAAUAGCCUGUCUGGUCCUCUUCCUAAAGACCUUAGCCAUUUUAUGUUGGGUGUCUAGACUUUUUUUACAUUUAUUACAAUUCUGGUUUUCUAGUGAUUAGUUGUCCAACUCGGUUAGUAUAAGAUCUCUCAUCUGUUAAAAUUCAAGCUCGGUUCAUUUACAGUCAUAUUUAUUUUGAUUACUUAAAGGAUUGCAUUGCUUUCUCUAAUGGAUCAGAGGUUUCAGAUAUUUUUACUGGUGUUUUCCAUUCAAAUUUUCAGUAUAGUAUCGCAGGAUGGUGAGUUCACUUGAUCUUUAUGUUCUCAAUAGUUCUUAUGCCUUCUCUUGUAGUUAUGCAUGUUGAAUAAAACAAUACGAAUAUUAGAACUUACUAUUUUUGUUAAUUUUGAUAGAAAAGUGUUAUUGUUUCUAUAUCAGAUUUUGUUCUACAAUCUCUGCGGAAUCAGCGGAAGAACACACCGCCAAACUGGGUAGGCUCUGAUCCGUGUCCCAGGCCCAGCAAUUGGGACGGGAUUGAGUACCUCGGUCCUCGUGUCAUAGCCAUGUAAGAUAAUUUGUGUUUGAUAAUACCUGAAAAUUAAGUUUGUUUCAAAAUCUUGCAUUAAUUUUAGCUGAUAACAUUCUGUUUCAAAACAUUAUCAACCAUAAACUAGACUGGUCAGCUGCCUUCCGAUCUCGUAAACUUGUGACAGUUGCAGAUUGUGUAGGUUUUUCUUAUCUAUGUUUUUCUUCAUUAAACCACGUUUUUAUGCAUGCUUAAUGAAUUUGAAAUAAUGACAAUACUUAGUUAUUUGCCUCAAGUCCGCAAAUUUUUAGUAUUUUUGGAAUAAAAGAUAAAUUACUUUAUCCUAAAUCCUUAUAUGUCAAACUUUGUAUUUAUCCAUCACUGAGACCAAGGCACUAAGGCAGCCAAAUAUAUUGUAAUUAUCGCCGCCCCAAGGUUAUAUUUGAGUGAUGGACAUAAAGUUAAAGACAUGGUCUUGCAUACUGCAUUAAUUUUCACUAUUUGGAUUUGGUACUCUCUAAUUCAAGAAUAUAUUUUAUAUCCUCUCCUAGAAGUACCAAUAUAGUUUAUCAUGAAAUUAUGCAAUGUGUCUGGAUUUAUAUUUCGCCAUCCUGUUGAUAUAUUAUAUGUCUGCUGAACACCUAGUAAUAGUUUUUGGGUUUGCCAUCAUUAAACAUUUAAUAUCUUACAAUUUGUUUCGAACCUUUAUUUCAGAACAUAUCUAUACUGUUAAUUCACACACACACACACACGCGCAUAAAAUAGAGCUAUGAUGAGAAAGAAAUAUAAAGAUAAGUUGCAUUUCCCAUUAUGCGAUCCUAAUUUACUUAUGAAAUUUUUCAAAAGGCAUUCCAGGUACUCUAUCAUAUUUGUAUGGUACUUAAGGAGUUGAUUAUGGCUUCAUCAUUGUAAUUCUUAUUUAAAUUCUUCUCGUUUUUAUAGUAUGUUAGGUCCUUUUUUCUGUAAAUAGUCAUCGGCCUAUCAUUAAAAAUUUAAAGUACAAUAAUUGAUGAUACACAUGGAUCAUGCCUAGAAUUUACUCCCUAAUAUUGUUGCAGUCAAAAGGAUAUGAAGUUACUAUAAUGUCAAUUUUUCACUUGCCAAUAUUUUUUUCCUCCAUACAGUCACUAAGCUUGCUAAAUCUUAUUCUAAGGUUCAAUUCCAUUUUAUAAAAUGUUAAGUACAGGGCAAUUAUUAUUUUUGAAUUCCCAAGCAAAUAGAAAUAUCAUAAUAUUGGUUAUAUUUAUAAUUGCUCCUGAUAUAUUGGAUUCAGUAUUUCCAAUUUUAUUAGUCAGUGUGAAGCAAAAAGUAAUUAUACCUCUACUCGUAUAUAACCUUUUAUCUGGAUGUUUUAACAAACCCCUUCGGGUGAACUUUUUAUUGUCGCAAGUGGUUUUUGCAGAAGAUUGGUCAUGAAAGUACUUAUUUUUUACUUUCUAAUACCUUCCGUUUUUAACCUUCUGUUAUUUAUAUUCUUGUGUACAACUGCCUUCUAAUAAUUAAAAUAUGUUGUACUUCUAGGACUGAACAUAUGUUAUUGGCAUAUGAAGAUAAAUCAGCCUAUGCAUUAUGUGUUUUCUCACUUGCUCUUAGACCAAACGAACCGGUAUGCAUUUGGAUAAACACUUUUUAUUGUGUUCAAAGACUCUUUUUCAUGUUUAUAUAUGCGGGACUGACUAAUGCCUUGACAUUUUAGGCUGAAAUGCCCAAAGAAGAAAAUCAUAAGAUUUCUCAUCGCGCUAGGGCUCUUGCAUUGGACAAAGAUCAAAUUGCUGAAACUAGAUACAAUUUUAAGACCGAGACAUCUUCAUAAUAAGUAAAGUACUUGUGUUUUAUUAGUAUGAUAAAUCCUCUAAACAUGAUUAAUGGCUGGAAACUUCCAUUAUAUUUAUUGUACAAUGCCAAGCAAUGCAAAUGACUUGGAGUCUAUUGCUUUUGGAAAAUACCGGUAGUGCUGAUUGAGAUUAUGUUCCCAUUUAAAUUGCUUGCAGCAACAACAGGGAGGAAGGUGUGUACGUAUUUCUAAAACGGCUCAAUUUGAAGGAUUUAGGGACGGCCCAAUUUGAAGGAUUCAAGGACCUGGUAUUGGCCUUUGUUCAUUUAUUGAUAAUAAUACUUGAGUUGUGCAAGUAAGUAUUGUAAGCCAGUCAUCUUCAUAAUUUAAUAUUAACUAUGUUAAUUAAGCAAACAUUACUCGGCAUAUUAUAAUUCCUGAAGACAACAUAAAAAUAAAAAUUACUUUUUUCUAUUAUCAUAAAAAUAAGAAAAAAAUAUCAUUUAACGAAUUAGUAUAAACAAAAUAUCCAUAUUUCUAUAUAAUGUCAUAAUACCUACCAUCAUAUUUAUACAAUUCAUUUAUAUAUCUUAAAAACAUGUAAAAAGAUGUAUCGCUAAAAAUAUUUUAUUUUAAUUUCUGUAACGAAGAAAAUUUCUCCAAAACUAUAAUUUCUUCUUAACUGAUAAAUAAAAUAUCAACAUUUCUGAAUAAGAAAAAAAAACAUUUUAACAAAUUUGUAUGAAUAAAAUAUAUAAUUUUGUAUUUAAUAUGAUUAUUCCUUAUAAUAUGAUAUUUAUCAAUCAAAUCAAAUCUAAACAUACACUUUCAUCAAUCAUUUAAAACAUAAGCAUUAAAAAAACUCAAUUAUUUUAUGUGACUAAUAAUUUUAUAAUAAUAGAAAAUUUAUUUAAAUAAUUUAAUAAUACUAAAGAAUUAUGAAAAAUAAAAACGCCCGUGCUUCGCACGAGUUUUAGGCUAGUAUACUAUUAAAGCUGUAUCAUUAAAAGUUUGGUUUAUCGAUCGAUACUUGGGCCAGAUUUUGAACCUACUAUAUAAACAAUUAUCCUUUUUAACCAAAAUUUUUAUCAUUUUUAUAUUGUCUCAUUAAAAAAACUCAAUUUUCUAUAUACAACAAAGCAACUACCUUUUUUAACUAAAACACAAUAUCUUUUUCAUAUUUCUAACUAAAAAACCGAUUUUCUAAAAAUAACACAUGCAAAAUUCAUAUAAAAAGAGAUAAUAUUAUUAUAUGUAAAGGAAAAUAGAUUUUUUUUUUGUCACGCAACUUAUUGUGAUUUUAAAAACAUAACACUCAACUAAAUUUUUUUUACUUUUACUCACUAAUGUUAGGUUUGGAUUGUUUUUUUAAUCACUAACUUAGGUCCGGAUUUGAUUACUAGCAUUAUUGAUAGGCAUUGGAAUAAUUAAAUAGUUAUUGUUAUGGCCCGACCCAAGAAGGCCCGAGUAGUUAUCUACGAAUUUAGAUCAUGUAAUACGACUAACUCUCACAGAUAAACAUCCGAGAAUCCGAGAUAAACAUCAACACCCGAAGAUAAGAGUUCUAUCUUAUCUUUUGCUCCGAAGCAUACUUCGAUAAGAAGUCUGGUACAUGGAAUCAUACUUCCACCUGACUUUUGACUCUGAAGUGCCUCUAUGAAGGGCUCUACCCCUCCAAAAUAGAACUAUGUUUUGGACUUGAUUCUUUUCCAAGUAGAAGAUACGUAGGCAUCUCGCACCGAGACCAGUCCAAAGCACGAAUCGCUCACACCCCUCAUUUUUAGAUCCUCAACAUUCGGCGCCGUCUGUGGGAAGAAGACAACAACCAUGACGAACCCAAGAAUACGUUUAGAAGUACAUGUUCCACUCAGCCAGACGACCACCGGAGUCCCGACAGGAACGGUCCCCAUCACCGCCUCUAUCCCACUCGGGACUACCGCUACUCAAACCACCGCUCCCCUGAUCUUUGGCACGCUGCCCCCAAUAACUCGGGUGAUUGCAACCGUUACCAACACCGGCACCCAUUACUCAACUGUCAUGACCACUACUCGUGGAGGUACGGGUAAUGAUGAUGUACACAUAACUGAUUACGACUCCUCCGACUCGGAGCAGGAACAUGACACCCCUCCUCGAAGGAGAAGGGAUACCGACAUACUCGAAACCACUGACGCCGCUCUAGGCAAGACAAUAAUGAGCCUCAGGGGCCGACGAACCAAACUUAUGAGGAAAGGAUCCGCGCCUACGAAGAAGAAAUUGCACGAUUGAAGAGAGACCAGGCAAGGCUUCCGCCCCCAGAACCAAGGGAUGAGAACUCUCAUCGAUUAAGCAUGAAUCAGAUCCAAUUGUUGCCAGCAGGCGAUCCCGAUAACCCUGUUCCGCCCUUUACCGAAGAGAUUAUAGGUGAAAGAAUCUCCAGAAAAUUCAAGCUCCCAACCAUUAAAGCCUAUGAUGGCAUGGGUGAUCCCGCUAAUCACGUCCGGACCUUUAUGAACGCUUUAUUGCUCCAACCAGUCACGGAGGCAAUCAAGUGCCGUGCUUUUCCUCAGACCUUGAGCGGGAUGGCGCAACACCGGUAUAGUCGCUUACCCUCAAAUUCUAUUUCUUGUUUUGCUGACUUGAGUAGGGCCUUCAUAGGACAAUUUGUUGGAAGCAAAACAAAUGCUAAAAGCUCCGCCUCGUUAAUGAAUUUACACCAGGGUAACAACGAAUCACUCCGAGAGUACAUGAAUCGUUUUACCAAAGAAGCCUUGAAGGUCUCAGACCUAGAUCAGAAGGUAGCUAUGAUUGCACUCCAACAAGGUAUUACCGAUGACAACUUCCGUCGAUCUUUAGCCAAGAGGGCCCUUGAUAAUAUGAAUGAUUUACAAGAGAGAGCCGGGAAGUAUAUUAAGGCGGAGGAAAUCCUGAAAAAAUCCCAAACCAAUGGGGGACCGAGUACUAACUUCAAGAAGCACGGGAGUGACACCGAGUAUAACGUCGAGAAUAAAUACUCCAAGAAGAACGACGGUGAAAAGUCUCCGACUAAAAAGAAAUUAGGGCCGAGGUUCAGUUAGUAUGCUAGGUUUAAUGCCCCGAGGAGUCAAAUCCUGAUGGAGAUUGAGAAGCAUGAAAGUGUUAGAUGGCCGAAGCCUAUAAGAACCGACCCGGAGAAACGGAACAAAGAUUUAUAUUGUCAAUUCCAUAAAGACACCGGACAUAAGACCGAUGAUUGCCGGCAGUUUAAGGAUGAAAUUGAGUUCUUGAUCCGAAGAGGCACGUUGACCAAAUUUAUCAAAUAUGGAGACAGGAAUCAUCGGGACAAUGACAAUCGUGGAAGAGACAACGAUGACAAAAGAACCCAGACUCGAGGGCCUGUGAUUAAUGUAAUCUCCGGAGGACCUACAGCUGCCGGUACUUCCAGUAAUUCGAGGAAGGCUUAUGCAAGAGAAGUAAUGAGUAUAGUUGGAGAACCCCCGAAGCGGGCAAAAAUUGAUUAUGCUAUGGCAUUCGAUAACGUUGACCUUGAGAAGGUGAAGUUCCCCCAUGAUGAUCCUUUAGUAAUUACAUCAACGAUUAAAAACUCGUCUGUAAAAAGAGUACUCGUUGACAGUGGAGCCUCGGUGAAUAUAUUGUUCUAUGAUGCAUAUGAGAAAAUGGGGUAUGCUAAUUCUCAAAUAACACCCUCAGAUAUGCCUAUAUAUGGUUUCAAUAACGCGGAAACAAAGAUUGAAGGCAUGAUCCAACUCCCGGUGACCAUGGGCACCGAGCCUAGACAGGCCACAUGCAUGUUGAACUACCUGGUAUUUAAAGCCUCAUCAACCUAUAAUGCCAUCUUUGGGAGGACUAGGAUACAUGCUUUUAAAGCAAUCCCAUCCACUUACCACUUGAAGAUCAAGUUCCCAACUAGGAAUGGAGUGGGGGAAGAAGUAGGAGAUCAAAAGAUGGCCCGAAGCUGUUAUGUCGGAGCGUUGAAAUCCGGAGGAGCUGGGGGGGCAAGUGUUACCCAUAGAAGACCUUGAUGUCCGAGAAGAAGACGAAAGGAGAGGCAAGCCUGCCUAGGAUUUGGUUCUAAUCCCAUUGUAUACUGAGGAACCUGAAAAGGUCACAUAUGUUAGAGCAUUACCCCCGGAAGAAUUGAAGCAAGAACUUCUGAAAUUCUUGAGGAACAAUCGUGAUGUUUUUGCUUGGACAGCAGCCGAUAUGCCAGGUAACGAUCCCUUAUUUAUGACCCAUAAGUUGAAUGUGAACCCUUAGAGGAAACCUAUUAAAUAGAAGAAAAGGAAAUUCGCCCCUGAAAGGCAGGAAGCCAUUAAACAUGAGGUUGAUAAGUUGUUGGAAGCAAGUUUUAUUGAGGAAAUUCAAUUCCCAGAAUGGUUAGCCAACCCGGUCAUGGUCAAGAAAGCUAGUGGAGGAUGUGUGUGGACUUCACUGACCUAAAUGAUGCUUACGCAAAGGAUUGUUUCCAUCUUCCAAGAAUAGAUACACUAAUAGAUGCCACUGCUGGUCAUGAGAUGCUAAGCUUCAUGGAUGGCUUCAGUGGAUAUAAUCAGAUCCGGAUGGACAAGGACGACGUACCCAAGGUAUCAUUCAUUACUGACUUUAGUGUGUUCUGUUAUUUGGUUAUGGCGUUUGGACUUAAGAAUGCGGGAGCCACGUACCAAUGUUUGGCAAAUAAGAUGUUCAAACAUCUGAUAGGUAAGACUAUGGAAGUGUAUCUAGAUGAUAUGUUGGUGAAAAGCUUGAGUAAAGCGAAUCACUUAGAACAUUUGAAAGUGGCUUUUGAAGUCCUGAGGACACAUAAGAUGCUGCUAAAUCCAUCCAAGUGUGCCUUUGGGGUUGGCUCUGGAAAAUUCCUGCGUCUGAUGGUCUCUAAGAGUGGUAUUGAGGCCAACCCCGAUAAGAUAAAAGCUAUCCUAGAUAUGGAACCACCCAAAAGCGUAAGGAUGUUUAGAAAUUGAUAGGAAGAAUUGCAGUCUUGGGAAGGUUCGUGUCUAAGUCGGGAGAUAAGUGCUUGCCUUUCUUCAAAGCAUUGAAGAAGCUGGUUAAGAACUUCGAAUGGACGGAUGAGAUCCAAGUGGCCUUUGAAGAAUUGAAAAAGUACAUGACGGAGCCACCUCUCUUAUCAAAGCCUGUAGACGGUGAGGUCUUGUAUGUAUACUUGGCUGUUUCGGAACAAGCACUGAGUGCUGUGUUAGUUCGAGAAGAGUUAAAAGUUCGGAAACCAGUGUAUUAUGUGAGCAAGGUUCUACACANGAAUAUCACAGAAUGAUGGAGUUCAUCAAAUCUAGUCAGCUGUCUCAUGCCAUGCUCUCAACUCCAACUAUCUACCAUGAAGUUGUGGAAGAGAUUUGGACAACAGCCGAAUUUAAUAGUGAGGAUGACAAUAUCUCCUUUACUNAGGAUUGUUUCCAUCUUCCAAGAAUAGAUACACUAAUAGAUGCCACUGCUGGUCAUGAGAUGCUAAGCUUCAUGGAUGGCUUCAGUGGAUAUAAUCAGAUCCGGAUGGACAAGGACGACGUACCCAAGGUAUCAUUCAUUACUGACUUUAGUGUGUUCUGUUAUUUGGUUAUGGCGUUUGGACUUAAGAAUGCGGGAGCCACGUACCAAUGUUUGGCAAAUAAGAUGUUCAAACAUCUGAUAGGUAAGACUAUGGAAGUGUAUCUAGAUGAUAUGUUGGUGAAAAGCUUGAGUAAAGCGAAUCACUUAGAACAUUUGAAAGUGGCUUUUGAAGUCCUGAGGACACAUAAGAUGCUGCUAAAUCCAUCCAAGUGUGCCUUUGGGGUUGGCUCUGGAAAAUUCCUGCGUCUGAUGGUCUCUAAGAGUGGUAUUGAGGCCAACCCCGAUAAGAUAAAAGCUAUCCUAGAUAUGGAACCACCCAAAAGCGUAAGGAUGUUUAGAAAUUGAUAGGAAGAAUUGCAGUCUUGGGAAGGUUCGUGUCUAAGUCGGGAGAUAAGUGCUUGCCUUUCUUCAAAGCAUUGAAGAAGCUGGUUAAGAACUUCGAAUGGACGGAUGAGAUCCAAGUGGCCUUUGAAGAAUUGAAAAAGUACAUGACGGAGCCACCUCUCUUAUCAAAGCCUGUAGACGGUGAGGUCUUGUAUGUAUACUUGGCUGUUUCGGAACAAGCACUGAGUGCUGUGUUAGUUCGAGAAGAGUUAAAAGUUCGGAAACCAGUGUAUUAUGUGAGCAAGGUUCUACACAGAGCGGAGCUCAAUUACUCGGUGAUCGAAAAGUUUGCUUUGGCCAUGAUUACAGCCUCGAGAAAAUUAGGACCUUACUUUCAGUCUCAUAAAAUAGAAGUCUUGACAGACCAAACUCUUCGUAAUGUUAUACAUAGCCCGAAGGCUAGUGGAAGGUUCAUCAAGUGGGCAAUUGAGCUCGGGGAGUUUGAUAUUCGAUACAAGCCACGAACGGCGAUUAAGGCUAAAGCUUCAGUUGACUUCCUUGUUGAAUGUACCAUUAGCAACCAGGAAGUCGCGGGGCAGGUGGACAAGGUAGAAGAACCUACUAAGGAAGAGAAACCUAAAGAAUAUUGGCUACUAUUUUUUGCCGGGGCUUUAAAAACAAAAGGUAGUGGUGCAGGACUUGUGCUCCAAAGCCCUGAUGGCUUUACUGUGGAAUAUGCUAUUAAGCUGGACUUCCCGACCACCAACAACGAAGCUGAGUAUGAAGCGUUGAUAGCUGGACUUGGUUUGGCUAGAACCUUGAGGGUGAAAAACUUGAAGGUCUGUGGUGACUAGAAACUUGUUAAAAUAUCUAAGGAUUGUGAAGACUCAAAUAGCACUAUUCAAAAAAUGUAUAAUAGAGUAUGUGCCAAGGGAAGAGAACACUAAGGAUGAUGCCUUGUCACAAUUUGCAUCCUUUGACGAUGAGAUUUGCUCAAGGAACGUUUAUUAUCAGGUUAUGAGAACCCCAAGCAUCGAAGCAAAGUUAGUUGCUCCAAUUGACACAGGGGCCACCUGGAUGGAUGAGAUUAAGUUGUAUCUGGAAAACGGUCACCUGCCGCCAAAUGCCGAUGAAGCACGAAAAUUACAGGUAAGGGCCCUUAAGUAUGUUCUCAUUGAGGGAAUCAUAUACUGGAAAUCGUUUGUUAUCCCUUACUUGAGAUGUUUAAGGCCGGAUGAGGCUCGAGAAGCCCUUAGAGAAGUUCAUGAGGUUGUAUGUGGUCAACACCUCGGAGGAAGGGCAUUGGCUCAUAAGGUCACUCGCCUUGGGUUUUAUUGGCCAGAUAUGCUGAAACAUGCUCAAGACUAUGUGAAAAAUGUGAUCGCUGCCAAAGGUUUGCACCAAUAGUACGACAAACCACCAGAGAUGUUGACAUCCAUUAAUACCCCUAUCUUUUUCGCAAUGUGGGGGAUGGACAUCCUUGGACCGUUUCCACUCGCUAGUGCGCAAAGAAAGUUCCUGUUGGUAGCAAUUGACUACUUUACCAAGAGGAUUGAGGCCAAACCACUGGCCAAGAUAACCAUCAAGCAAGUUGCUCAGUUUGUGUGGGAGAACAUUAACUUCAGGUAUGGGAUACCUCGAAUCAUGGUAACAGACAAUGGGACUCAAUUCAAUAAUGCUGAAUUCAAAAGUUAUUGUGAAGAUUACUUUAUCGAGCUACGCUUUACCUCCGUUGCCCAUCCUCAAGCUAAUGGACAGGCUGAAGUGGCUAAUAGGAUAAUCCUCGAUGGACUGAAAAAGAGAGUUGAAAAAGCCCAAGGGUCAUGGAUCGACGAGUUACUCCCAAUACUUUAGGCGUAUCAAACAACUUGUAAGGUUUCACCUGGAGCAACCCCAUUCCAGUUAGCUUACGGAGCCAAGGCAGUAGUGCCACUUGAAAUCACGCACACUUCCACUAGGGUCUAGCAGUAUGAGCCAGAAGCCAAUGAAGAGGGUAUGAGACUUGCCCUUGAUAUGAUCGAUGAAAUCCGUGAUGAAGCUCAUGCUAAGAUUGUGAAAAACCAGAAGCGAGCUUCUUACUAAUACAACCUACAGGUUAAUGAGCGAUACUUUCGAGAAGGAGAUCUGGUACUUAGAAGAUUGAAGCUUCUGGGGUAGGCCCCAAAGGCAAGAUGGCUCCAAAUUAGGAAGGCCCCUAUCAAGUUAAGACCGUUACAGGCCAUGGCUCAUACAAGCUCCAGAACCUCGAAGGAAUUGAAGUUCCCCGGAGUUGGCAUGCGACCAACUUAAAAAUAUAUUAUAUUAGAUAUCUAUUCUAUGAUAGUAGAAGUUAGUAGGUAUCACCAAAAUAAGGUCAUGUCGACCACUGCCAUGUAAUUGAUUUCAAAAAUAGUUUAUCUCUUUUACUAUGAUAUUAAUGAAAGUCCCGAAGAUUCUUCACCUUGAUCUUUUCAAGUGUUAUUUACUUAUGUUUUCUCUUGAAGAAUAAUCCAUGAAAUCCUGAAUAUGGAUGAAUACGAGUAAAAGCUUGAAGCUAAGAAAAAAUAUAAAGUGAAAGCUAGUUUAAAGGCAUGGCGAGGAAAGUCAACAAACCCUGAAGGGUUGACCCAAUCGUUAGAAAAUGAUUUGAAAAUCCUAAUUUAUGGACUUAUAAGCAAAAGCUCGAAGCCGAAAUCCUGGGUUAAGGAUAUAAAUGCACGAUACGCAGAAUAAAAAGAAAGUAGUUUAAAGCUAAGCCAGAGAGAAAAUAAAACAAAAGUUAACUUAAAUAAAUAAGUUAAUAGAGUUAACCCCGAAGGGUGCGAAUAAGAGAAUUUAAAUAAAAUACAAAUUCAAGCCACGUAGGGCCAAGAAACGCCUAAUCUAUAGGAGCCCAUCAUCAAAGGUGUCCUCUUUUUGGUCUUUACCCUGGGAUUGGACUGCUUCCUUGCCAUCCCGGGCUUCUUGAUCUUGGGCCCCCAUCUCUUCAUCUCGGGCCUCCACCCCGAGAUCCUCCUUAUCUUUGUCAGGGUCCUCGAUCACAAGGUUCUCAGACAAAUUUUCCCCGUCUUGGGUAUAAGACGGGAACGAAUCCGUCAAAUCCUCGACGGCCAUCGGAGAAGGAGUAUCCUUCCCGAUGAGCGGAGGAACUGGGAAUCGUUCCAGACUAACACCUUCAACCUGGGUGCUGAGCUCCUCGAUAAUUCUCUCCCAACAAGACUUGAAGGUCUCGGGGAAACUCAGGUCGUACUCGGCCGCCAGAAGCUCGUCGAACUCCGAGGACGCUUUAAAAUCUACAAUCCCCUCCCGGCAAAACCUCUCUAGCUCCGCCUCCAAACUGCAGACUUUUUCCUGCUCCGCCACGAGCUCCGCUUCCACCUUCCUGAACCGCUCAAAGUUGGCGGCUAAGGACUCGAAGUAACGAUCACGGUCACGUUCUGCGAUCGUCUUCUCCGCCCUUACCGUCUUCAAGUUGUGGACAGCGGCUUGCAGGUAGGUGUUCAUCUGCAAGGUGAAACGAAAUCAUUAAGAAAAAUUCUAAGUAAAAAGAAGAGGCGUAAAAGAUAUUAAGAUAAAGUUUUGGGCCUUACGGUAGCUAUCGCUUGGGCCCCCAGCAGUUCGAUCUGUAGAUCAUCCGAGGACUCCACCACCUGGGCUUUGUCCCGAGAGGUGACUACGUUUCUGGACCACUCAGCCGCGGCCCUAGAGUCACCUACUACGGUAUCCUUGUUGAGGAGACCCCACUGAACCAUGUAAGGGUUUUGGUCCUCCUCGACGGGCGUGGGGCGUGGGCUGAGGUAGGUCGGGAUCUUUUUCACCACUUCCGUGGCCCCAUCCUUCCUGGAUCGCUUAACACGGGGAACCUCCGUGGCCACGACUUUGGACGCGGCCUUUUCCCUUUUCUUGAAAAUGGUCCCCAACCUUUCUUGGGCUGCAAAAGCAAAAUAACAAACCAGUUAAAACUUGUAAGACAAAUAAACAAGUAAAAGGCCCAGAAAAUAAGGGGGGAAAGUGGAUUACCCUCUGGGCCAAAAUCACUCAGCCCAUGCUCUUGGAGCGAGGCCUCGGAAAUAAGUAUGGAGCUAUGGUGAAGGCAGUCUCCAGUCAAAAUCUUGAUGGCCGCCUCCUCCUUUAUCCCCAAUUUUAGGGACCUAACGGCCCCAUCUUCGGCUCUACUAAAGUCCGAAUAAAAGUAGUCGUCCCAGUUUCCGUCGUCCAAAUAAAGAUAAAACCAUUGUUUUUUCCAAUGGGGUAGGGAAUCUGGGGCCGAGUCCGAUACAAAUAUACUUCGGGCCAAAGACCUGUACUGGAUCUUCACCCAACCCUCAUCGUUGGGUGCAAUUACAAACUUAAAAAGAUAUCUAAAAACUGCCACACUGGGAUCAAGAUUGUGUCUCCUACACUGGACCAUAAAACAGUAAAUAAACCUCCAGCCAUUGGGCUGGAGUUGGGUUGGACAAAUGCGGGCCUCGGCCAAAAGUCGAAACACGAAGGGGGGAGGAGGUAACCUAAACCCAGAAUAAAAUGUUUCCUUAUAAAUUCUAAUAGCCCCAGGCUUUGGGUAACAGGCCCUAUCAUUUGGGCCUGGGGCCACGGCUCUAUAAGGCCCGUUGAUGUAAAAAAGAUAGGCUAUGGCAUCAACGUCCUUCUGAUCAUAUUUAGAAGGGAAAUUAUAAGCAUCAAGAUGAAGUAAAUUUGGAAAGGCCUGGCCAAAUUCACUUAACAAAUCUCUAAGACAUUGAUCUCUAAGACUACGCUAGCAUGAACGAGGAAUUUUUUACCUCGACUAGCGCGAGAACGAGCCGCGAUUGGCUGAGAGAGCUGGGAUUGUUGCGAAGAUGAGGAAUCCGUCAUUGAUCUUCAAGGGAUGAAGGUAGAAAACCCAGAAACUGAUGAAUGAAGAUGAAGAUUGAUCGGAAACCUGGGAAAAUCUUGAAGAUUGUCCGGAAACUAGACAAAAUCUAGAAGAUCGGCCAGAAUUCUGGGAAAUCUUUGAAGAUUGCCGGAAACACCGCCUCAAAUAACGCCUAAAAAAUGAAAGUGUUUGGAAGUGUUUGAGAGAAUUUGGGGUUCUUAAACUAGGAAACUUUUGUGUGAAAUGAGAAAUGAAGUGUCAAGUCACACAUUAUAUUGAAAACUCAUAACCGGUUCAUUUGCCGGUAAACCCUAGGGUUCACAGCCUAUAGCCAGCACUACGCCAUAAGUGCACAUAGGCAACGGUGUUUCCAUAUAAAACUAAGUCUAUUUCAACACAGCAUUGAACGCGUUGCACUACAUUUAAACUACAGUUGCUUAUUAUAAACACUGUUGCGCAAAGUGCAACACUAGCAGUAGUAGUGUUGCAUUAGCAAUUUAAAAUAAAUAUUUAUUGCUGAAAUGGCCUCUCUGGGGUCCAGAAAUGAUGAGGUGGCAUACUCAUGUGGCAGAGGGGGUUCCCACAAUGCUGACGUGGCAGGUGGGCCCCACAUUGCUGAUGUGGCAUGUGGGUCCCACGUGUGGGCCCCACCUUGCUGACGCGGCAUGAUGAUGUGGCAGGUGGGCCCCACCUGUGGGCCCACCAUGCUGACGUGGCAUGUGGGCCCCACGUCGCUGACGUGGCAGGUGGGUUCGCCAUGUGGGUCGCACCUUGCUGACGUGUCAGGUGGUGUUGCGUUUGGUUCUUGGUGUUGCAUUUGGUAUUAAGUUGUGUCACCUUUACCGUUAAAGUUAUUUCUAAAAUAAUUUGUCUUACCAUAACGAUUAUCAAUAUUUUUAAUUAUUUUUGUAGAUGAUACGACCGUACGGAUGUUAAAAUCUAUUGAUUUUAGUGAAGUGAAUUUUUUUUUGAAUUUUUUAUGAUGUGUGUGAUGUGAUUUUACAAUAGUCAAACAGUGGUCAACACAGGUUCUUGUUAACUAGUUUUGUCAAGAACUAUGAUUAUAAUUUUUAGUAAUUCUUUUUCAGGGAUCCGACCGUACGGAUGUUAAAAUCUAUUGAUUUGAGUGUUGUGAUUUUUUUUGAAUUUUUUAUGAUGUGUGUGAUGUGACUUUAUAAUAGUCAAACAGUGGUCAACACAGCUUCCUGUUAAGUAGCUUUGUGAAGAACUAUGAUUAUAAUUUUUUUAUAAUUCUUUUUCAACGAUCCAACCGUACGGAUGUUAAAAUCUAUUGAUUUUAGUGUUGUGAUUUUUUUUUGAAUAUUUUAUGAUGUGUGUGAUGUGAUUUUAUAAUAGUCAAACAGUGGUCAAAACAGGUUCCUGUUAACUAGCUUUGUCAAGAACUAUUGUUAUAAUUUUUUAUAAUUCUUUUCCAAUGAUCCGACCGUGCGGAUGUUAAAAUCUAUUGAUUUUAGUGUUGUGAUUUUUUUUUUUGAAUUUUUUAUGAUGUGGAUGAUGUGAUUUUAUAAUAGUCAAACAUUGGUCAACACAGGUUCCAGUUUAUUAGCUUUGUCAAGAACUAUGUUUCUAAUAUAAUAUAUAUAUUAGAGUUGCCAAGGCAAAUAAGACAGGGGUGGGACGUAGGACUCGUGCACAAGCAAAAGCACAAGAGCCUGCUGACAUUGAAAGAGAUNAUAUUGAUUUUCUAUAUUAACUAUAAAUAAUAAAAAGUAUAUAAAUUAAUUAAAACAUUAUGAAUUUCGAAAAGAGCUUACAGGUCCCGAGGUCAAAAAAUUGGGCGGCGAAUUUCCCUCCCAACGAAAACUCCCUCAGUAUACUUUCUCUAAAAAAUUCACAAACUCAAACUCCGGCUUCUCUCCAAAACUCAAAUUUUCUCUUUAGAUUUGAUAACUCCGACUUCGAUUAGUAACUAUCGGCGACAGUUAGUAGCUCCAGGCUUCGACUGGAAAUUGUGGGACUAAAAACUCGAGGGCUUUGACUGGUAAUACUCGUUUCCAAGCUUUGAUUUUAUUUUGAUUUCAAUCUCACACUUGUACUGAACUUGCAGGUAAUUUUGGGCUUCAAUUUAGGGUUUAUUGUUGCUUUUGAAGGUAAUUACAAAGAUGUAGGAGAGCUCAGUAAUUUUUUAGGAACAAUAGCUAGGGAUAAUGUGUCGCUCACUUACGUGAAUUGGCACGUUGUUCCCGACCAAUUGAAGCAAAAAUUAUGGGAAUAUACUUUGGUGAUUUCUAUUCUCUAUGAAUAUAGAUUACAUCACUUUCUAAAUUUAUGCAUUCAAUUUAAUAAAACAUAAUUGAUCACGUUAUGUUUGAUAUUUUACAGGCCAGGUUUGAUAUUCAUGAAGAUGGAAGGAAAUGGGUUUAUACUACACUUAGUGUUGCUUGGAAGUUACACAAGGCUCGUGUGAAGAAGGCUUAUUACACUAAAAAUGACAAUGUUGAGGAAAGAUUGGAGAAUAGACCAGAUCGGGUUCCAUUGGAGGAUUUUAAAAUGCUGUUGAAGUAUUGGGGGGAUGCAAAAGUUCAGGUAGUAACUAGAAAAACCUCAUUAGUUUUUUUAACCUCAUCAGUAAAUAUUAUUCAUGCAAAUAUUUGUUUUUUCACCAAGUAAACUGUUUCCAUCAAGAUGACAAGAAAAAGGCCACUAAAUUAUACUAGAAAAGGUGUAUUUAUUGUGAUACGAAACUACAACAUUAGUUUCUUAUUAGACUCAUUGUGUUAUUAUUAUUAUUUUACAGAAAAUUGGUAGAGAUAAUGCAGAGAGUCGUAAAUCAUUGCUUGAGACGCACACAUUGGGUCGUAAACCUGUGGCCCUUGUAAUUGAAAAACUGGUAAGUGUAUUUCCUUGUGCAAGUUUAUUUUGUAAUACAAUGAUGAUUUACACAAUGAUUGUUUUGCAUCAUAAGUAGAUUAAUAUACUUUUUCUUGUUCGAUUGUUCUUCUUUACCUUUUUGCUAUAUACAAAACUAAGUGUAGAGAUAAAAUACCUGAGAAUUUAUAGCUCUGCAAUUUUUAUUGGUCAAGUUUGCGAAUGGAAAUUUUUUAUAAAUUUGUAUAUAUGCAGUAUUGAAUUAUUAUUUUUUCUUUUUUUAUAAGUUUUUAAAGGUCUUGUUUGUGAACUUGUACCUGUAUUUCAAGUCACAGUUUCUGUAUUGUACUCUAUUUUUAUUUAAUGUUUUCAAUUCAUGUUUUAAAACCUGCACAAUCUUAUUUUUUUAAUGGAUUAUGAUAUGUUUUUUUUGUUGGUAAAUUAUUACUAAUGCCAUUUUGUCGACUUAUGUACAAGCUGGGUUUGCUUUACGUAAGUGACAUAUUUAAUAUUUAUCCCCUAAAUGACAGAAAAAGGAUGAUCCAAAUCUUGAGCAUCCAAGCGACGCUCAAAUAAAUUCACUUACUCGUAAGCGGGAUAAAGGACGGGAGUACAAGUCAGAUACUGACAAAAUGAAGAAGAAACUUGUAAGUAUAUUUUAUCGUAUAGAAGGAGUUUAUAUUUAUUAAUGUCAUAUUUUAAAUACUGAAGUAUCCAUUUCUUCCAGGAAAAAAUUGAGAAGUUGAUAGAACAGGGAAAGGAGGAUGAAGCAAAUGCAAUCGCUUCUAAUGGAAAGGAUCAUGGACCAAACUAGCUGGUUGGAAGGGCAGGUACUAAGUCUGAUUCGGCCUCAACUUCCAAAGUUUCUACUGAACAGCAAGUUCAAGAACUAGCGGCAAAAGUAAGGAAUAUUGAGAGUGAAUUAGAAGCCAACUUCAACAAAAGAAUGCAGGAGAACAUGGCUUGGAUGCUGAAAAUACUAGGAGCAGCCAACCCCGAUAUGACAUUCAAUAUUGAGGAGGUAUGUGCCACGGUUUCCAGUGAGUUUGAGGAAAAUGGUACUCCAACCACUCAAGACAGCGCAACUUCUUAGGGACUUUAUUGCUACCUAUUAUAUCGUACUCUUAUUCUUUUCAAGCAAGCUGUUAUGUAUUUGAACUUAGAAUGGGUUGUGCCCUCUUUAAUGUAGUUAGCUAUGUCUAAAACUUGUUGGUUGCUUGUUUUGAAUAUUUUAGAACUUCUAGUGUUGGGACUUUUUGGAUACCUUUUUGGCAGGGAUUAUGUAAAAACAGGAAGGUUAUGUCCAAAAUUUCUAUUCUCUACUGUUGCAUUUGACUUUAUAUGGUGUUGCAUAUUGCAUAUAAAUGUACUGGUACAAAAUUAUUAGGGGUUGUAUUUUAUAAAUUUUGGUGCUGCACGAGACUAAAAAUGGUGUUGCAAACAAAAACUUUGGCGUUGUAAUUAAAAAGUUGGUGUUGCAAAAGAGUAAAAUUAGUGUUGCAUAUCCGCUAAAACUGGUGUAACAUAUUAAGAAAUUAGUGUUGCAAUCAACAGUGGGCCCACUGCUGACGUGGCAAUGUGGGGCCCACAUUAUGACCCGGCAUAUGUGGGGUCCAGUGCUGAUAUGGCGUAGUGGGUCCCACUGCUGACCUGGCAGACAUGGGGUCCACUGCUGACGUGGUAGUGUUGGGACCACUAUGACCUGGCAACCUGACGUGUCACUUGCCAUGUGGACUGUAUGGUGAUGUGGUUUAAUGCCUCAUGCAACACUGAGUGUCAUUGCGUUUAUAUCUGUUUACCGUUACGUAAUAUGCAUAUUGCAAUGCUUUUUGGUGUUGCACAAAGUGUUGCCUUAGGACUCUACGGCCACGCUCACAUUGGCAACGCUGGACUGGUGUUGCGUAUUUCCUUAUGCAACACCAUUUAGGCUUUAUGCAACUUUACGGAGGAGUUUCCUAUAUGGACUUAUGGCGUAGUGCAGUAAAAUUGGCUUUGGGCCGGUCAAAAGGCCUCGUAACAAGCGCGAAGCCCAUGAAUUUGAAAAAAUCGAAUCUCUCUAGAAGGAUCGAAAGAAUUUUGAGGGACACUUCAAAAUUAAAGGAAAAAUACAAGUUAUAUAGGCCUGACAAGUUAUAGACCAAGGCCCACAACCUAUAACAAUCGCGGGCUUCUAAGCGUGCCAUGUUAAUUGCCUCCAUGGCGUUGUUACCCACGCCUAGGGCACGAUUGACAAUUGAAGGAAAAAUUAUUUUUAUACAAAUAAAUAAAUUCCAGAGAAUGGGAAGUUAAGAAAAAGGUUUAACAACGCGAGGAGGCAUAUUGUGUAACCGUGUUACAAAUCAUGUCUCCUUGGCGCUGCUACGCACGCCAAGGGAGUAUGACACAAUAGAAGCUUUGUGAAGGCCAAAGGUUUAACCAUGCCCAGGAGGCAUGUCCUGUGGACGUGUCACAAAUCAUGUCUCUUUGGUGUCUCUACGCACGCCAAGGGACACUACACUGAAGAAGCCUAAGAGAUGGCCUAAUGAUCUUCCACACCCCGGAAGCAUAUCCUGUGAGCGUAGGAUAUAUCAUGUCUCCUUGGCGUGGCUAGGCACGUCAAGAGAGCAUUACACAAGUAAGGCUCAAAGAAGCACUCACGCCCAAGAAGCAUGUCUUGUGGGCGUGGGAGGAAUCAUGCCUCCUUGGCGUUGCUAAGCAUGCCAAGGACACAUGGCCAAGUUAACACUUAAUAAAAGAGAAUGGUCGAACCACGCCUAGGAGACAUCGCUCCUACGCGUUGCACCAAGUGUGUUUCCUUGGCGUUGCUAGCCACGCUAAGGGAACAUCAACUUACUGGCCUUAAGGUGGCAACCACGCCCAGGAAGCAUCAUGGCUCCUGGGCGUGCCUCCAAGCAUGCCUCUUUGGCGUGGCAAAGCACACCAAGGGAGCAUUGACCAACUCAGCCAUGACAGGCUUGACCUAACCACGCCCAAGAGACAUGUCUCCUAGGCGUGGUAAUUUGCAUGCUUCCUUCGCGUUGCUACGCACGCCAAGGAAGCCCCUCCUUGUUGAAGGGUGAUUUUUCUAAUUAAGGAAUUAUUUAAUUGUUUAAAAAUGAUAUCAAAAUUCCAAAAAAAAUAUUCUAAAGGCUCGAAAAUUCUAGAAAAUUGGAAUUAAAUCACAGAAAUUCCGAUAAAAUAGAAUAAGCCUAGGAAAAAUACGGGAAUACCCGAGAAUACUAUCUUGACGAGAAAUUCGACAAAAUACACGAUGUACGAUAUGAAAGUCAUGGGAAAUAUUCGAUAAAGCUCGAACAGCCGUAUGGAAACCUCUAUAAACUUUCGAUAAAUUACCACGAAAUUUGUCGAAAGUUGGGGGGCAAAUGAUAGGCAUUGGAAUAAUUAAAUAGUUAUUGUUAUGGCCCGACCCAAGAAGGCCCGAGUAGUUAUCUAGUUACCAGAAAUCUAGCAUCGGCCCACUAGAAGCCCGAAUCUCACAUAUGGAUUACUUGGAGAAACUUAAUUGGGUUGGGGCCCAAUUAAGGGUCCAGCUACAAAUUUAAAUCCUGUAAUACGACUAACUCUCACGGAUAAACGUCCGAGAAUCCGAGAUAAACAUCAACACCCGAAGAUAAGAGUUCUAUCUUAUCUCUUGCUCAGAAGCAUACUUCGAUAAGAAGUCUGGUAUAUGGAAUCGUACUUCCACCCGACUUCUGAUUAUGAAGUGCCUAUAUGAAGGGCUCUACCCCUCCAAAAUAGAACUACGUUUUGGACUUGAUUCCUCUCCAAGCAGAAGAUACGUAGGCAUCUCGCACCGAGACCAGUCCAAAGCACGAAUCACUCAUACCCCCUCUUUUUUAGAUCCACAACAAUUAUGAUAAUUUUUUGUAGCACCAUUAAUACAUAGUGAUAGUAUGUAAUUUUUUGAUGAUGUGACGUGUGUUUAUAUAUUUAUAUAGUGAUAAUAACAUAAAAUGAGCCGAUAAAAAAAUUAAUAUCAGGAAAAACCAUAAUUAAAAUUCUAGAAUUUAUUCAUCAAUAUGAAAUCACAAUACAUCCUCCUAAUAAGAUAAAAUCUAAUUGAGUGAUACGAUACAUCAUUUUUCACUAUUAAAGUUUCAGUCGACCAGCCUAAUAUCUCUCGUAAAUUUAUCUUCAUAAAUUUAACAGCUUUAUCUUAUUACAAUUUUCAAGAUAAAGAUAAUUAAAUAGAGAGGAAAAGUUAAUCUUUGAUAAUUUCCCUCUAUAAUGCAUCAUUUUAUGUUAUUAGUCGGUCUGUCCCUCUCAUUUGUUUACAAUUUUCAAUACUACUUAGCACGUGCUUUAAAACUCUUAUAAAACAUAGUUUCAUAGCUUAAUUUUGAGAUUUUCUUUUUCUGUAUAAAAAUUCAAACACUAAAUUUUUAUUUGGAAGAGAAAAAUAGCAUAACUUAUGAAACUACAUCUUUUAGAAGCCGUAAAAUGGGUGUUAAACUUUCAUCAACCAAGGCAAACGACCUUGGGCACAUAAAAAUUAAAUACUACACAUAAAGAUAUAAAAAAAUAUAAAAUCAUCAAAAUAUUACAGACUAUCACUAUAUUUUAAUACUGCUACAAAAAAAUAAUAUACCACUAAUAAUGUGUUUGAAUCCUACUGAGAAAUCCACGCAACUUAUAAAUCGUAGAAGAAACGAGAAGAUCCUCGAGCAUGACAUGCAGCCCACAAAAAUAGACCCUUUCCAUCGUUUACACUAUAUGCAAUGUGAAUGUGAAAUCUAAGACAACUUGCAUAUAAAAUAAUAGUUUGAAUUUUAUAUGUAUAUAAAUUAAUAGUUUAAAUGCUAUGUCCGUAAUAAUAAAGACAGAAUAGCUUUUACAUUGAAGUUAUAAAAUAAGGUAAGUUACAUGUAAUAUAAUAGUUUGAAUCUUAUUUCCACAUAAAAUAAUAGUUAAAAUGCUAUGUAAUUAAGAGCAUGUUUGUGAUCUAGCUUAUAAUCUGGGUUUUAAAUCAUUUCUGACUUUAACCAAAAAAAUGUUUGUUUGUGUAAUAAAUCAUAAGUCCGCUUAAAGUUAAGAAUAAGUCAGAAAGCAAAAGUUAGUUCAUGGUACGUUUUUCAGUGACUAAAUUUUUUCAAAUUUUCAUUUUGAUAAACAAUUAUUCUUAAAGUCACAAGUUACCCACAAAUCACUUUAAUUAUUAUUAUUAUAUUUUUAAUAACCAAUUAAUCAUUAGUAAGUUAAAAUUACUCACACAGAUAUUUUAAACUCCCAACUUAUCACAUAAGUUACGUCAAGUUAUAUUACGUCAUAAAUGAUAAACUCAGCCCUGAUCCUGAUUCUGUUUUAUAUCCGGGAGGAGCAAAAUUAGGAAGAGGUAUGAAGAUAGGUGUCUCUCAUAAAAUAUAUAUUUUUUAUUAUUCUAAAUUUUAUAAAAUUAUAAAAAUAUUUCUAAAAAAUCUAAAAAUAUAUAUGUAUUUUUUGAAAUUUUUUUGGUACCUCCCAAAAUUUUGAAUCCUAGACCCGCCUCCUGUGAGCGAGGUAGAAAUAUUUAUACAAUAAUUUAAUAGAUUAUCAUUAAUUUGUAUUACAUAGCUUCUUGGAUCUAAAUUUGUAGUGUGUGUGUUUAUAUAUAUAUAUAUAUAUAUAUAUAUAUAAUAUAAAAAGGAUAAUACCUUAAUUAAUUCCAGUUUUAGGAAUAUGUAAUAAGUACACAUAAAUGAUUAGUGUCUUUUUCGUAUCUAUUUAUUUAUAUUUUUUUAGUUUCUGAUAAGUGUUUUAAAAUAUAAAUAAAACAUAACUUCAUGGUUUUUUUAUGAAAAUAUGUAUAAGUAUUAACUUUUAUUUAAAAAAAAAUGUAAACAAUCCGACCGAAGAGCAGCUAGAAAUUUCUACCAACCAUAUGGGACAAAUAAAGAAGUCUAACGGUUAGAGCAAGUCAAUGAAGAGAUGUUUUUUAUGGUAUCUUAAAUUAUAAUUUACGAUAUUUGAUAAAAGAGGUUGUUCCAACAAUAUUCUAUUGAUGUCUUUUAUAUGACAACCUGUUCAAACCCUAUUUUUGAGCCACUCUCCCCCUAUCCUGUCUUAUAUUUUAAAAUAAUUCUGAUGAACACUCUUUUUCUCUCUCUACUUUAUAUUAUGUUUUAGUGAUGAAAAUGAAUCUUUGAUAAUAAACUACUAAACAUAAGCAUAUUGUUGGAAUUUAAGUUAGUAAAAUAUGUCCAAAAUUAUUAAGACAUGAUAUCUUAUAUUAUAUCUAGGUUUGAACGAGGACACUGUUAGACUCUCUGCCCACGUAUAGUUAACACAAUUCAUGAAUAUAAAGAAGUUGAACGUGUGAACUUCCAUGGCUCCUUCCAAUUUCUAACCACCCGGAACACAAUCUUUGCAAAACUAACCACCUAAAUUUUCAAUUCACAAAACUAAUCAUCCUAAUUGUUAACAUCUCGGGCGGACAUAAUAAGAAAUAUUCGCCCCUGCCAGGGGCGAACAGCAUUGUUGGGCAAGGUUGUGUGCGUCCCUUCCGAGGGCGAACACAGUGUGGUGAACAGCCACACGUGGCCCCCGGUCGGGGCGAACACAACAUAUAUUUUUUUUUAAACUAAAAAAAAUGAGUUUAUUUUAUUUAUUAAAAUAUCUAAAAAAUUAAAAAUUGUGAUUAUUUUAUUUAGUAAAAAAUCAUAAACACAAUAAAGUGAUUGUGUUAUUUCGUAAAUAUUCAAUUAUGAUUAUUUUAUUGAUGACAAAUGUCCUGAUUUGAACUGAUAAUUUAGUAUGUUAGAUUGGCAAUAUGUAACAAUUUUUUUCAAGUAAGGGUGUGUAGCAUUGGAUACGUAUGGUCACAUCUUAAUAAAUUGCAGUUACUGUUCUUCUGUGCAUGCAUUACAAGUUGAUUAGAUUUUUCUUGAAGGGUGUGUACGUAUGGUCACAUCCUAUGCAUUAUUACACUUAUGAAGCAUCAAUUAUUCAACUAGCCAGCUUGUUUUUUGCAGCAAGAUAUAGUGGAAGGGUGUGCAGGAUUUGCUGCAACCCCUUUUAUCAAAGGAGCAAUUAUAACUCCUACUGUUCAUGCACAGUAUAUUUCUCUUUAUAUGUUGCAGCUCCCCAUGCAUAUUGAAUUACAGCUAAACACAGCAACCAUCAUAGCAAAGCCAAUUUGAAACUCUUCAACAAAUACAGAAGCACACAAACACUCAAAAACACACACACCAGAAAAAUGGCAGCCUACGUAAACGUGAACAUCUUCUGGGGUGGUGAAAUCGUCAAACAAGAUAACGAUGUUAUCUAUACGGCUGAUCCAAAAGAGAUGAGGUUUAUCAAAUUCGGCACUACAUUGGAAGAGUUACAUGAUAUCGUGUAUGAGGUUAUGAACAUAAGUAGACAUCACUGGAAUUUGAAACUCAGUUUCAAAUAUCCUAGACUUGCUGUCGGUAACCUCGUAACAUGAUAUUUUGUAAAGUCUAUUAGGUCGGACGACGAUUUGAGGAGGAUGCUAAGCAUCCCCGGCCGAUUUCUGUAUGGGAUGGGAGACGUAUGGAUGUAUGUUGAAGCUGCGAGUGUUGCUCAGCAAAGCCAACCCUAUGAAGCUCCAUGGACCCAACAAUCUGGACAGAUGCAUACAUUUCUUGAUAGCCAGCAAUAUGAUGAGAACUAUGCAGGAAACUAUGGGGGGGUUACGGUGGCGACUAUGGAGGAAGCGAGUUGGGGGGUAUGGCCGGAUGGUCAAAUAGCGUAUUCCAAAGAGGCUACAACUACGGGACUGUAGGGCAGUUUUUCAGGGGCUCUAGUAAUACUGGGCAUUUUGACGUUGAAGAAGUUGUUGAGGAGGACACACAAUUGUUGCCUCCUCAUACGGCAGACAGAAGUGCAGCUCUGAAUCUUACACUUCACGGGGAUGAAGAAGAUGAAGAAAAUGCCACAGAAAGAGCAUUAACUACAAGUGACGAUUCGGAUUGGAAUCUGUCACAUGAUGAGGUUGAGGAGGAAUCUGAAAACUUUUCAGAAGCCGACUCGGAUGAGGUCCGAGAAGGGAAUAUCUCGUUGCAGACGCACGAUAUGUCUGUUUAUGUACAUAGGGCUGCAUGGUUUGGAUCCCAGCAGUACGAGACUGAGAUAGUGUCCAAUGUGGACACUAUCAUGUCACACAGGUUCAAUCCAUCCGUUGACGAGUUAGGCGUCGGAGUCAUGUUUCGUAACAAGAGGUUCUAAUCUCGGCGGUUAAGGAGGCACAUAUUAAAAUGAAUCGGAACUUUGUUGUGCAAAAAAUCACCACGCAAUUGUAAGUGGAAGUUAAGGGCGGCGAAGAAAAAGCAGCACAGUAUGUUUGAAAUCACGGAAUGUCCUGAAAGACAUGUAUGCAAGUAUAUUAAUAGGAGAAUUAGAAUGGGCAAAGAUUGGGUGCCGAAGGAGCAGGAGGUUGAAAUCGAGUCGAAAAAAUUUCCUGAAGUUAGCAAACUCUAUUCUCGACGACAUCGUGAGAUGGGUAUCCCAUUUUCUGAUGAUCGCUGGGAUCAAUAUGCAGAUGAAAUCGAUAAAGAAUGCGACGCAUUGCAAGCUAAAUUUGAGGCACAUGAGGAAGCUGAAUUUUGGGAAGUGUGGGGAGAUGUGCCCAAUAUAAAUUAUAAUUGCCGUCAAAUACAAAAGCCUACCCCGGUGGCCGCUGAUGAUGAUGAAGAUGAAGAUGAUGGUGGAGAUGAUGAUGAUGGUGGUGGAGAUGAUGAUGAUGACUAUUAUGUCGACAUCACUCAGGAUUGAGAACACAUUAAUUAAAUCGAGCUUAUGUCAUGUUCUCAUUUUAAUCAAAUGUAAUUUUAUUUGCAGUUUUUAAUUUUGCAAAUCGGAAUGAUAUAAUCAAUAUCUAUUUAUAUUAAUUAAUCUUUAUUUUUAGUUAAUUCAAUCAAUUAACCUAAACAAAAAUAUUCAUAUUACCAAAAAAACCACAUAUUAAUUAAUAUUAUAUGCCUUACUUUAUAAUAUAUGAAUAUUUUUUCUAUUAUUUCGAUCCAUAUAAAUUCAUAAUUUCUUCUCCGUUAUUAUUACAAUAAUAAUUAAAUUUACAAUUAAUACUCAAUUCAAUAUUUACGAAAUAACACAUUUAAUUUAUAGUGUUUCUGAUUUUUUAUAAAUAAAUUAAUCACACUUUUUAGUUUUUUGAUUUUUUUAUAAAUCAAAUAAAUGCAGUGAAGGAGCAGUUACUGUGUCAACAAACAAUAUUUUUGUUUUUUCAAAACCUAUUAUAUGUACGUCGGGGGUGGCGAACUAGCUCUGUCCGCCCGAGGUGUGUGUUAUUUAGAAUGGUUAGUUUUGUAAAACGAACAAAAAAGUGGUUAGUUUUAUAAAAAUUGUGUUGAAGGUAGUUAAAAAUUUGAAGGAGCCGUACUUCCACACCAGCUCUCUUUUCAGGUUUCAUAUGUCGAAAAUUAGUUUAUAACUUCUUUAUAAAUAUGAUUCAAAUAAGUUAGAUUUUGAUUUAUAAAACUCGGCCACAAAGGCACAAUAAUAUUGGUUUUUACCUCGACCACAACAUGCAGCCCACAAAAGUAGAUUUUUUUCGAUUGAUAAUAUUUAAAUGAUGGUCGGGAGCGAAAAAUGUGGAUUUCUGUAUGAUCACACUAAAUGUAAUGUGAAUGUGAAAUUUACAUAUAAAAUAAUAGUUUGAAUUUUAUAUGUAUAUAAAAUAAUGGUUAGUAAAAAAGACAUAGUAGCUUUUUAUAUUGAAGUUACAAAAACGAGUUUGUUUGCUCUGACCCACGUACAGAACUACAGAUGUUUUUUGAUAUGAAGAAGAAAAACAUGGUUCGUUUGUGUGAGUUUAAAAUAAGUGCUUGUUGAUUAAAGUAAAAAAGUGAAAGAGAAGUUAUAAAUAAGUUAAUAUUUAUAAGUGAUUAAAAUGUUUGGAAAAUAAACAGAAACUCUCAAGAAAAAACUAACAUUUGUAACUUCUAAAAAGUUUUUCUACUUUUUUACAUAGACGAGUUCAAAGAAAAGUAGAAGCCAAUUUUUUAUUUUAAAAGUACUUCUUUAACUAUAUACAGUAAUAUUAUCAUUAAUUGUCAUUAAUUUGUACUACUAAACAGCUUCCACGGUUUAAGUUUGUAUUUAUAGAUAUUUUUCUAUAUAAAUUUAUAUAUAUACAAAUAAUAAAAAGGACAAUUUUUUGAUUAAUUUAAAUUUUAAAAACAAUAAGUAUCCAUAAACGAUUAGCUCUUUUUCAUGUCAUCCAUUUAUAUAUAAUUAUUCUAAUGUCUGACGCGUUUUAACGUUUUAGAAUGUAUAGUAUAAAUUUUUUUUAUAUAUACUAAAUUUUUAUUUAAAAAUAAAAAAUAUUAAAAAUAUAUAAAAUUAUAGGCUUAAUGGCCAUGUCAACAAUUGGACGGCAGAGCAGCUAGAAAUUUCUACCAACCAUAUGGGACAAAUAAAGUAGCAUUCGGAGUGUCACUUAAACAUGUACAGCUAACACAAUUCAUGCAUAUAAAGAAGUCUGAAUGUGUAUAGUUCCACACCAGCUCUCUUUUGAGGUUUUACACAUGGAUCUACUAGUUAUAGUUCUUGUUAUUGCCUUUCCCCUGGCUUUCUUAUAUUUAUCUCUAAAACACAUAAAGAAAGAUGAUCUUCCAUCACCACCAGGUCCACCAGGCCUUCCUUUGAUCGGGAACAUGCACCAGUUAUACAAAUCUCCUUCGCAUCACGAGGAUUUCUAUCAACUUUCCAAGGAAUACGGGUCUCUCGUGACUCUACACUUAGGCUCAGUCCCGGCCCUAGUUGUAUCAUCCUCGAAAAUGGCGAAACAAGUGCUGAAAACUCAAGAUGUCAUCUAUAGUAGCAGGCCUGCGAUGACUGGCCAGCAAAAGAUGUCAUAUAAUGGACUGGAAAUGGCGUUUUCGCCUUACAGUGAGCACUGGAGGGAUGUCAGAAAGUUUUGUACACUGGAAUUAUUUACGCAGAAAAGAGCUCAGAUGUCUGUUCGGCCUGUUAGGGAACAAGAGGUUUAUCGGAUGAUUGAUGGACUGGCAGAGGCGGCUUCAGCUUCGAAAGAGGUCGAUGUGCACCGAUGUUUUUCGGAUUUUGGGAGUUCGGUCAUCACUAGAGUUGCGUUUGGAAAGAGGUAUGAUGAAGGCGGGAAAUUCCAUCGGCUUUUGUCUGAUGUAGAAGCCUUGUAUGCCAACUUUUUUGUUUCGGAUUAUUUUCCGAUGUUUGGAUGGAUCGAUAGGCUCACUGGAAUGAUGGCUAGACUGGAUCGAACUUUCGUGGAGUUGGAUAUGUUCUACCAGGAACUUAUUGAUGAACACCAAAAACCUGACAGGCCCGCGUCUGCAACUGAGGAUGUCAUUGAUGUUUUGCUCAAAAACAAGAGCUCGGCUUCCUUUGCUCUAACGAUGAAUCAUGUCAAAGCGAUCCUUAUGGUAAUUACUUCCUCUGUCCCAAUAAUCUCUUUACGGUUUUAUUUUUGAAUGUUUCAUUCAAUUCUUUACAUUUCAAAACUUACAAAAAAUAGUCCACGAGUUCCACCACUUCCCGCGUUCCUUCUUUUUUCACGCUUUUUUUUACUUCGCUGUCUUCUUUUUAUAUCAAUAGGUUCCACAACUUUAUCAACUUUUAUUAUUCUUUUCACUGCUUUAUACAUAUUUGGUAAAGAAUUCACCGAGGACUGAGGGAGUUUUAUAUUAAUUUUUGGACUAUUCGCUAGUAUAUAUGUGCAAUAAUAUAUUGACGAAUAGUCACAUCCUUACAUGGAUGCAUGAUUAACUAAUAGCUGUCGUUAUGGAUGUUUGCAGGAUAUAAUAGUUGCAGGAACCGGGACAACCGCAACUGUGCUCACAUGGGCCAUGACAGCAUUAAUGCGUAACCCGAGAGCCAUGAAGAAAGUUCAAGAAGAACUAAGAACAGUAAUGGGAAAGAAAGGGAAGAUAGACGAAGAUGACCUCCAGAAUCUCCCCUACUUAAGAGCCGUUGUGAAGGAGACGAUGCGCUUAUACCCUCCCGGUCCCCUUCUACUUCCCCGCGAAACAAUGGAAAGCUCUGUCAUCGGCGAAGAUGAAGCUCAUAUGUACAAGAUCAAGCCCAAAACCCUGGUGUUUGUAAGCAUGUGGGCAAUAGGAAGAGACCCGGAGGAUUGGAAAGACCCCUUAGAGUUUAAACCCGAAAGGUUCUUGGAAAGGCCUGACAUCGAUUACAAAGGAC